GGUUGCUCUUCAUGUGUUCUGAAGGCACUGCUCUCAGGCAUCAGCUAAGUCAACCGAGUGAUUCCCAGGAUGCCUGGCAUGGGCCACAGACUCGUAGAGCUGCCGUGAGGACAGAGGAAGCUGUGUGGCCCCUUCCUGACAAUUCUUUCAUCUGCACGCUGUACCAUCAACUCAUUUUCUGCACGGAAUGAAGAUAAAUCACUCUGCUCCGGAAAACUACAUUUAGCAUCGCCUUCUUUUUGUGGGGCAGGGAAGUUUUCAUCGACAAAGCGUUUCUAUUGCAGAUGGCUCGCCAUAUGCCACGUUCCUGCAUGUUAUCACCUUGUAAGCAGAUUCUGUCAGGUUUUUAGGAGUAAAAGCUUAAUUAACAAGUGGUGUGUACAAUUAUGUACUUAAUUAUCUGCUGCUUUUAUUUCUUUGUUGUUUCUUGUUUUUCAAAAGUUUGGUAACAAUUACAGGCAACUGUUUCCUAAUGCAAUUUCUCUCUGCAUCUCUUUUUUUUGUGUUUGAGUUUUUUUUUUUUUUUUGCCAUUUGUAUGCUGAGAGGGGGGCCUUAUCUUUUCUCCCCUCAUCCACCACUUAGAACAGAUAGAUGCAGCAUAGGCCCACUGAUCUGAAUCUCUGAGGGGUGGCGCGUGCGUGCGUGUAUUCAAAGAGUUUCCUGUGAGGUUGGUCUGCAGUCCUGGUUAGAAACACAGACCUGGGCCUCCAUGUUGCUGACGGGACUGUCAGGGACUCUCAUUCUUCCUCCAUCCCCCUCUGCUGGCCCGUCCUGGAGGCCAGUGGGGUUGGCUGGACUAGGCUGCUGAGGACGACAGGAGGUGCUGGGGGGGCCAAGGGAUAGCCCUACAGCACGAUGAGGGCAGAGGCAGCUUUGGGGAGCUGAGCACGGAAAGCAGGAAGAAUUGUAAUAGAAGCACAAGCAGCAGCAACUUGGAGUGAACUCGCUGGGCUGAAGCCAUACCUGGAAUUGGGGGCUUAGAACAAAGUGAGUGGAUUCACUUGGGAAGCACUUCUGCUCGCAUCCGUCUGAGCUGAGGAACUUCUGGAAGCCUAGGCCUCCAGCACAGUUAUCUUUCAUACACAUUCGUGCAAGAGGGUAUCCUGUUUUAGGGAACCUCCCACCGAGUUGAAAACUCAGUUAUCAGCACAUGCUGAGAGAAAUGGCCCCACAGCUGACAGUGGAGGAGUCUGAACCAUCAGAGAGGCAGCCCAUCUGGCUUUCCAGAGGGCUGAGGGUUAGUCCUGGGUUUCUCAGCUGGCAAGCUGGGUCCCAUGGGCCUUCAUUCUGAAGUGUCCUCCCCACCACACUCACUGGUGUCAGUCAAGGCUGGGUGCAAUCCAGGAGGGCUUGGGGGGAUGGGUUGGAGGAAUAAGAUGCAAGGGCAGAAGAAUUGCAGAAUCAAGACAUCAGGGCUUCCCUUUCUCCAACUAGAAGAAGAAGCUUGAGGGACACUUCCCUGAAAGUGUGCAGACAGACACAGGCUGGCCCCAGCAUCACAGACAUGAAGCCCCCGCUGCCUGCAUGCUGGCCUGGCUCUGCCACACCUCCUUUCUGUGCAUCUGUCUCCUUAUCUGGCAGCAGCUGGGUGAGUUCAUCCAGCUCUGCCAGGCUCACCCUCUCCCAUUUCCUAGCGCAGAGUCCAGUCCACUAGACUCUGAAGGACCGUGCUCUGGGGAAGGGACGGUGGAGGACCCUGUUGGGCCUGUCCUUGCCUCGGGCCUUGAACAGUGCCUGCCAUGUGAUGAGGGAGCUCAACAGGCAUCUGUCAAGUUCAUGAAAAUGUAAUAGACAUGCCAGUUGCUGCUUUGCCAGGCACAUGGCUCCUUCUAAAGACAGCCGCUCUGCCCCACAGGGAGACCCCCAGGUCUCUGUCUGUGGCUGGUCCCAGCUGACCUAAGGGUGGCCCAUCAAGGCACAUCAACCUGAGGUGUGAUCUGGGAUAAGAAAUGACAUAGGACAAAUGGGUUCUGCUUCUCAGAAGGUUGAUCUGGGAAGUAUUGACCAUGAGGUGAUUAACGUCCGGCGUUGAAGCUAAAAAGAUCAUCAGAAAGAAAAGGGAGAGGUGAGUAAUGAAGGGCUGAGGCAGGUGGAAAUGAGGACGGAGCAGGGAGCAGGCAGGAGCAGCAGUCCUGAGUGGAGAGGGAAUCCGGUGCGCUGGGCGGGGACGCCCUCUGCUUCAACGUCUGCCUGCCCUCAGCAUCCUGCAUUGCUUACUUUGGCAGCCCCUUCCCCAUGCAGAAAUCUUUCCCUACAGUCUCUGUUACCUUCGGGGCAAGCCCUGAAAAGACAAGCUUGAAAUGACCAAGGCAGGGUGUGGAUGUACCUUCCCGUAGCUGGGAAGCAGCAUCUGACCAACUUCAGAGACCAAACAAUAAUCUGGGGACAUGUGAGGGAACCAUUUAUCCAAGCUGGGAAUUAGGGAGAAGCUCCAAACAUUACUUGAAGGGCCCCAGUAGGAGAAUGGAAAGUUAAUUGCCAGGACAACUUCCCCACUGCAGGGUAGAGUUGAGGGGGUUGAGAAAAUAGGGGGAAGGUGGUAACAAGCAGGGAGUAGAGACUCAGCAAGCCUGAGGAAUGAAUGGGCACUCUUGUUCCUAUGCGCAGGAUGAAAUGGCAUCUUGACACUUUUGCUGAACAAGGCAACACUGGGUCUGUCUGACCUGAGAACACUACAUACAACCCAGCCGUACCCAAAUGGAGCAACCCACCUGGACUUUCACCUGUCAGAGAAAAGCACCUCCUUGAGCACAUGGCCAGGGAGGCUGAUGGGGAUGGAAGGCAGGAACCACACACCACCUGUGUCUGAACUAGGAAGGUGAGCUCCUCCACUGACCCCACACCCACUCCAGAGACCCAGACUGCAGGGCCCUCUCCUAAGUGACUUUCAGCCACAGACACAGUUUCCAUCAUCACGCACCACACCCUAAUCUAUUCUGCCUAGGGAGGGAGGAAUCCAGACUGCAAGGCUGAAGACCACCUUCAUGGAGCAGCACUGGUGCUCUAGGAUAGACCCCCUACCCAAACCCCGGCUGGCCACAGCUCAGGGACACAAUGAGUCACAUAGUACCUUUCCCUCUUCUGUCUGGAGUUAUUCCUCAGAACUGCCUUCAGGAGGCCCUGAUGGCUGCAUGCCCACACAGUGGAGGCUGUCAGUGGGGAAGAGGACAGCUAGGAAGGUCAGGAUGGGGCAUUGGUGAGAAGGGCAGUCAGCGAAAAUUUGGGGACUGCUGGAAAAGGUUUGGGACUGUGUCUUCCAUCAUGCAGAAGCAAAGGAGAGGGAGAUAUGCUCCCUUCCAGAGGUGAAGUCCAACCACCAGGACCAGGUUGGGGACCUGCCAUGGAGUCUCGGCUGCUGUCCACACCAGUGAUGGUAGUGUUCCCAGAAUGAUGUCAUAAAGUGCUGAAAGUGGGGAGUGGUGGGGAGGGGAGCUUCCUUGCUCUCCUGGGUGUUUCUCAGUACUCUCCCCUCCCCCACACCAGAGAUUCGCUCCUCCAGCCUCCACAGCCACCAGCCCCACCACCCCUGCAGAGCCAGCUUGCCCUCUCUAACUCUCCCUUUUCCUGCCUCUCCCCCAGGUCUGCUGCCACCACCUCUUGGGGUCACUGAGCCCCCAGCCCACACCACAGGCUAAGGGAGGCUUGCUUGUCAUGAAGAUAUCCAUAACAGGUAUCUGACAGAAAGAAGGGGUUGCAGGGGAGGGGGGCAGUCAUCUGCAAACCAAAAAAAAAGUUGCUGGUUCUGCUCCUUUCCAGCUCUGUGCUGACCUGUCUAUCCAGGCCUCACUUGGGCCACAGCCCAGCUCCAUGAAGCCUUGCCUGGCCUUCUCUGCUCCCUCAUCUGACCAGCCCUCACACCCAUCCUUGGCUGGCCGGCUGCUGCACUACGCUAGCUCGGGCUGUAUCUGCUCCCUGGCCAGGGCGGGGUGUUCCCCGGCAGUCUCCUCUAAGGAGCCGGCCCCCACCGCAGCUCUCUGGGAGGGCUCCUCGGCAGACCUGGCUGAGCCAGUGCAAGGACCCAGUGAGAGUGCUGUGGGAGACCUGCCCAGGGGGCUAGCCGAGCCUUCUGUGAUAAUUCUGACUGAUUGAUUCUUCAUGGAGUUGACUUGAAGUAUGAUGAGUGGGUGCUGAGUGCUCUUAAAACUCCGGAUGCCAGAGCCGCAGAAAAGACACCAAAGGUUGGAGGCAUUAAGUAACUGCUCAUCUACUCAGUGACGGCAGAGUUGAAACUAGGACCCAGGUGUUGCCGCCUCCUUCUCAUGCCACAAAAGUGAGAACAGGUGUUUCCUGACAUGCAAUUUGCUAACCUCUUCCCAGGUUAUGUGUGUGAAUGUACUGGGCUACCAGACAGCAGUGAGUAUGAAUGAAGGUGAUGUCCCAUUACAUCCCACGUCAUGACCAAGCAAUGUCUUACCACCCCACAAAAAGCCAACGGAGGCUUCCUUGCAUGGAAAGACCACAGUGAUGAGGGCAGGGGCUCUGUGAGCAGGUACCUAGAGCUAGAAGGCAAAACAAGGAAACGUUUCAAGGGAGUGAAGCAAGCUAAAGAUAAGGAAGCUGCCUGUUUUUGUGUGCCUCACCCUCCCCUCCCCUCCCCUCCCCUCCCCCCGAAUCUGCCUAUGGUUAAAUGCCUGUUGGGAUUUUGCAAAAAGAUUUCCCUGGAUCACUCCAAAUUCCACUGAGUGGAGAAUGGGCUGGAGCUCCAGCAGUAAGGAGAGAGUGGCUACAGAAGCGCUUUGUGACCUGUUGAGCUGAGACAGGCGAGUCUCUUCCGGACAGCAGAUGGGCCCUCUUUAUGAGCCUGUCCUGCCGACCUGUCUGGGUCCAACUGCUAAGUGGGGAAGGAUGCUCCCCAGAUCACAGGUGGUUAACCACCUCACAGGUCCUCGGGCAAUGGCAACAAGGCAUCCUAGCUCACAUUGACUCCUUUGGCAGUUUACAGGUUUUAAUACACAUUCCCAUUUAUUUCAAGUCUCUUAACCAUGGACAAAGAGUAAGGAGAAAAAAGCUUCCCGAUGCAGGUAGGAAGGCUGAUCCGUGUCCACUCAAAAGUGAAGUGGAGUAAAACAAUUCCAGGCCAAUCUGUCUCCACGUCCCACACGAGGCCCUGUGCCCCAGGUCAUCCGUGGGAGGCCACAGCUGUUGAUCAUAGUUCUCCCCUCUGCCCACUUUUGUCUUUACAAGGAAUCAUUCCUCUGCUUCCCAUCAACAUCUCCAUCCCAGGCACCUUUCCCCACCCUAAGCCAGACUUGAGGCUGCUGUCCCUGGCACCCCUGCAGAGCUUGCUCCUCUGCUCGACCCCCAACUGCGCAGUCAGCGUGUUCAGCAGAAAUGUUCCUCGGCUAGCAGAGAUCAAUACAUCAAUAGAUAUGUCAGCUCGAACAUAAACAGAGGGAGGUUGAGGGGAACAGGGGCAGGAGAUAAAUGGACUCUGCAGAGAAAAAUGCCAGACAGUCCCAUCAGGAUCCGCACUCCCGAGAACAUAUCACCUGAGCUGUUAAAGAAGGGGGACAGGCUCAUUACUUCAGGCCCUGCUAAUUAAGACUCACCAUCACGGGAGGCUGAGGCAGGAGAAUCGCUUGAACCCAGGAGGCAGAGGUUGCAGUGAGCCCAGAUCGCACCACUGCACUCCAGCUUGGGUGACUCUGUCUCAAAAACAAACAAACAAAACCCCUUCAGAUUGGCCUAGGCUCAGUUCUGCCUUCAUUCUAGGUCUGGCGGGCUGGCUCAUCUGAAGGCAGCCUUUUCUAUGCUGGCCUCACAGGAGCAUUGUAGGUGGGAUUCCUAGCUAUUCCUUUCUUGGGGCUCCAUAAGUGCUGGGAGUGGGAGCCCUCUGAGCCAAGCAUGGUACCUUGGAGCCACAAGUAGCUGGCAAGUGCCCAAAGAACUGUGGUGGCUGAGCUCCGAGCAGCUUAGACAUGCAGCAAGCAGCUGGUGAAGAAGCAGAAGGGCAAGCCCUUGGAUUUGGGUGUAGAACGAAAGGCCCUUAGCAAGGGCAGCAGUCCAGCUUUCCAUGUCGAGACAAGUGAUAGGAACUAACUCUGGUUUCAGUCAGCCUCAGGAAAUCUCUGAGGCAUCCGUUCUGGAAGGCCAUCAGCCUGGUGCCCACAGCCAGCGUGGUGAGCACCUGGAUGAGGUCUCCUCUGCAGAACUUUGGGGGAGGGGUGCAAAGGAAUGCUUAGCAGGAUGCCAACAGCCUACUGGCAGGGGAUCCAGGAUGCUCAGUUCUGGACUCUGGGCCACAGAAACUAGAGAAUUUGGGAGAAUAUGUCAGACCAAGAAGAAGCAGUUUUCAAGUUCUUUUUUUUUUUUUUUUUUUUUUUGAGAUGGAGUCUUAGACUCUGUAGCCCAGACUAGAGUGCAAUGGCCUGCAACCUCUGCCACCUGGGUUCUGGUGAUUCUCCUGCCUCAGCCUCCCAAGUAGCUGGGAUUACAGGCAUGUGCCACCACACCCAGCUAAUUUUUUUAUUUUCAGUAGAGACAGGGUUUUGCCAUAUUGGCCAGGCUGGUCUCACACUCCUGACCUCAGGUGAUUCGCCCACCUCAGCCUCCCAAAGUGCUGGGAUUACAGACCUGAGCCACUGCGCCUGACCAGCAGUUUGCAGGUUUCUAUAGCACAGCUCCUCUGAAGAGGUGAAGAUCAUCAGGUCUGGGUGGCUUCUCUGUCACACAUUCUUUGAUAGCGUUUUUAAAAAAGGAAUUGGAGGGAGCAGACAGACCUGCUUAGCAUUUUAGGGUUUGUUCAUUAUGGCAGGUCUUUUCCAAAGAGACCACCACAUUGCUGAUUUUAAUUCCUCUGGGAAAUUCUCUAGAGUCCAAAUUCUUAUGUCAAUUACUUCAAAACUCAAUUGUUUUAUACCCGUUAGUUACGUCAAACCACUCAAGAAGUAGAGGCAUUGUUGGGGCCAGGAGGUGUUGCAGAGUAAGAGAGAGGAAGGAGAAGACAUUUUUGGAGACUGGCUGGGUGGGGCUGGACACCCAAGAGUUCAGCAGGAGGAGAAUUGGGGUGUUUGGGGAGCAAGGGAAGCCCAUCCCCUAAGAUCCUGGUGGUGGCUUCCAUGCCCCUGAAAAAUCAUGUUUGAAAAUCUGUGCUCUAAGUUAACAAAGAAUUUUCCUCUUAAAUAUCAAGUGACCCAAGGGGUACUUUGGGUUAAAUAAAAAGGAACAGCCAGGAGAAUGCGCCCUAUGAAGAAUCUGAGAUUCCUGAGGCAGAUUAUGAAAUUAACACCAAAGAGAGGCUUAGGGCAGCUGCUGCCCAGCUUAGUAACUAGAAGGGGUCUUCUGGGUCUUGAGGUCUUCAGACCUCUAAGUCAGCAUCAGGGGAGCAGCCUCAAUUAGAGACCAUAGCCUGAGGGCCCUCUGCUGAGGAUGCCUGAGGUCUUUGCUGACACCUGUUCUUGAAAAGCAAUGGGGAUCCGGACAGUUUGAGGUUCAGGUAAACGAGCAGAGAGCAGUGCAGGGCUCUGAGCUGGAUGGCUUCCUCUUUCCUCUGUGGAAUCAUGGAGAGAGGAUGAAUAAAGGGAAAGGAUGUCUGUGGGUGUAAGGAGUGGGCUUGGGAAUAUUCGGGAUCAGUGGCCCUCAGGUCCUCCACCUUGGCCUGAUGUGGAGUUGCAUUUGCUUUCGCUGAGUUUCAGGCUUGCACGCAAGGAGGGGUAUUUGAACAUGCAGGCCCUGAUGUGGUGAGGCUAUGAUGGCAGUAGCAGGGAUGGGGACUCUCCAUAAAUAGCCCCAAGAUGGAUGGUGGCUGGAAUGAGCCUGUUGAUGACCUCCCUGCUCAGCCAAUGAUAAUUACAGCACCCUACAACUCAGGGCCACUUGCUUUAUUGACCAGGCCCUUUCACACCCGUUAUCUCACUGGAGCUUUCCGAGGGUACUAUGAAAUACACAAGCAGAGGUGAUUGGGUCCCAAGAGAGGUGACUUCUCUGGGGACACAUGAUGAGUCAGUGGUAGGACCAUCACUGGACCCCCCCUGCCCACCGCCCCCACCAGAGAUCUCAGCUCUGACCCUCUUCCUCCUCCUCCACCAAAUUACAAAGGCACAGUCCCAUAGGAAGACACCCAGGUCAACCCAAGAAAAAGCCACAUGAAUGUGAGGGUGUCCAGAGCCACUCUGCUUCCAGGAUUCCAGCCACUCCUCAUUCAGACACCUUCCAACCCCAGCUUGGAGGGAUGUGAGGGAGCCCUCUCACCAGCAGCUACAUGCCUUCACUUUUGAAUUUUGUUGAUUGGGAGCUUGAGGGGGUACAUCUCUCCCCCCAGCACAGGACAAGAGGUACAGGCCGCUAGGAGCAAUUCACAUCUGCCAGUAAGUGAGGAAGAGGCUGGCUUAGCCCUUUGGGACAUCUGGCCAGGCCUUGUGGAGACCCAGCUGGGCUCCUCAGAGCAGGGACAGCCUGUGGGCUCCACAAACUGCAGUGACUCAUGGGUGACCACGCUGAUGGGGCCAGGGAGAGUCAGAGAGGCCACCUGCCCUAAUCACUGCCUAAAGGCUGUGUCUGACAUCAGAAAGGUUUGGUGGCCUCCCUCUCAAGUUGGCCCACUCCACCUUGAGGCCCUUUAGGCUGUCUCUGGGGGCCCUUUGUCCUGGACUUGGUCUCCAGCCUCCAGGGCUUCCUGGAUGGGAGAAGUAUGAAAAUGGGAAACAGCCUUCACUUAAAUCUCUAAUUUCAAAGUCUUCUGCCCCUAACAAGGCUCCUGGGGUGGGUUUGAGAAAGACUUUGACCUUGAAAUAGGUUGUCCAGAGUCCAGGUCUGGGGUUGGUCAGGUCCUGGGUCUUUGAUUCGCUGUGCAUGACUUUCAUUACCCUUAUAUCUUCAUGAAAGGCCCUUCCCAAAAUUAGCCGGGCAUGGUGGCAUGUGCCUGCAGUACCAGCUACUCUGGAGGCUGAGGCAGGGGAAUGGCUUGAAUCCAGGAGGCGGAGGUUGCAGUGAGCCAAGAUCACACCACCACACUCCAGCCUGGCGACAGAGUAAGACUCUGUUUCAACAACAACAACAAAAGGCCCCUCCCAGAGUUUCCGUAAGGAUCAAACGAGACAGUGAAUGGGAAAGUGCCUCAUCAUAUAUACGGUGUGUACAAUGGAAAUGGAUUGUAUUGUAAGGGUUUUGGAGUCCAGUGGGCAGGUGCUUUUGCAGAAGAGAACCAGCAUAGCAAGGGCUGUCAAGACACCCUUACUUUCUCACCUUGAGGUGGGGAACGGGAGACUUUCCAAAUUUGGGGGGCUGCCAGCCUGGACAGGGAAAUGCUCAGCAUGGUUAAAGAUCCACUGGGUAGAGGGAAAUGAAACUUCGCUGGCUGCUCAGCUUCCCAGACCUUUUUACUGCUCAUCAUAAAUUACCAUCCUGUUUUAUUUUCGUUUUAUAGCCUCUUCCAGGCUCUUUCUGGCAAUUCACUCUCUACUCUGGGCCAACUAUGUUAGAAAUGGUUUCCUGGUCCUUCUCUUUCUCUGUCGACACCUCAGGUCUCUGGCAGCUGACCCAGCAGCUGGGAGACUUCCACAGUCACCUGUUGGCUGAGGAAACAUCGGAGCUGGCAGCUGAAGGGUGAGAGCAAAGAAUCUCGAUGCCAGUGUCUGCCCUCUAGCAGCUUCCCCCAGCGGAGGGAGGGAACCAGGCACCCUGUGUUUGCAUGGGCUUGCAGACCCAGCUUCUAAAGAGGAGUCAUCUCUUCCUGGGACCUGGGCCUCCAAUUCAAGCAGCUCUCAGGAGGUAAUGACAAGUUCUUCAGUGUAGUUAGCUCUCUCUCGAAGCAGUUGGUCCAAACUCCUUUCCACUGUCAACAUCUUGUGGUUCUGCCACUGUGAGAAGGAAGGACCCUAGCUGGGAGUAGGGAGGGUCUCCUUCUAGCCUCAGUUCUGCUACCAGUGAGUGGCCCUGGGCAGGUCCCUUCCUCUCACAGGCAUCAGUUUCUUCUUCUGUAGAGUCAAAGGCCAAAGCAGGUCACCCAAAUGCCUUCUGGUGUGGCCACUCUACAAGCGGUUUCCUCAUCUGCACAAAACGUGCAAGUACUUGUCCGCAAACUGACAGAUUCCCACAAAUUAACGUCCUGUCAAGCGUCGCACUCAACAGUCCUGCUGGUUCUUCAAGUGAAAGCAAUGGGUUAGGGAAGAUUGGAAUGAUGUUUGCGAGACUUUGAUAUAACGUUUUUAUUGAGUGUUUUGCGUCCCGAUUGAGGAGAGAGCAACAUAAUGGCAAAGUUUGUAUCUCCUGUCAUUAUUCAAAUAGAAGAGAGUUUUUUUUUCAAUACAAUUUUUAGUGUAAAUUGUUAAAUUACCAUUCUCACGGGUUGUGGACUGUUUUGUGGACAUGAGGAGGUAAAAGAUAAAGUAACACGUGCUGAGUUUGUGAUGAACAGACUGGACCCAGGUGGGGACUGGCCUUACAGCACCCACAGUGGCCGAGUUGGGGGUCUGGAGGGAGGAAAAGGGGUCUGCCUUUGCCAUGCCAAAUAUAAGACUGUGGCAGGCCACCUACUCAAAAAUAUUGUGAAAAGAGUAAUGCAGGACACGGGACUAGGAAAGAGACAAGGUGGGCAUCAUUCACACUGGAAGGUAUUGGAGUGAAGGCAGAAGAGGAGGAGGAGGGGAUGCAGGAGGAGGUAGGGUGGUCCCUCUCUGGGCCUCAGUUUCCUCAUCUGUAAAAUAAGGAGUCUGGACUAGACAGGUUCUCUGCUUCACCCAUCUAGCUGGCUCAGAGUGGAGAGCAGGGAAGAGGCAGGUAAGGGACGAAGAGAUCCAAGAUGCAUCAGAAUAGGAGAUCCUGGCUCAGUGGCACCCCAGAGAGCUCAGAGAGCACCCCAAUGAUAGAGACUGAGGCACAAUCUGCGUUCAAAGUUGCUGAGAAACUGAUUGAUACUGAAACAUUGCUCUCUGGGGUUUGCUUAUAAAAAGUAAUUCCCCCUUCCCCCCAAGAAAGGUGCAAUUUCCAGGGUGAGUCACAGAGCUGGUGAGGAUCCUCCACACUCCAGGGUGUGAAACCGCAGACCAGCCAGUGUCAUUCUUCUCAGGGCAGUGUUAAAAGUCUGUUCAACUACAUUCAAAUUCCCAUUUCAAGUGUAGGCUCCAAAAUCACAUGCCAAUGUGUAACCCCUUAUGGCUCCAUCCCCCAGAAGAAAUACACAAAAUACAUAAUUGUGUGUGCAUGUGUGUGUUUAACAUUGGGGGACACUAAGAAACAAUAGGCUUCUCAUUUUAUUCCUUUUUUUUUCUUUUUUAUUAUUUAAAAGGAUCAUGUGCCAGAGAGCACAAUGGUAGAAAGCAGGAGAGGAAAUACGGACCAAGAAGAUGGUGGGAGACAUUUUACAAUUUAUAAAGAUAUGAGUACAGGUCCCUCUUUUUAAACGCUCAAAGCAACCUACAUUGAGCUUCUUAAAUUCGGAAGUAAUGUUCUUAAUGGCUACCCUGGGCAAGGCUAUAUCUAGAAGAGCAAUUUUUAAUCAUUCAUGUAAAAUCAUCCUGCUCAGGUGCUUCCAGUGCUGCGAGCCAGGUGAACAACCCAGAUGUGCAGCUUCUAGACGGCACCUCUGGGGUGGGGUGGCUGGGCCGGGAGAACGAUGGGGCUAUGUUUCAGUGGAGGCCUACCUUGGCAAAGCCUUGCCUCAGGAGUAGGUCUUUACUCAGCCCCAACUUAGGAGGUGACUCCCUUGCUGCUGUGCUCAAGGCUGGUCUCCUGAGUGUUGUCCAUACCCCACUGUAACUUAUGGAAAGUUUGAUUCUGCUAUUGAGACUUCCUCCCCUUUCAGCAACCUGGCUUGACCUAGCCCCUCUGGGUUUUGGCAGAGGAUAAUCUAUUUGAAUCAAAAACACUGUAUGGUGAAUGACACCAUUUCGCAUUUGUGCAGCACCUCACCCGUUCCCAAAGUGUAUAUACAUUUUAUUAGACAAAGUCAAUUCUAGAUAAAACAAGCAGCUAAGGCACUAAGUCCCAUUUCCUGAAAAUUCUGGAAGAGAAGUUUGGUUCCCUCAGCCAGUGGAGGGGCUGAGAGAAUCCCUUUGAGAUGACUGGAUAAAAGAAUGAAUGGGGGUCUGGAAGAACAAACUUGCAAAUAUACAUUUAAUGUAAAUGCAACGUGUUCAAUAAAAUUCAACUUAGAGUGCCAGGUACUGAGCCUGCUACGAGGAAUAGAAAAAGAGUCCCAGCUCCCAAGGGGCUGGUUGGACUACACACAAAUUCACUAAACACACAUCAGAGAUUAGAUUAAACCAAUGCUCCAACGUGACUCACCUACCCACUGGUCCAGACCCACUAAUUCUUUCCCUGUACCUCACAGCACCCAGACUUCUGUGUGAACCCCCUGGUUCCUGAGUUUCUCUGUUGCGCAUGGCUCGCCCCCAUGAAAUCCCCAGGGCCUUGUACUUAAAGUCCCAGAUCACCCCGGUCUCUGCCUGCACUCCUCCAACCCACCGCUCCUUUGUACAGCAAGCCCUGAGGACUCAGCCUUUCUCGUUUUCUUUGGGAGAGACUUGGGCUUUCCUCCUGUCCCCUGAUAAGACCCUCUAUAUUGUGACUUACUUUCCAACCUGACUCUGGCAUAACAAGGAAGGAAAUCAAUUUUACAGAUUUUAACUGCAGAAAAAUAAAAAGAGUCAACCAAAGUAGAAACAUCUAGAAAUGACAAGAUGUGACUCUUCGAAGCUUCUGCAGGUUCUGGUCCCUGGUUUAGAGCUUCUGAUUUCCUUCUGGCAGCACCAGUGGAGUGGGGACCUUUGUUUCUCAUAAGAAGAGGCUGGCUGGCCAAAAAAGCAAGCAUGCCCCUAUAGGGACACCUUCCUGCCCUUCCCCGCAGGAAGCUGGCCCAAGGCUUUGAGGGGAAUCAUGGGGAGCUACAAGUGCCUCCUGCUUUCUGAUGUCCUCCUAGUGGGGCCAAGGCCAUCCCUGUUCUUGGGGCCCUUGACACCCCUACUCUCCCAAGCGUAGUUGGCAAUCCAGUAACUGGUGCUUGGUUAGCCUCCGACAGUGCUGCACCCCUUCCCUUGAGGACUUAGCUCUGAUUUUUAUCUUGCCCAGAUUCCUAUCUAAGGAGUCUGAGGAAUCAUGACCUACAAACCAUAAAUUCUCAUCAGAUGGGUUUUAUUUGACCCUCUAUAUCGUGACUUACUUUCCAACCUGACUCUGGCAUAACAAGGAAGGAAAUCAAAAUGUUUUACCCCAAAAUAUAUUUCCUUGCCAUACCUUGAAAUUGCCCUGCAAAUCCUCUUGUGAGAAAAACCCACAUUCUAUGGAGAAUCCUCUUUCCCCUUUGUUUUCCUUCCUUCCUUCCCAGAUCCAAGAAAUCAUCAACUAAAAGCCAGGCACCCUUUUAGGUCCGAUUCUCAGGCUUCAUAUUACUAUUCUCUUUUAUCAAAAUAAUGUGAGGGAGAACUGGAUUCUCCUACUCUUGAGAGCAUUGCAUGGGCCUGUAUCUCAUUAAAGUAAUAGUAACAUUGAAACUGCUCUCUGUAACCAAAAUGUGACAGGCAAGCAGUCCAAAUCCAUGCCAUCUUGGCCUCUUCGACUUGUAAUAAGUAAUUAAGGACUGUAAUUUCCACCCUACCCAGACAAUGUGUAAACAAAUGCCAAUCUUGACGUUUGUGAACCACUUAAGUAACAAUCAGAAUGUCAAAAGUCCCCUGGCCCUCGGAGUGUCUGGAGCCCCUCACCCUCAUCUUCACCCAGGAAUCCACUGGAAUGUCUGGAGCCCCUCACACUCCUCUCUGCCCAGGAGGUGAUUUACAGAAUCCACUAGCCCUCAGAACAUCUGAAGCCCCUCACUCCCUGCCCCUCACCCUCACUCCCAAGGUGGUUUUAUGGGUAUAAAAGGUCUUGACACCCUCCUUUCGGGGCGAUGGGUUGGAGAGACGAGAGUCCUCCGUGGCCACCGGCAAUAAAGACCCUGCAAUUUGGCAAAAAACAAAAAAAAGUAAUAGUAACAACAUAUUUGACCCAUUUGAAAAAAAUAAAAUUUUUUGUUUACAAAAAAAAAAAAAACAUUUUAUAACCCUCUCUCUGAAGCCUGCUACCUGAGAGAUUUCUCUGCACAAUAAAACUUGGUCCCCACAAUCUUUUACCAUAACCUGAACAUUCCUUUCCAUAAUCCCAGGUCUCUAGAUAAACUCAACCAAUUGUCAACCAGAAAAAAAAAAAGUAUCUAUAGCCUGAAGCCCCUGCUUUGAGUUCUCACCUUCCUGAAACAACCCAAUGCAUUUCUUAAAUGUCUUUGAUCUCUCAUGACUUCCUAAAAUACAUAAAACCGAGCUGUACCCCAACCACCUUGGGCACAUGUUCUCAGGACCUCCUGAGGGCUGUGUGGAUGAUCACUAGGCACAUGUGCAUUUUAAACCUAAGGUCUGCUAACUUUUGCUUCGUUUCCAACCGCUAACUAAAAGCGGACUCUCUUCUUCACUUUCUCAUAUUUGGCUCAGAAUAAAUCUCUAAAUAUUUUACAGAGUUUGACUCUUUUUGUCAACACCCUUUAAUCACCAAGGCUUCCAAGCACACCCCCAUUUGGAAACCAUGCCGUAAUGGGGCCGUGACCUUGUUUUCAGGUGAUCUGAAUUGGCACUCCUGAGAAAGCAGUCUGGUAGAGUGAAUUUCCCCCCUCAAACCCAAGCCUUCCUUCUCUGGCUCCCUGGCUGAGAGCAAAGUACAGCCCAGACCUGCUUCCAGAUCUGCCCUCCUCCGGCAGUCCCUCCAGCUGCUCUGCCACUCCAUCAGGGCCAAGCUGCCCUUCCUUCCAGCCUGAUACCCGUUUCCUGUGGGACUGUCCCUGUCUGGCUUCUGUGGUGAGCCACCUUCACCUGACUGUCACAGGCCCAGGGCAGAGUUCACCACCUUGGUUUCUCUGUCAACAGCUCCUCCUUCAGACCAUCACAACGCACAUCUGCGUUUUAAACGUAAGGCUCGCUAACUUUUGCUUCGUUUCCAACCACUGAUGAGAAACGGACUCCUCCUCUCUCCUUUCCUCUUACUCGGAAUAUUCCCUUAUAGUUUAUCAUGAUGAUCUGUGAGAACAAUUGUCACAGAUGGUUUUGGGGGGGACCAUUUCUGCAUGUAGACAGACGGACUGGGGCUGACAAUGAAACCUGGAUGGUGAUAAGCUCUGUUUUCGUGAAUGUAUACCAGUACAAAUGCUAUCGCUUCAGAACUACCUUUUGUUUGCCUCAAGAAAUAGCCAAUUCAUGUUACAUUUUUAAAAAGGUCUUUCGCUAUUUCAAAGGAAUGAUUUGGGGUAGGGGAGGGUAGUAGAGAUUGGUUGUGGCCACCUUCAGCCUAUCAACGUCCACUUCCUGCAAGUUCCUAGUGGGGCACCUGUUAAAAGACGGAAAGGACAUUGCUUUUCACCUCCUCUCUUUCACUUCUCUGCUCCUCUCCUCAGCUUGGGGCCUGAGCGGUCAAGGAGGGCAGAGUAGGAGAGGAGGUCCGGAGGGGUGGAGGACAGGCUGGUUGUCCAAGACAGUCUGGAAUGAAACAAUAUGAAGAGAAAUACAGCCCACCCACUCCGUGGGGGAGAGGAGGGUGCCGGUGGAGAAACUCGGGCCUGAAUUUUUCUUGAGGAAGCUGAGAAGACCCUUUGACUUCAAGGCAGAUGGAACCUGGAUGGUUUAUGGGAGGAAUGGGACUUGAAGGUGCUCAAAACUUCUAGGCAGGGCUUUGAUCUAAUUAAUAGAAGUGAAAAUAGUAGGCUUGGCUGCUCUCUGUCCCAUCUCUCUCCUGCUCAAAGUCCUGGGCCAGGCACUGUUCCUUCCUUCCAGCCCAAAGACUUGAGAAAGUAAUUUCUACAGCCCCCUCCAGAGCUGUUUUCCACCCCCACAGACAAUCUGGUGGGUCAAGACACCUGAAUUAGCUGAGACUUUCCACAGUAACCGUCACUCACUUCUCUUCAGUUCAGUCCCAGACCCUUUACAAAGCCUUGAAGGCACCAUUUUCCAACACAAACACAGAAGCAAGGCGCAGCCUGCCCGCAGAACAGGACCUGUGAAAUCAGGCACAUCUCGGGACACCCUCUAAGGUGGCCCUGCCCCUGGCAUAGAAGUCUAGGGAGGCGAGGUCCCCACACACCCACCCCAGCAGCACGGACCUCAGGAGCAGAUGAACCGCCCCGCGGGCCGGCUGGUGGAAUGGGGCCGUUCCUAACGGCUGCCUCGGCUGCCUCAUCCUGCCUCGCGGUCCAGACCAGGGGUUUCGGCUACUCCUCCCGCAGCUUCCCAAAUCAAGAUGGACUCGCAGGAGACUACACCCUGCGUCUGCAGAACCUCAGAAUGCAGAACCACCAGGGGGUCCUGGCCCAUGGCCCUGGGAGGAUUGCGGCUGGGGAGAUGGGAAGGAGUCUAGGAAGGCGGAGGCCCGCACCAUCCACCCCUCCCCACCCAGAGCAGCGUGGACCUCAGAGCAGCGUGGCCGCCCCGCGGGGUUAACAGGGGCAGCCUGGCGCCGGGCGGGAAGAGCUGGGGAGAGGGGCCGGGGCGGGGCACGGCGGGUCGCGGGGAUUGAAGACCACCAGGUCCCUUCCCACGUGCCCACUGUCCGCGCGCUGCAGCCUCAGCGUUAACUGCUGUUCUUAAAGGCUGCCUCCGUCCUGCUGCGUGCUUUGACGGUGGAGCUGGCAGAACCGCAACUCCCUCUCUGAGCGUGAAAACAGACCUUGAUCACCAGAUGGGUCUUCGGAUGGGGACGCGGGAUGAAGCUGGGCCCAGGGGUGUUUUUUUGGAGGCUGGGAAACCUGGAGGGAGGCCCCCAAAGCUUCUCAGUUCUGGACUCCUUGGUCCCAAAGGGAGAGGAAGUGGGCUGGGCCUCAGCAGGGUUGCAGGCAUUGCGGGAGCAUCACGUUCAUCAGAGCAUGUUGGCAUGGAGGCCGCUCAGCCCAGGGAGGCAGGAUUUACGCCCCAAAUGGAAAGCACGCAGUGGUGCCCACCUAGAGGUGUUAAUACUGGGCAACACUUUGGGGGUGAGGAUCUGACAAUUUCAUGCCUUUUGGGGUUGUCUUCUCAAGUCUGUAGGGUCAGCCCACAGCCUGGUUCCUGUGAAGUGAGCUUGCUGUCACUGCCUCUUCAGGGACAACUGUGAGCAUCUUGAGGAGAUGCUUUGGGAUCUGUGGCAGGAGGCAAAAAGGAGAAUGUGUGAUACCCAGAAUGCACUAAAGCAUGUUCUUACAGAGCAGAAGUCAGUGGCUGCUCACCAGAGAGGGGCCCCAGGGUAGAGAAAAGUGAAAAAUGGAUGGGCUUCUAUCAGCUUACAACACUGACAACUCCCGUGGGGGGCAGGUGCCAGCCAGGGCUAUUAAAUAAUAACAGGAGGGGCCACCAUAGAUGAAAGGAAGGAGGAGGGUGGGGAGGGGAAAAGGAAGGGGACGUGCUCCAAGAAGCCACCCAGCACAGCAGUCUCAUUAGCUUUUUGCUAUCAGUCCUCAACUACAUUUAGGGGAGAGUUCCUGACCAGGCCAUCUGUCUGUCAGCAAAGAAGCGAGGAGGAGAAGUAGUGAGGCGCAUCACCCUCCGUAACUUACCUCCUCCCACCCCACGCUGAACUGGCUCCCUACUAAGAUACCCAGAGAAAUGCCUUCAUUCACAGAAUAGAAUAAACCAGAGGAAAAUUGGAGUCUGAGCCUGUGUUCCAAAGGUUCUGGGUACGAGGGCUUGAAUCCAGCAGCAUGGCUGUUAGUGCUGCAGUUUUUCCAUCCUGAGCUGUGGAAAUGAGCUCUUUCCAUUGAGAUAUUCUCUAGCUGGAACCCAGAGGGGAUAAGAAAGUGUGUGAGGAUAGCUUCCCAGGGGAGAAAGAGCGAGUGGGAGUGGGCUCCAAGCAGGGACUGUCACGCCUCCCAUCCUCUGGUGGCCUGGGAGGAUCACAGGAUGUCAAGGCCUUACUCCUAUGGCCUUGAUUCAGAUUAGCUGUGGUUCAAGACUGCCUGCAUGGCACAUGUGCAAGGUCGCCAAGGCAGUGCUGUGCCCUUAACAUUCAUCUGCUUUCCCAACCUCGAGGGCAGACUCCCUAUAGGGCAGGGAAUGCCUCAUUCCCCACUGGGCCCCCCUGUGGCUCCUGGCAUGGAACUGACACAUAGUUGGCAUUGGCAAUGCACACACUUACUAGAUCUUAAAGAAGGCCAGAACCAGAACCAGAGGCGCAUAAAUAAGAUCUGUAUCAGCAGUGGGGUAGAGAAAGGGUGGGAAACUAAGUGACAUCUUAGAAUGCAUCCAAGGAAGUAGAUGGAUUUGAGCUUUAACUACUGCAGAAUGGCACCUGAGCAGGCCCCAUUUGUUCAUACUUACCGCUAAUUGAAUAUACCUUCCAGGAAUGUAAGAGCCAGUGGGAAAUUCCCCUCCUCCUGAAACACAAAGGGUUUCUGGAUGGGCACUGAUUGUCUAUAGGCCAUGGCUUAAGACCAAAAUAUCUUCCUGCUCCCCGCAAAAAUAUAUGGUGACUAUAUAUUCUUGCCUGCCUAGUCAGCUUUGGUUAAUUCAUAAAGUAAAGGGGCCCUGAGCCUGCCUGCCCGGCCCAGAGUUUAGAGUUGAAAGGGAAACAUCUCUGAGUGGAAACCAAGCACAUGGAUCGAAUGGUCCUGAUGGUGCAUAGGGCCUUAGGUUUGGAAAGAAGGGAAGGGCCUGCCGCCUUGCUGGGGACUUGAGCCUCUCAGCUAUUGGAGCUCUCUGGAGCUGCCCUGUCCCCAGGGGCAAUGGGCCCUUGCUGGCCUCCAGGCCCCCUCCUUCCCUGGAUUCUGUGCUGUUCUCUGCUUGGUCUUGUUUCAUUAGCUGUGGCAGAAACUUUGGUUCUGACAAGGCCCAGGAAACAGAGCCUAGCAAGGACCUGAGACAACUAGGUGCCCCAGGACCACAGGAACUCACGUGCGCUAUGAGGGCUUUAAGAAUUUUGAAGUGGGGCGUCUCCCACAGGGAUCAGGGAUGUGGGUGCUGAUGCUGUUGAUAAGCCACAUGCAAAGGUUGGGGUCACUAUGACUGCUUCUCAGACCCUCUCCGGAGGCAGACUUUCCCUCUCCUGCCCGGCCAAGUUCCCUUUGGGCAGAAGGACCUAGGGAGCUUUCCCUGGCCCAGGUGGCACAGGCCCUGGCCCCCACUCGGACAACGGUCCCUUGCUGUGCCCACUGAAAGAGAUCCCCGAAAGAUAAGCUCUGUUCCAAGCAGGGCAGACAAGGAACAAUGGGAUUAGGGCUCCAAAACCCUCCAGUACUGUCAGAGAAUUCUGGACAGGGGCUGGGAACAGGAGCCCUUCUCACAGGCACCUCUGCAGGUGGGAUUGACGACUGUCAAAUACUGGCCGAGGCCAAGGGAGACUCUGUCACAUCUGAGGACACAGGCAUGGUUUCCUCUGGACUUCAGUGAGAGGCAGAGGCCUCAGCCCCAGAGAGUUAUCUCGGCUCUGCCUGGGAAGAAGUGAGGGAAGCACAUUCCUCCCCGAGAGUUGGCCUCUGAGGAGGCAAAGUCAAGUAUGUGAUAGAGGGUUCCCUAUCUGUGCAGCGGGGAAAAUGGAGCUUGGGGGUCAGCUGUCUGAAGGCAUGAUUCCUGGUAUGACUCCUACGAGCCCAAGCUACCUAUUCCUGCACAGAAAUGCUCCCUGGCCUCAUCCUGUGGGUGGCAAAACCACAUAUCCAGUUAUUGAUCUUUUCGUCCUCCUUUAGAUACUUGUCUGUAAUAAAUAUUUACAGUGGGACCCACAGACGAACCUUAGUCCCAAAGGUUAAGAAAGUGAAAAAUUCAUCUGAAAAGGGGUCCUAGGCAGGGAUACCGUAGCGGGGACAGGCAGAAAACAAAAGCGAGCCUCUGGGCCACCUUCUCCCUCAGCAUUCCGUGUAAAGAUGGGCUUGCAGGAGGAGACCACACCCUGCAACUGUAAAACCUCAUGAUAUGGAACCACCAGGGGCUCUUGGCCCAUGGCCCUGGGUGGAGUUGAUGUUGGAGAGAUGAGAUUAGUAGUGGGGCGCAUCCCCCUGCCAUGACUUCCUUCUCCUGCCACAUGCCUGUCCUUCAGACCCUCUCCCUGCUGUGCCAGAGCCCCUGAGUUCAGGGAGCAACUGCGGGCAGAUGAAAUUGGGCGAUGGUUAAGUGUGGGAAGUCCCUGUGGACUUCUAAAAGCCCUUCGGUUUCUGCCCUGCUUGGCAUGCUUCCAGAACCCAGGGUGGCGGUGAGGUGGGAGCCAGCAGAGGGCAGGGAAGAAGUUCCAGGAUCAAAGCUCACCUUUCCUUUCUUUGCCCUAAUCAGGCGGAAAACCAUGGGGGUGAGGGCUUGGCCAUCGCCCAGACCCCAUUCUCGUGGACAGCGAGGUCUUUGCCUGUUUGGAUCAUUUGCUGCCCAUGUGUUUCAAGCUGCCCUGCACUUCACAGGCUGCUUGGAACCCCUCCCUGCCCAUCCAGUAAGAAGCACCCCCUGGCAAGAGGCAGAGGACGGGGGGCUUUUAGUCUUGCAGCCCUUGUUUGUUUUAAAUGUCAGGCUGACUUCUCAAUGACAGAAAUAUUUUAAUGGCAUGGCUUUAGCAAACGAGACUCAAGGCCUGGAAGGACAUGGCCAGGUCUUACUCACUGAUCAGUUUAGUUCAUCCUGAGGAGUGACGUUAGAAGGAAAGAUUCUUUCGCCAGAUCAGAUUGGACUUAGGCAGAAUAAACCAAAACACCAAGAGAAGCAGGCACUCUGGCCAGAAUGGGGAGGGGCUAAAGAGCAGGCAACAAGCUGGGACGAGCUGGGAAUCUGGGCAACACAGGCUUGUAAGGGCACAGGCUUCCAGUGGCAGAGAAAUUGGGUUUGUAGUAAAGACUUAAACCUGUUAAAAUAAAUUGGUUAGCAAAGGAUCUCUGCUCUUUAAACUCAAAACAGCUGUUCUUAGUCAAUAGUCACAUAGCAGAUAUUAAGUAGGAAGCUUAAAAGGAGGAGAUGGCAGCUUAAAACAUGCACUAAGAUGCCUUAUUGGCUAAGAAAUGCACAUGCAAACCCACACCCAGGUGUUAAGGAAAAAGUACUCAUAGUGCUGCUUGCUUCUUCUGCCCCUUGUCCCAAGCUGCACACCUGAUCCUACCCCUGUCCCCAGUAGGCUGGCAUCUUCACAGUCACUUCCUCCCACCCAGGACAACAGCGCCCCUGGAAACACCGGCCUGCAGCCACAAUAAGGGUGUCCAUGGAUUCCUAGAACUACAAGUGGUGGAAGGCAGCCUGCUCUCCAGCCCUCCCUGUCACACACACACCCUCCCCUGCAGCAGGUGGAUGGCUCUGUUGGCUGAGGCUCUGCUGGAGUCCUUACCUGCCCCUCACCAAGGGACAUAUGCACCUCUGAUAAUGGGCAUAAGUUGGAUGUCAGUGACAGGAAGAGCCUAGACCACACCCUAGGAGACAGUGCCUUCUUUUCCUUUAAGCAUCCUCUUCCCUACUUGGUUUUCUGGAUAUUCCAAGAAUCUCCUUUUCCUUGCCUCCUUUUCUCAGCAGUUUCCUGUGGAGUGUCUUCAGCAGAUCACCAUUGCUUUCAACUUUGGAAGGAGCAGGGCUUCUGGGGACACCCAAGACUUUCCUGGGCAGAAUGGGUGGCUAGCUUCUCCAGGUAGGGCAGCCCAGCUCCUGUCUGCAUGGAGUUGGAGCUGCCAGCGCCAGGCUGGUCAGGGGCCAGGGUAAAGCUAGUUCAUACUGCCUUCCUGGGUGAAUAGCUGGAGCUCAGUGAGGCUACCUGGGAACUGAGAAGCAGCACAGGAAAAGUACCUCAUCCACUCGAUGCCUCCUCGCUAUCAAAUCUUGUAAGAGUUUUGUAAGGACAGGGUGCUUCGUAAGGACCAAGCAUUUUAGCAGAAGGUAAAUUUUGGAGAUUUAAGUAUUGUAAGAACCUCUCAGGGCAGGGUGGGUGGUUCUUGGCUGGAAGGCUGGCUCCCACACUCACUGGCAGGUGCUGACCUCGAGGGGCUGCUCCCUCUUUGUGGCACCAGAGGUUUUGCCAAGUUCUGCUGGUGAACCAAGGUCGCUGAGUACCAUCUUCAUUGGGACUGUAGCCUAUUUGACCCGGGGCUAGAACCCAGCCUGGGCUCAGACAAUGCCUCUGGUUAGAAUCAGAAGCAACAGGUGGGAGAGCGCUGGGGGAGUCACGUGUCUGCCCAGGUGAAAAGAUUCCUGAAAUUACCCACAUGUCAUUUUCUCCAUGAAUUAACCUGAGUGUUCAAUUUCUGAAGGCUUUGAUCUCCUAAAGGGCCUGUCUUAAUUCUCUCUGAAUCUCUCAGUGCUGUGUUAUUGCAACAGUCAUUUUCCUCCUGAUCGAGGUCUUUGGAAUGAAAUGGAACUAUAUGGAGGCUUCUCAGUUUGAGAAGUUAUCAUCUCUGGGCUCUCUCGAAUUCCACACUUUCAGAGCCAAAAUCCAGAAAGAAGGGGCAGUAACCCAAAUAGGUACUUCACUCCCAAAGAACCCCCUCUUCACUCUAGCUUGAGUCAGAGACCUAGUGAGUGCCUCGGAUUCCCGCAGGCAAGGCUUAGUGGUUGAUGAUCAGUGUGGAUGGGCAGGAGGGUAGACUCAGCAGAGUCACAGUGGGCUCACUAAUGUGUGCAGGGUGCUGUGGCAUGGGGGUGGAAGCUAGCUGGCUUCAAUGUUUAAGAACUUUUAAGUCCAUGAGCCUCUGGCUUUCAACAAGGGUAUGAGAUGGCCAGGGAGGUAUGUGGGUCUUUACAUUUCAAGAUAAGCUGAGUAAGGCUUGAGUAUCUAAACACAAGACUUGGGCAGGUGCUGGGAAGAGGAGAAGGACCACCUAACGCAGUAGGAACUUCAGUGGAGGUGGUGAGGGAUAUAUAGUCUCCUUGGGGAUAGAGGACAGAACUUCUUUCCUAGGGAGGAAAGAAAGGGGUUUCUUGGCUGGAGGGCAAUUUGGUCUCUCUGGGAAGAGUGAGUGGUUCUUGGCUGAAAGGCUGAAGCGUAGCUGGGAUGGGGCUCCAGACUCUGUCGCAUGUCCUGCCACUUAGAAUGACGGCUAUGGAAACCUCCGGGCAGCCAGGGGAGGUUUCUUUCCAGCAUUUGGAGAGACUUAAGUUGUAUGAUAGGACCAGUGGCUGAUGGCCAAGUUAAGUGGCUCUCUUUUAUCCACAGGGAUCAACAUUCCUUAACCUCUAUUGAGAAGUAUCCACACUCCAAGAAUGGAGCACACUAAGUGAAUGAAAAAUCGAAUCCUUCCCUACACAUCCAGCAAGAAAGCUGGCACACAUUCCCAGAAAGGGAGGGCAUGCCUCUGGAAGCCAGGGGCAGGCUUGGUGACGCAAGAGUGGAUUGGUCAAAAGCCAAAUGGUCCUGACCCUCGCCUGUCCUGCUUGCUGUGGCCCAGAGGGUGACUUUCACUCUCCAGUGACUGGUAGGAGGCUUUUGAUCAUCCAGCCGAGGGGAAGCAUGGCAUCUGCAAGACAGAGUGUAGGGAUUUAACCACGGUUAUCAGCAAGAGGCAGGGUGAAGGCCUCUGCAUCCUGCUUCUUCCCCAUCAGUGAAUGCCGAACCCAAGGUCUCCUGGUCUCAGAAGGGCCAGCGUGGGGAGCAAGUGAUUUCCUGUUUUAUUUCUAGAUUGGCUAGAAAUGCAGGCAGGGCCAAGAGCAGCCGUCUCACAAACCCACGUUCCUCUCCCCCACUGCCUGCCAUCCUCCCCCAGGCUUCCCAGGCCUCUGUGAAGUGCCUCACUGCCCUGAGGCCCAGGCCUGCGGCAGCACAUGGAGAGCUCCUCCUCCCUGCUUCAUCUGGUCAAACCCCGCCUUCUGUUCAGAUCGCAGUUCCAAUGCCAGUCCCUGGAUAACAUAUUCCCUGCCCCUUCAGGCAAGGCCACUGCCAGGGACGUGUCUGUGAAUCACUCCCUCAUAGCACCCAGCACGACUUGAAACCCAACAUUGAUUUGGGUGAUUGUUUGAUUAAUCUCUCUCUCGCCUCCAAGACAGACCUCACGCAAUUCAGCUGAACAUCUUUCCCUGCCUUUGGCACUUAAUAGAUACUCAAUAAAUAUUUGUAGAAUGCAUGAAUGCCAGGGACAAUGUGAGUUCCCUCCUCUUACACACAUUCACCUAUGUAGCCCUUGUUCAUUGGGCAAUUUGCUUGAAUUACUUGGCUGUCCUAUUACUUGACCACAUUCAGGGUGGCCCAGGGAGACAAGACAGGUGAGGAGAAGGGAGGAGGAGAUCCAUCUGACAGCCAGGGGCAUAAAGAGGACGGUGGAGGUGGAGAACAACAGUGAAGGGCGGGCAGAGGAAGACCGCCUAGUGUCAGGGGGAGCGGGAGUGAGAGGAGGCUGGAGAAGAAAACCAAAGGAGUCACUUAAUGAGAAAUGUCUGUGCCAUGGGGGGCCGGGGGCAGAUUUGGAAGGGGCAGGCAGGGCUGUGGCUGCAGAUGCCACAAGGGAACUGUUAUUGGGUGCCAGCCCAGGAGUGGGCAGAGGCACCCUCGAGGGCUGAGAUAACGUGCACACCCAGCACAGCACAAAGAAAGGGAACUGAGGGUUUCAACCGGUGCAGCCUUUCUGUAGGGCCAUCUAACAAAAUCAAAUAGAAAUAAAAAGGAGAGCCGCUUUCGAGAUUCUCCCCAACAGAAAUAAUACAGAACUCCGUGAGGAUAAGCAUGCAGGGACAGUUGUGGCAGCCUGGCAGCGUUUCUUAAAAAAAUGGGAAGCAACCUGAGUGACUGCGAAUUGGGGAAUCUUUCAACUCAUGGCACAUCAACAGAAUGGGGUGCAGUGCAGCCUCACAGAGUGUGGCCAGGCGUGCGUACUGAUCUGAUGUGGAACCAGGUUAGUGCAUGGCUUAAAAUCAUGAUGCGAGCUGCAGAAUAAUACGUGUACUGGGAUCUCAUUUAUGUUUUUGAGACCCACUUCUGCGUGUGCGCAUAAAACUACAUUAUGUUUGUGUGUCGUAAAGUCUGGGAGAACACUGGCUCCACCCUGAACACUGUUCGGGGCAGGGUGAGAGGGAUUCAUGCUUUCGACUGUCUCUUUAGUGUUGCUGAGAUAAGAAUGUAUUUCCUCUGUAAUAAAAAGAAAAAGGAAAGGUUGUAGGAUGUGGCAACAAAGAGGGGGCUGAGUCUCUAGGGGGAUGAGACCCAUGAGCUGGGGCGAAAAGAGACCAAUGACACCAGAUGAAAUGAACAGGAAGGGUGACAGGCCUUCCACAGGCUGCGAACAUCCUUCAGAGGUUUCUGGCAGUUUUGAAAGAGGAUGCGAGCUUAAGCAAGCGGGGUACUGGAGGGAGGGUUUAAAUCUAAUGAGAGGCAGGCUAAGGGGAGGGAGGUGAAGGCAGAGGGAACUUAACAGAAAUCUGGGGAGAGGGAUACUUGGCUGGAGGGCCAGCCUGGGUGAGCAGAAAGGCUGGCACGUCCAAAGCCCAGGCAGAGGCAUAACCCUACAGAAGGGCGAGGAGUACAUUGGAGGUAACAGGAGACGUGAGGUAGGAGGGCCAGUGGCAGGAUGGGGACGGGGGGAGUUCACAACUGAUGGCCGAGGGGUUUAUCAGUGAACUAAGAGUGGAUGUUGUCAACUGAGAGGGACAAGGGUUUGAGGGCAAUGAUAAACUCCGGGAACUCGGGGGAGAAGGGCCAGCAGGAGUUAGCAAAACUGACUGCUAGGCAGCAGCAGAGAGGGCCCCGCCCAGCUGAGCUGAGAAUCAUACAUUUGUGAUGGAAGACUGGUGGUUAUCCAUUUUUCUCUUAGCAGAGCUAAAGUGCAAGUCUUGAGAAAAUGAAAGGUCCCAUGGUUCUGAGGUUGGAGAGCACCAAGGCAAGCCCAGCAUAAAGAAAAGGAAACCAAGGGUUUUAAACAGGUUGACUAGAGAAAGAAGGUGAUGUGGAACUGAAGAGCUUCACGUUGGCUGGAGAAGGGAGUGGCAGGAAGCCGAGGUGCUGCGUAGGUGACACUGGGAUCAGGGUUUGGCUGUGGGGGCGGGCUGCAGAAGUGGAGAUGAGUGACAAGCCUCCUUGGGGGUUGUCAAUGUCAUUUAGGCUGAGCAGCACUGGGGCAGAGACGAAAUUAGUGAGUCUGAGACUGGAGAUCUCCAUUCAUUCAUUCAACAAAUAUUUAUUGAGCAUCUACUGUGUGCAGGCAUGCUUCUAAUAAGCUCUUGUGGGGACAUGAAUGUGGAAGUACAGCAGGUUUUGAUAGACAGAUGGGAAGACAGUCACGUGGCAUGAGAGGGCUCCAAGGGAAGAGGAGGCACCAUUAGGACGGGGUAGAUGCCAGUAGAUGCCAGUGAACCACAGGCCUGGAGGCCUUACCUGAGGGAGAUGCUAAAGAAAGGAGCCUUGCUGUUUUAGAAGAUUUGGAAGAGGAGCCACCCUAAGGGAAGGGUGGAUUUUGGAUGAGGGGAAGAGACACCAGGAAGCCAGUGUCCUCCGCUUCCUCCUGCAAUGUGGGCUGCCUUCCCAAGCCCCCUGGGGCUCAUAGGCUGCUACCAGGCCAAAAGGAAGGGCAGGGCAAGGAGCAGGGCACCUCUGUCAUCAGAUAGCACGAGGCUCCUUCCCCAGGGCUGUGGCACUCUCUGUGACUAGCUCUGGAUUUUGGUCCUCGCCCACUGAAUGAAAGUGCCGAGAAACAAGAAGGCUAAAGAGGAAUGGACUGAGGAGAUACAGUGCUAAGAUACAGGGCUCCAUGAGGAGCGAGGCGUGGCCAGCACAGGAGCAGAAGCCCCAGGACAUUCCUGAGGGAAGGGGUAGAUGCACACAGUGGCAGGGCUGGAGGACAGUCAUACACAGCGGGAAAUGUGAUCCCAUGGAAGUCACGGCUACUGCAAGGCAACCACAGACACAUCUGGUUCCACCAAGUCUCAGGGAUCCCAUUAGACGGCAGCUGUCCCUCUGAUGGCUUCUUCCUGCCGUUGGGCCACUCUGAAGCAUGGGAAGGAAGAGGUCCAGGGGCCAGUGGUGGCGCCAGUGGUGGGGUCAGUGGUGCAGAAGAGCCUGGGUGGAGGUGUGUGGUGAUGACAUGAUGGCCUUGGCUCAUACUGUGGCUCUCAGGGAGGCUGCCUUUCCUUCCACCUGGACACACUGGCCCUCUCCCACAUUGACUUUUCAGAUUGAGCUCCUUUUUCUGGCAUUACCUGCUUUUUUACCAGUCCCGUUCCCUCUACCACCAACCUCGUCAUUUGACUUGAGUGUCCUGGUCUCCGUCACUUGGCUUGGCUAUUCUGGUCUUCAUUCCCUGUCCCUUGAGGAGUGGGUGGGGCAGAUCCCCCAAGUACUCAUGCCCAUCAGUGUGAUAGCUGCUAUCAAGUUCUGCUUUUUAGAUUCCAAAUGGAGCUGUGGAUGAUGUGGAGCCUUUGGCUUCCCUGCCAGUUGAGAAGAUUUCUGCUUGCAAGGGCAGGCAGGCUGCUCUGAGUCUGGAAUGUUCUUUCUGGAAUGGCUGGAGGCAGGAGCCAUUUGUGUAGAAAGUCAUUGAUGGAAACAUUUUCCUCGAGAUGGCCUCAAGGCUUGGUGAUGUCCCGUCAGCCAGCCAGAAGGUGAUGGAGUGUUGCCCUUUCUUCUCCCAGAACGGAAGGGGAGAGAAGGCGAGCAGGAAGUGAGGUGCGGGAGAGAAAGAGAGAGCGAUGGGAAAAGAGGACACUGGAAGGAACGGGGAUACUGGAAGGAAGAUCUACUCUUCCAGUCUGCAGGUGGCCCCGAGGAGCAGCUGUAGUAGGUCAUUGUAGGGGAUAAUUACAGGCUUACAGGGGGGAAAGGGCAAAGCUGCUUAGAAGAGGGUCCAGGGUGGAAGAGCAGAAAGCAGAAAGUCCUGGCAGUGCCUUCGCUUCCAGGGUUGGAGCGGGGAUGUGGAUGUGUGCUCACCUCACCUUCAGUUAAACUCCGAGGGCCUCCUUUGGGGAGAAGGAAGGGACACCGUUGUGGAGAGUGGGCUUCCUUCCUUUCUCCUCCCCACCUCCCCACUGUGCAGAUGCUGGGGGUCUGAGCAGUUAGGGUUCUCAGAAGGGCCUCACAGACAGUGGUUUCUCCAGGGUUGUGUGGGGGGGGGGGAGGGGCGUUUUGCCUGGAGCCUGGGCCAUGAACUGGAAGUGUGGAGUGACUUCUUGCCUGGCCACGCCUCCCCGCCACCCCAUCCUGGGCUGGAGCCUUGGGCUCAGCUCACGAGUGCACACUGCUUUCUGUGGGAACCAGUAGGCUCAUGGUUGCUUGGAAACCAUUCUGGUGUCUUACAAACCAAGCCUCUUCACCUGGCUUUCAUUCACUGCACACAGGAAGAGCCCGCAGCUAGCAAUGCUGUGCACACUGUGUGGCCUGGAACGUGAGAAAGGCCACAGCUAGAGCUUCUGCCAGGGCAGCGCCACUGAGGACAGUCACAGGUCAGCUGCAGGACGAUGCCCCUCUGCUGCUGAGUCCCCAGCGGGGUCCCAUUGCUCCCUCCAUUACCCUUAUAGGGCUCUCUCUGAGUGGAUCUAUGCCCUACUUCAAAUUUAUUUUUAGCAUAGAAAACUCUCCAGAGCGAAGAGCUUACCUGCUUUAUUCAAUGGGUUCUUGCAGCCCAGUAUCAGCCUUAGCCAUGAUACUGUAGGAUUCGUAGGCUGAUUCAUAAUCCCUGCUGACAUAUCCUUAAAAGACAGGGUAGAGGCUACACACCACUCAGCCCAGCCCUCUUCUUUCUGGAACACCCCCAUUCUCCACACCCCCAGCUCCCGGCACCUUCUCUGGACUAGAAAAAGCCCCAUAGCAUCUUGCUUCACCGACGACACAGUGAGCAGAUGUCCUGUGCAGAAGCGCCUUGCUUGUGUGAAGUAUGAGAUGAGGCUCUAUUUUGCUUUCAGUUGGUGGCCCCACCCUUCUGUUGUGUUCUCCUGUUCUCACAAGCGUCCAGAUCCUCCUCUUCAUCUCAAGGCCACACCUUAUGCUUGUCCACUCUGUCCACUUCCCUGAACCCUGGGCUGGGCCUCCUGCAGCCUCCUUCCCUGUGGCUGGAAAUCUAACCACCCACAGUUGCCAUUUGUCUUUGGUGCAGCCCAUUUCCCCACUAGAAAUAGCGUUCAAUAAGACAGGUUCCAGCAGUCCUCCCGUGACCAACCCGCUGGUAACGGUUCUGCACUCGGAAUCACACAUGCUCAGCCCUGCUUCAGGGUUUUGCUUUCGAUAAACCAUUUCUCUUAUCCUUAGUUUUUGAAACUGCAUCUUUCUGUGUCAGAUUUCUUCCUCCUUAAAAACCCAGCCCCCAGGGACUUGCCUGUUUCAUCUUUACCCCAGCCCCCUACUGGCUUUCCCAUUUAGCUAGGAGAUACUUUUCUGACACUUUAGGGAUGGCAUCGAGGGGGAGGAAGCUGGGCUCGCUGCACCCUGCCCACGCCUGCCUUGCCUUAGCCUUCCCUAGGUUGGUACAAACACAUAGACCCUCUCAAGUGAGGGCUUCAUUGGCAAUUUGUCCAGACAAUACCAAAGGAGGGUCCACAGGGGAGGGGACGAAGACUCCAGGAGUGUCACUGGUUCCUUUCAGUUUACUCUCUGGUCUCUAGUGCAAUGUCCAUGAAGAUCCUCAGUCUGUCUCGGAUGUCUUGAAUGGUGCUGAUAUAGUCCCACUGUCUCUGCUCUUUCUCACGUUCUUCUCCAGGGUCUGUUCCCAGUGAGAUCCUCGUGCCCGAUGUCUUGCAUUUGCAUGUGCAUUGCAGAGGCACUGGCUGCACCAGGAAAAUGAAGUCGAGGGACAUCUCUCCAGGUCUCUCCCACUGGGGGGCAUGGCCCAGCUGCCCUUUCUGAGUCUGAUCGUUGGAUAUGAAGCCUUCUUUACCCACCUUGCGCACCCUUUGCUCUUUUAGGCUGUCUUCUAUUCACUGCCGCAGGCCCAAAUUUUGUCAUGAUAGAUCACUGAGCUCCAUCCAAAAUACCUGGCUUGGUAGGGUCUUGGCUCCUGCUGGCUCCCUGACAGAGAAGCACACACCCUACCUAGGAUGAUUGGCAGCCUGGAGGCUCAGGAAGGACAGACUGUUUGCUCUGCAGCCCACCUGCCAAGGUUUUGCUGCGCUCUACACAAUGUGUGUGGCUUGUAUUGCGAAAAACACUUGUUGGCUUAUUUCCUAAAUGCAAAAACUCUAAUAUGCUUUGAUUCAAAAGGAAACUUGCUGAGAUUCUGAGGCUCUUCUGGGACCUCCAGGUAGAGUGGUUAGAUAGGAGGCCUGAAUUCUGGCAGAAGGGUGGGACCAGGGAUGGGACAGGUGUGAGUUUUCCACAUUCUGUCUUGACAGAGAAGCCCCAGAAAGAAAGAGAUUAACCCAGAACGUUGGAGAAAGUUGUCAUUAAGAGGCAGGUGAAGGAACUGGGAACUGGUUAAAGAAAAAAAAAAGCGGGGGAAAGAGGGUGGGGUCCGGUGUACAGAGAGCAAUUAGGAAAAACUGCACUCCAGGAAGUCAAGGGACGCGUCUCAACAGAGAGCCUGGGUGACAAUGUCAAACGCCACCUAGAGAUUAUGUGCUGGAGGCCUGAGCAGUGUCCUGUGGAUUUAGUAAGGCUGUUGGGGAGCUCAGCUCCAACUGCUGCUGUGGGGUGAGGGGAGGGCGCACUGGUGGCCCCAGGAGGGAAGGAAGGAGUGGGCCACUGGCAGCCUGAGGAGAAGAUGCCCUAGAGACGGGAGGGGCUGGGAUUUCUGGAUAGAGGGAGAAGACUGCAGGGGUCAAGUCUUGGAGAGGUUGGGGAGAAGGGUCCUGAGUCAGACCUUGGGAAAGAAGAGGUCCUGUCAAUGGGCAUGUGGGAGGGUUGGGAGGCAGACGAAGGCCGCUAGGCUCUGAGCCCUCCUUUCCUCAGUGAAAUAGCUGCUGAGAAUAUUUUCUGAGUUUCUGGCUAACAGUUGCAAAAAGCCCAGAGGAGAUUGCAAGAGGUGAGGCAGCUGAUCAAAGCCAAGUGGAAGGGCAGGCCCUGAGGCCCAGCUGAGGAGGGAGGGAGGCAGAGGUUCCCGGCACAGUGGCUGUGCGGGAUCAGCUUUCCUGCAGCCUGAGCGCCUGUGGAGCUGGGGUGGAAAGGCAGAGCAGACACUGCCCUGGUUCGGGGCUGAUAAGGAGGCUGAGCUGAGCUGUACGGACAAAGGCCCAAUGAGGUGGAUGCUGGUGAGAGGAGCUCAGCGGUGAAGGAAGGAAGGGAAGCCUGGAUGUCGAGAACCCAGAGGGACCCUGGAACCUUUCCAUGAGAUUGGAAAAUGGGAAGUUCUGUUUUUUUGCAAUGACUAUAUGAUUAUCUUUGUAAUCAGAAAAAAAAAGUCCAUUGAAAAGUCAAACUACCCGAAUGCCAGUUAACAGUGUAAUGGAUAAAUAAAUUGUGUAUUUCUAUAAUGGAAUACAACAGCAAGAUGCAGCUUCCAAACAUAACUGUCACACAUAAAAUGGCUAAAUAUUAUUAGCAAUCAUUUGUGUAAGGUUCAAAACACAGGCAAACGUAAGCCGUGGGGUUAGAAUUCAGGACAGGGAUUACAUUUGUCGAGGGAGGUCACAGGAAGGUCCAGGGAGGGGGGCUGGUUGCUGACCUCGAUGCUGGUCACAUGGGUCCAUGCAGUCAUUGGAAUGCACUGGCCUGGAAAUAUGACACGUGUGUGUAUUUUUCCCUGUGUUUAUUCAAUUUCCGUCAAAAGUUGACUUAAAACCAAAAAGACUAACGUGAAGCAAUUCCACUGGGCUUUAAGGCCAGUUGCUUCUGCAGUCACCUCUAGUAGAUGUUGGUCCAGCCAGAAAUGGCAACUGUCAAAGUAGUGGUAAGCCUUCUUGUCCCCUGCUCAGGGGAAGGGACCUUUGUCCUGGUCCCCUGUCCUCCAUUCAGAUGAUCAACCACACCAUAAACACAAGAGGCCAUUUCCCUUCUUGAAGCCUCUGCUCUCCACCUGCAGCUCUGCAAGUUGUACCCUGCACUCGGGGGCUCAUCUGAGGGGCAGAGACCCAGCCCCAGGCAGCAGGCUGAGCAGGGUCCAGCUGCCCUAGGUUCCGCCCAGAGGGGUUACCUUUUUAUAAUAUGUCCAAUGAUAUACAGCAGAUUCAAAACAGCCCUACUGGGGGAUUGGGGGCAAACGCUGCUGAUACAUUGCACGUCUGGACUGGAAAAAGGAAUUUGAGUGUUCCGUGAUAUUGUCACACUAACAAUAAUCACAGUACGUAUGGUGGGCAAAGAAGUUUCUUGUGCUCGAAGCACUUGGGUGUACAUCAUCUGUGACCAGGGCUUUGCCCAAGUUCUGGUGAGAAGGGUAGAGGCAUCACUCCUGGCUAGAGUGUCUACUCGGGGUGGCCAGGCUCUGGAUGUGAGAGGGCUGGUUUGGACAGGGUGGUCAACAGUCCUUCUCCCCCACCUCUGUGCGUCAUCGGCAGACUGGAUGGAUGUCUGCCAUUCGUUUGCAAAAUAUGUGUUUCUGGGGUUCUGCGCACCCACCCUCAUUCUGGGCCGAUGGAACCCUUCUGUAGCCCUGAACAUUCUCUAGUGCCUGCUUCUGAGUCUGUGAGAAGCCCCUCAGGUACAGGUGGGGAGCUGAGGCCCCCUCUCCGGCCCUCCCUCCCAGCAGGCUCCUGCUCACAACGGCCCCUAAGGCUCUACAUUUAGCUGCCUGUGACAGCCGGUCAUGGGCCUCGUCUUUUUGUUAUACAGGACACAGCUUUCUUCUUUUUUUCUUUUCAAAUAUUCUCCAAGCCUUCCUGUGGAGGUUUUGCUCUUUAAACAGCUCCUUUUGAUUUUUCCCCUUACCAGUGACCAUAUUUCAUCAUCGUUCCUCCUCCUGAAAUUAGGUGCUUUAGGGGGGUAUAUUUGGGGCCCCCUCUGCCACCAGAGCAUUCAAUAUCAUCACAUGGGCAUCGGGAGCCUCCAUGCCCCACCACGGAGCCCUCCUACUCCAGGGCCUGUCACUUUGGAGAAUGAGCCCACUUCCUCUCCCCUCUCUGUGGAUUUGGAAACUCUGUAUUUGAGGGAGCUGCCAGGUGUCUUAAAGAAGAGCCGUGCCUAGGUGUCUCGUCCAGAUAAGAGAGUUGGUAGUCGGAGCCAAGAGAAGGGCGUUUCCUCCCGAGGGCGGGAGUGGCCUCACUCAGGGAGGAGUCACUGCUCUCGUCAUCAUCCACACAAGUGGUGUGUCUGCAGGGACAGCCCUCUAAGAAGCUUUGGGGAUAUUUCAGGGCAGUUAGGAAGAUGGGAAGUUGGGAUUAAGGAAGACACAGCUUUGCCUUAGCGGUUUGCUUUCUGUGUACAGUAGAACUGUGUGCUUAACCAGACCCUGGCAGCCUCCUAUUCUCUGUCUUACUGCAGAGUUUCUGCUAGGUCGUGGCCACUCACCACUGAGCAGGGCUAUCGCCCAACCUCUCCUGCCCGCCUCCGUGGAGAUGCCGCACCAAUCACUCCACGCCAGCCCUUGUUUUUCCAGUUCGAGGGUGCUUGCGGAGAAACUGUUCUACACUUUGCUUUUCUACCCCUCCCCAGGCCUGUCAGUUGUCAGAUUCGGCGGGUCACUUUUGUCGUUGUUCCACUUUCUUCAAAUCCCUUUCCACGGCUUCCUGAUCACUGACUAUCACAGGGUUGGUGCCCAUCAGAAUCUUGUGCAGCUUGAUGCUGAUUUGUUUUUGUUUUUUUUUCCUAUUUUGGUUGAAAAACUGCCCUGAUUUGCGCUUUACUCCCAGCAGCUUAGAGCUGUUCAUCCAGCCUUUGCGUUUGGUCUCAGAGUCCUGCUGCGUCUUGCAGUCUGCACUGGAACUGGGGAUGCGCAGGAGCCUGGGAUGAAAGCACUGGUGCUGAAAUGCACACCUCCAGGCCUGGAGUGGGAGGGAUAGAAUGGAGCCGUGGUUUAGCCUGAAACAGCCUCGGGCCUAUGGAGAGGGUGGCAGCGACGGCUGCUCAGUACGGAUUGAUUUGGAGCUGGAGAUCAUGGAAUUCAAGAGCAAGUGAAUAAAGGGGCUGAGAAGAGGGCUAGGGGGAGGCUGAGAGGAGCCGCCUGGGAAGACUCCCAUGAUGUGAAGAGAGGGAGAGAUGUGAGGUCGUGCAGACCUCCAUGGUGGUGCAGGCCAGUUCAGGGAGGCUGUGGGUGGGCAUUGGGCCUGGGGAACAGCAGGGAAAGGUGCCUGGGAGAUUAUGCCACACUUCUGGGCCACUGGUGAGCAAAGGCUCAGCAAUGCAGUCGGGACCUCUCUUCUGCAGCCAUUCUUUGUAGCUCUGCAGGCUGCCUCGGGCCUACUCUGGGGGGCUUGUCUCUGGCUGUGGCUCCAGCUGCUGCCCUCCCCUCCCCUGCCUACCUGCUGUCUGUCCUGCCUGCCUCAACCACACAGUCCAUGGCAGCCCAUUCCCAGGCAGGUGGUAAAGCCACUUAUCUGGAAAUUAGCCUCCCUCCCUCCCUCUGCCUGCCCCCAAAUCCAGUGACCUGAGCUCCUGCAGCCAGAGCCUUUCCCCACCUGCUUCCUUAGUCCCAGCAGCUCUCAGCUGGUGUGAACGGUCCAAGGAGAGGUGAAGGCUGUUCGGGCAGGACUGCAGGAGGGGAGCCCUGCUUGUCUUGUGACUGUUCCCUCUCCAGGUGCUAUGGAUCUGAGGCAUCGGCAUCGUUAAAGAGUGCUGUGACAUUUUUUGUUUUUGGAAUCUAGGACUCUGUGACUUCCCAUUCUUCCUUCUCAUUCUCUGUCUGCUCUUUAAGGCCUGGAUGAAGCCCUCACCCUCCACGAAGCCCCCUUCGUUCACUCCAGCCCUCUGUCACCCCAGUCCUCUGGCAACAUAGAGCAUUUUCCGCAGCCCGUAUUCAUUUAGCUUUUAUCAUGCUCUAUUUAGGCGUCACUCUGUUUUACUUUCAAAGAGUUCCUUCGGCAUCUUUUUCUGUCUAGCAAGAUGAUAAACUCCUUCUGCCCUGCCCUUCCUGACUUGAGGGAUAAAUGAAGGCUUGUGGGGGCACUCGGGGAAGCUGGCCUACAUGCUACCUGCCUGCGUAUGUAAUGGUGGCUGACGGUUCAAUAUUAACGGGUACUGAAUAAGCCUGGUACCUGCUGGAGACAGCAAUGACAUUUGCUCUCACAGCAGAUGACAGGGUGAUGGCAGGCAUCUCUGGAUGUAAGCGAUGAGACCCCCAGGUGAUGAAGGGGUUAGACUGGGCACUUAGAGCCCUCAAGGGACCAAGGGAAUGUAGAGAAGGCUCAGGCACCCCAGGGUGGGGGUUGAGGGAACCAAGAAGAGGAAAGUCUGCUCAGGAAGGGUGUAGGCUUGGACACUGUAGGGGACAGAUCCAAGAGGCUUCCUAAGUCAGACCUCUCAUCUACAUUGGACAGGAUGAGAGCUUUGGAGUCACUGCUUUGCAUAUGAGACCAUGGAGACAUGGAAUCCAUCAUCAUCCCUGCCAGCUCAGCUCAGGGGACAGAACUGAGGAGGGAAGGUAGGAUACUCCCUCCAGGGCCUGGAGCUGGGGUCCAUGGCCAGGCUCUGGCAUGCCUGGAAAUGGCACAUUCCAGGUGGUCGAUAAAGACCUGUGGGAUUGAACUAAACAACGAGGGAUUCCUAGAUUAUCCUUAGCAUUGUCUUACAGUUUAGGAGGGGACAGAACAGAGUGGGAAGUGGGGGAGAGGAACUCAGAUGUGAUUUUAGCCAGGGCUUGGUUUAUACUGUUAUGCUUCUCUUGUGAUACUAGUUUGAUGGAAAGGCAGCAGGGGCGGUUCCGGGUGAGAGGAUGAGGGCAGGAACCCUAUCAGAGACAGGCCAGGCAGACACUGCCCAGAGAGGCAUCUCAGGAGGCCAGGACAGCCAGCUGCUUCUCCCUUGGGAGGAGGCCUCUGCUCCACCCUCCAUUCCUCCUCCCCUGGGCCUCUCUCCCUUUCUCCCUGUGUGAUCUUACGCUCCUGCAACGGCAGGAGGUAUAGACUUACUCCCAGAAUAGAAACCAUCUGGCUGCUCCUGAAACACUUUUUCUUCUGUGCACUACUGGCUCGUCUUCGUGCCUCCGCUCCGCUUAGACGUCCCCCUUGAAAAGGUCGUCUCUGAGUGCCUGUGGCUCCUGGGCCCACCCCCAAGUCUGCUCUGUCACAGUGGUACCCGUGUUUUCUUCACAGCACUUAUCAUUGCCGGGAUUUAUCUCAUCCAUUUCUUCUCUUUGUUGGUAUCUCUCUUGCUUCCUUCGAAGGGAAGCUUCAGCAGGCAGAUUCGUGGUCAUUCUCAACUGUGCUGUGCCCCGCAGCUUCCAGAACAGGGCUCACAUCAACAGUGCCUAAGGAGUAUGUGUUGAAUGGAUGAGUGGCUGGAUGACAGCACAUGGAAAGGCACCAAGUCUCAUGUGGGGUGGGGUCCUAGCAAACCUCCUUGUCUCUCAUCCUAGGAUUCCCUGUAGGGGAGCUGCUCGGUGAGGAGAGGGCCUGCUGGGCCCUGGUAGAUAAUCUGUCCUGGGCCUGGGCCUGCCGCUGCUUGCCCCUAACAGAUGGUAUGCUAAGCAGUCUGUGAAGUGGGAUGCAACUCCAGUUUCAUUUGAGCCUGAACCCCACAGGCAGGGAGAAGAAGGACCAAGAAUGUGUAGUCCUGCUCCCCUACCCAGGUACAGGCAUGCUCUUGAGGGCCAGACAGUGCCGAGGGGCUCUGAGGGCUGGGGAGGGAGAGGCGUGGUCCCAGGCCUCCGGCUGGCGUGGAAAGUGUGGUGCUGUGCCUAGGCAGGGCUGUUUCACCUGUUUGCCCGUGCCCCCGAGCAUUUUGGGGAUUUUGGAUGGAGGCUUACCCUGACCCCUUUCCAGCUUUAGCACGAGAGUCCCAGCCCCAUCGUCUCUCCUAACUGCAUCAUCACUGCCACAGCAGAGCUCCCAACACAAUGAGGAGUUAAAGGAAAAGAGGCCACCUUGAGAUCCCCCUCUACCGGCCAGGCCACAGGUUUCCCCCACCUCAGAGUUCAGGAAAUAAUGGAAAAUGGAGCCAGGACUGGGGAGGGAUCUUCGGGGAAGAUCUUCAGAAUUUCACCAUGGAAUGAGCUGAUAAUACCCGUAUCUUUCUUCUAAGACAUCUAAGUGCCUACCCCUUUUCUAUACUUGCUAGAGAGUUUGAAUCGUUUCUCUUUAAGAGAGAAAAUUUAUGGGCUUGGGAAAGAGGAACCCCAAACUGACACUGGUCUGAGAGGGCAUAUUUGGGGCUGGAGUCCUUCCCGUGCAAAUGUAUCUGCUGGGCAAUGCUGAGCAGAAUUUCACAAAGGAGAGAAAGAGCAGAGGAUAGCAGGUUGCCCUUCAUGCACCUCUGUGUCUUCUUUGCCUGCCCAGCCUUAGCUGGGGCCCACAUCACUAAUGGAAGUUCCAUCCUUUUCCCAUAGCAUCCCCAAAGAACAUUCAAAUUUGAGGCUCAAGGAACCUCUUGGACUCGGUGUCUAGAUCCAGGAAAUGGAGAAUGAGCCAUGACUUUGGACGCUUCACCCUUGCCCAUCAGGCUCGGAAUUGGUAAGCAUCUCUAGUUCUGAGCAAGGUGCCCUAUUGGGGUUUCCUCUGCAUGGACCAGCCAUCCUCCAAACCUGCCCCCAUGUCACCCCAGAUCCCUAUCCCACUCACUUCUCACUCUUUGUCCCCUGUCUCCCUGAGUGACAGGGCUCCUGCCAGGUAGGCCCUGUCCUCCUUUCUGAUGUUGGGUCCAUUCCCCAUGAUCCCUUUCUUGCUUGUGCCUUGGGAUCCCGGGCCAGCUCAGGUAGGAGGCAGGACUCAACUCCAGACCAGACUGAAGACUGGCUGACACAGAAGAGGCACCGAAAGCACCUCUCCCUCCAUCAGACAUGCCCACCAACACCAUGACAGUUUACCACUGCCAUGGCAAUGCCCAGAAGUUAUCGCCCCUUUUCCAGAAAUUUCUGCAUAAUCUACCUGCUCCUUGAAUGUGAUUAAAAGUGGGGUCAAGAUGACUGCAGAAGUGUCCCUGAGCUUCUACUCUUGACAUGCUGCCUACAGGGUAGCCCUGAUCUGCAGGGACGGGACAGUCAUUGAACUGAAACUGCCUAAUGAAGCUCUCUUCUUCUACCACUGGCUCACCCUCGAAUUCUUUCCUGGGUGAACUCAAGAAACUUCCUGGGAUAAGCCCCAAUUUUGGGGGCUUGUCUACCCUGGCAUCACAGCUUCCUCUUCUGUUCACAGCUGCCGCCACCUACCCACCCUUCUGAGGUUCCUCUCCCUGCCCCUCGACAGCGGCUGCGGAUGGGAGCUCUGGCUCCUGCUUUUUUGCUAUCUCCCUGUGCCACUUAAAUGCAUCUCAGCUAAGAACAGAGAAAGGGAUCGCAUAAGGAUAUUCCAGAGAUUCGAGAAAUCUCAAAAGUGAUCACAAAACAUUUGCCUCUGACCAACCAGAAACGCCGAUGGGUGGGAAGGGCCUCUCCUCUAGGUGAGUUCGUGGGUCUUCAGGCUCUUCUUCACUUUGGAUUUUCUGGAGUCUCCUGAAGGUUACCUGAAAUCUUGUUUGUCCUAAAUAUUGUAUGUGGAUUCACAAGCUGCAAGAAGUCAGAGGGGCUGGAUGGGGGCCAAAACCAGAGGAGUCAAGCAGCACAGCUGGGCCCCAUUGAAAGUGAGGCCCCUAUCCUAGUUGGAAGCUGGGGUGGAGAGCUGCAGAUGGGUGGAGGCAGUGACAGGGUUCGGUCCACGUACUGGUCAUUCAGACUCCCCAGAGCCACAGGACUCCCAUAGGUCAGAGAAGACCUGGUGGAGGGCCUUAUGUAAACCUCAGUGUGUGAUGCAGGAAGGAGUUUUCCCAGCAGAAAUGCCUACACAAAGGCUUUCAAAGGAGGGACCCGUGGGGACCCAUCUUACCUCCUUAUGGUCUGGUUCACAGGUUCCCCUGGGUGGGGCUAAUGGAAUCCAAGCUAAGGUGUCUGACUGCGAAAGUCUUCAGAAAUGCUGUGUUUGUAAGGAUCAGGAAUUACGUUUUCUGAGAUGCAAAAUAUCCUAGUUAAUGCGUUAACAGCUAAGGCUGUUCAGGUUUCUGGGGAUACACAGGCUUAGGAAAUUAGAGCCGGUGAAGUUGUGGGGGAUGGAAACUAAGAAUUAGCUCAAAACAGUCACCAAUGCAGAAACCUGCCUGUGGCACUUUGGCCCCUGACAGUGGGGAAGGCAGAGGAAUGACAGUGGGGACUUGGGUACCCUACUAGCAGAAUGGAGUAACAGAGAGGGCAAGAAUUGCUUCCCAGGAGACUGGGCUGGGAACAGGAAGGGGACUAAAAUGCUGCCCCUGGCUGAAGAGUUUGGCAGUACAGAGGAACUGGUGGCAGGGCUCUGAAUCCAUACGUAAGAGCAAGGAACAGGUGGUUUCGGUGUGGGAGAGGGCUUUGAUGUCUUCAUGGACUUUGGGUAACAUUCACCAUAUGGUGGACCAGCCAGCUUCCAUGUGAAGAAGCCAUCUGGGAGCAAGAGAACAAACCCAGGAAUACAGCCGGAGAGAGAGGUGGCCUGACAUUAUGGCUAGGUUGAUAUGGAAGCUUCUGGUUUGUUCUAGAAAGAGUGAAAAAGGCGGUGCAGAUAAUCAUCAGCUUCUGGUUCUGUGUGUAGCAAGGCAUUUGCUGCAAUUCCAGGAGGUAGCAACCUAGGCUUUGAUUCUGAAAGAAGAGGAUUGACCUUUCUGAAAUAUCUCUAGGAGUCUGCUGAGGGCCAGGCUUGGUGAGUGCUGGGAAAAGCAGCAAAAGAGAAAGGACUUACAGAGUGCCUACAUAAAAUGGUUACGAGUAACACAUAAACAAGGAACAACAAACUGCAGGAGGCCUCUGAGGAGGAAGGCCUCUCCAUACCUCACGUUCUGGUGCAGGGUAACCUAGGCUGCGUUAACAUAAACAUUGUGCUCAAGGAUGUAAAACCCCUUCGUAGCACUAUGACGUAGCCAGACUUGUAGGCUCCUUGUAAGGCCGGAGUUCCAUCAGCUGUACAUAGAUAAUAAGCCAAAUAAAACCACAUGUUCUUGUUUUGUGAAACUUACAAACCACCACUGUUAUCAAUCCUUGGGAACUUCCAUGUGAAGAAGCCAUCUGGGAGCAAGGGAACAAACCCAGGAAUACUCCGGUUCACUGAUUCACUUCUGGCUCACUGAUUCACUCCACCUGUACCCUGUAGAUCAAUGUGAUUGUAAUCACAAAAUAGUGUGGAUGAUCAGAGCUCGGGGCCUUCACUGUCUCUUCCAGAGUAAUAAAAUGAUGGUCCCCUGGUCCCACUUUCUCUCUUAAUCUGUCUUUUUCUCAUUCCUUUGUCCCACAAACUCGGGGUACCCACAGGUGACAUAGGGCUAGUUCCCUACAGGUGAGUUGGAUUCCGUAUGGAAUUUUUACUAAGUGAGGUCUGGGUAGGAAAAGGGAAGGGAAAAGCUGGCCCUGCCUGCAUCAAGGGGUUCUGGGAAGGAGAAUAAAGAGAAAACUCCUUCUUAAGUCUUCCACUUCAGAGUGGAAGAACCAUCACAAGCUAAGUAAAGUCAAAUGAAGGGCAAGUGCCCUAUGGCCACCUGGACACGCACCUGCCCCUUGGCCAGCUUGCAUGGGCAGGCUGAGGAGGUCACUGAGGCUUAGUUUUCCUGACCUACCCUGAUUCCACGUGCUGUAAGCAGCACCCAGAAGGCUGUGUGGCUACAGAGGUGCCCACCAAGGUCACUUCAGUGUGGACACUAGACUGGACCACGGAGACCCACAGCCAGCUUUAGAGUGCCAGCCAGAGUGUUAUUCCAGCCAGAAACAGGAGCCACAACCCCGCACCCAGGAGGACAACGAGUCCCACUCUGCAGACAGGAGCCAGCCACACCUGGGGCCUGGGGAGAUGCUUCCUGAUUCCAAAUGGGAUUGAACUUCAAACCAGACUAUACAUUUGGGCAAUUUUUUUAAAAGCUGUCAAUCAAAUAAAGGCAUGCCAUUUUCUUUACCCAGUCAUUGUGUUGGUUAAAGGUUGCAGAACUGCCUGCCCCAGUGUCCGCCAUCAUUAUCAGGGGAUGUAGCUCUUCCAGCUCCAAGAGGCUUACUUGGCUGCCAGCAUCCCCUGCUCUUUUCCAAGGUGCUGACAGGGUCUUUAGUGUUGAGAAACAGGGAGCAAAGUGCUGACAUUGACCCACCCCACAAACAUGGCCCAGCCCCAACCAGGCCUUGGGCUGUAAGUCCUGUGUCCUGCCAGAUGGGCUAGGACCCAACUGUCUGGUGGAUCAGCCAAACAUGCACCUCUGAGCUUGGACUCUAGAGGCUGAGCCUGGCUCACGCCCCCCAGCUCAUGCCCCCCAGCUCAGGGUCCAGGUGAUCCCAGGAGGCUGGGUCAGGUGACUGCCUCCUCAGGGUCAGGGGACGAGCCUUGUGGGCAAUGGGUUUCCAUGGCAGCCCUCAACCAAGGGCAGUAGGGCCAGACAGGAGAGAGUCAGAGAUCACACUCUAACCCCUUCCUCCAGGGCUGGGGAGAACUAAGGGAGUCUCAAUCCAGACUGGGGGUUACAAUAUCAAAUAACAGAGCUCAUAGAGCUUGGGAACCUCCUGACUGGGCUCCUGGCCUAGGACUGUGCCUGGAGUGGGGUCUCCAGCACAGGUGUGGGGGUGGUGGGGAGGAGAUGCCUCAGGUCUACAGUGGGGAGCCAAGACAUUCCAGGAGGGUGGAAAAUCUCUCCCAGGGCUUGCCCCAUUAGCCGGCACAGCAGCCAUGCCCAUUGCUAUAUGAAGGUAGACAGUCCAGGGCUAGGGCCCAGGCCAUUGGGACCCCCUCCAUCUUUCUGCUCUCCUUAGGGUAUCACCUCCAUCUUUGUGGUCAUAAGUGUUGACGUUCUGCAAUGCCCAUGCCCAGAGGUAAAAGAUAGAGGCCAACAGGCAGACUGGGCCCUUUUAGACCUGGCACCUUCUGCUCACAUCUCCUCUGCCAGCACCACCUUGGGCAUUCCCUGUGUACAAUCACUACAGAUGGCCAGGGAGGAGGGGUCCUGGGCACAGCACCCUGGCCACAUCUUGACUUAGCUGCCUCCCCAAUCAGCUUUUCCCCAGGCCUCCUUGGCCCCUCCUCCUUCGCUGAAAGGCCCCUCACUUUGGGAGCAGAGUUGUGGCUUCACCAACCUUCCUGCCAAUUGGGCUGUUACUGUGGAUUCAGAAGGAUAAUCCCUGCCAUUAAGAGUGGGCCAUGCUGUGCUGUGUUUCAGGCUGGGACUGCACAGGGCAGUGGAAAGCACAGAGAAGAGGAGCAAAUCCCAGCCUAGAGAGGGCAAUGGGGGGAGGAAGAGACAUCUAAACUAAGACCUCCAGGGUGGACAGGAGCAAGCCAAGUGAACGGACUCGGGAGGGCAGUGGACAAUACUAGGAGCUGGGAAGAACCAGCUGGGGUGUUGCCUGGAGAACUGGGGGCCAGGCAGGCCUGUGUACACAGGGCUCUGUGGGCCCAGCAAAGAGGAGUGAGCAGAGGCAGAAUCUGGUGUGGGCUGGAGAAAGGCCUUGGCCUGCGGGUGGCACAGGCCAGGUUGGAGGUAGAGGGCCGAUUCAGAGACUAUUUCAGUUAUAAGGCAGGGAUGACAGAAGCUGAGCUCAGAAAACUGUGAUGGAGACAGACUUGGAAAACAGAUCCCACAAGGCUUAAAAAUUGAUGAGGGGUAAGAGGUUGCCAGUGAGAGACAGAGACAGACAUGGGGAGAGAGAUGGACAGAGACAGAGAGAGAAGGCUAGCCGGGAAACCGGUGCACAGGGGUAGCUUGCGCGGAGGGAGAGGAUGGAAGAAGGGGAAAAUUCACGCAGAAGAGGCCGUGUCCAUUUGCAGAAGUUGCGUAUAAGACCCUGGAGGUCCCUGAGGAAGAGAUGGAAGAUGUGGGUAUCCGGCACAAAAGCCUGGAAGGGUCCCUGAAGAUCCAGCCACCACCUAGUUAUGCAGUUUGAACAGGGGCUGUUGCCAGGGGGGAAACGUCCUGCCACUGAGAACCAGGAAGUCAGGUGAAGGGCAAGAAAUAUGCAAAAUGAGUCUCAGCUCUCCUUUGAGCCACCUUCCGGCCCGGCAGAGUCCAUUGGCAGGUGGAUGUCUGGAGCCCCGCCCUAGGGACCUCCUCCCUGGCCCCAUCCCAUCUCCUUGACCCACUGCACCUUCCUGGCUUCAUUGUGAGCAGGCUCUGAUUGGAAGGUCUUGAGGCUAGCAGGGAAGAAGGUGGUGGAAUCCUGGAGUCUUUCAGACUCUCCUCAUAGUGGGCUUGGGGCAGUUUACACCACCCAGUGCUCUGGCCCAUCACAGACAUGUGCCCCUCUAAGGAUCACUUCCCACGUGAGUUCAGCCACCCCCAGGGCUAACCCAGAAAACUCUCGCCGGGCUCCUGCAGAACUGGGUGGAGGCAGUGACUUGGGUUUUCUUCAUCAGCUGUGCUCCUGUGAGACUGCCCAGGGCAUUAUGUUUUCUAGAAAACAAAGGACCUUGGAAUCAAGUAGAGGGGCAAUUAGAGUUUUAGGGGUUCAGCCUGGAGUGUCCCAGGGGCCAAGAGGGGAGAGGGGUGGGGUGAAGCCUUGCUUCUGGGCGGCUGCAGCACACGGCCUGUCCUGAAACAGCUCAGAAGCCCAUCUGAGACACCCUGGCCAGUCCUGAAAGCAGGUGAGCUACUGGGGUUUGUUCUAAUAAAUCCCCUUUUUUCUUUCACCAACUCAAGGAGCUUUGGUAGGAACCGUAACCAGUAAUGGAAUGCACAGAGGAAGAAUCCCAGCUGGCUAUGGAUGAAAAGCUCAGUGAAAGGAGAUAAGCCCAGCAUGGGCAGGCCUCCUGGAGCUGGUGUGCAAACAGAGGCGGAAGAGCAGCCCAAUAAUCAGAAUCAUGGUCAUUCAUUUAUUCAUGCAUUCAUUCAUUGAAUACGUCCUUUGUGACACCCAGUCAUGCACCCAAGGCCUUGGGAACACAUCUGUAAACAAGACAGACAAGUGCUCACCCUCCUGGGCGCUCUGCUGAGACGGUGGGGUACAAAACAAACACACGACAAAUUAAUAUCAUGUCCAGGAGCUGCGGGUGUGGCAAAGGAAAUAAAACCAGAGGAUGCAGGAGGAGGCAGAGCUGAGCUGGACCACGAGGAAGAGGGAGCCAUGUGGGUACGAGGGGGACAUCCCAGCAGAGCAGAGCCACAGCCAGCUGAGGCCUCACUGCCUCCGUCGUGUGGGCCCUGCAGAGGCGGGGGAGAUGGCAGCGUUAGACCUCAGUAUAGCCUCGAUGCCUAGGCCCUGUGAGGGCUGGGAGAAACGCUCCCGUUCAGAAGGGUGGCCUCACAUGUUUAAAUGCUGGUGGGAAUGGCAGGUGUCGGGGAGAGGAAGAGGGGCAAUAAUGGGAGGGAGGCCAGAGUUCCUCUCCAGUACCUUCCCUUUCUCUGUGAAGUAGGGGGUAUGGUUUCUGCCAAAAAGGCAGAGGGCUCUGGGGAUAAGAAGGGGCUAUAACUAGAGGCCGGCUAGGUGACCACAGUCCUGCUCCAGGCAGGACGCGUUAUGUACCCAGCAGCUCUGGGACUGGGCCACGGAGGCAGCUCAAUGGGUAGCUGGACUGUUGAUGUGAUGGGUGUAUGGCUAUGGCCAAGAGGGUGGUGGUAAGGUGGACCCAGCAGUCCGAGGCACAGAGGACCAGAGUGAGGUCAGGAGCCCCAAUCAAGAGAAAGAGGAAGGACCCAGGAGGAGGGGUGGAUGUGGGUCGCUUUCUGGUGGGACAAGAUCAGGGAGCGGAGGAGCCUCAGGGGGUGGCCUCAGCAGUGGGAGUCAACAUGGAGGCCAGCCCGAAAAGAGAUGAAGCCCACCCUUGCACCCAGCUGCCCUUCCUUCUGUGGUGGGAAUGUCGAUCGCCUCCCAAACUCCUGUUGAUACCUAAUCCCCAAUGCCGCAGUAUUGGGAGGCGGGCCUUUAAGAGGUGAUUGGGUCAUGAGGUCUCUGCCCUCAUGAAUGGAUUGAUCCACUCAUGGAUUAACAGAUUACUGGCUUAGUAGAUGAAUGGGUUUUCGCUGGAGUGGGAUUGGUGGCUUUAUAAUAAAAGUAAGGGAGACCUGAGUCGGCCUGCCUGGGAACUGGGCAGAGGCCCUGCCCCAGGAAGGCCCUCAGCAGAUGCGGCCCCUGGACCUGGGAAUUCUCAGCUGCCAUGACAGUAAGAAGACAUUCCUUUUCUUUAUAAAUUACCCAGUUUCAGGUAUCACAUUAUAAGCAACACAAAACACAUUACGACAAUUGCCAAAACCCCAGGCAUCCGGCUUUGUGGCAUCGUGGCUACCAGGAGUCUCUUUCAGCAGCAUAACCGUGUAUAUAAACACAGUCCCAACUAACAUGGAAAGGAAACUGGGGGGGAGGGGGAGUUACAUUUUUAAGUUGUUUAAACGCUCAUAAGUGAGGGGUAUUUAAGGUUUUUAUGAGUAGCCAGAAAUUUUCACGAAGCACUUCAUGUUAUGCAGGAGAAGAGAAAGCUGAGAAAAAUAACUAGCCACUGGGGAUGCUCUCUGCCCAGGGACACAACCUGUCCCCUGCUGGGCCCAGGGUGGAGGGGCAGUCCUGGUGGCUGGUGCCAUCCCUCUUUAAACUGCCUACUGAGCCCCAGUAGAGCUGAGCCCGGGGAGCAGAGGUGGAGGAGGAGGCAAAAAAGCCGUGGGAGGCCAGGGAGCCUGUGUGAGCCCCUGUGAGCCCACCUGGGGGACCCAGAGUCACACCCCACUGCUGCCCUCAUUCCUAAUCCACAGAGGCCUGACACCAGCCCUGCUGGCUGGCAAGGGCUGCUUGGGAGGGGAGAGAAAGGGUGCCUGAGGGAGGUAGAAAUGGGGCCUGAAGAAGAGUCACCCCCGGAGAGGAGAGGCCAAGCCCCUGGAAGGGCUGAGCCCAGUGAGGCCGGCUGCUGAGUGGAUGGCCAUGGGCUCUGCAGAGCUUCGGAGAAACAUGCUGAGUCCCAGCCCUGGAAGGUUGGGGAGAGUCUCUCAGUAGCCACAUAAGGAGGUCACUCUCUGCCCUGCCUCCCUGGGUGCCUGGCUCCUAAAACUCUUCUGAUCACCUCCCCAGAUUCUCAAGUUUUAGCCCAGCAAACAUUCAGAGUUUCCUGGAGGAAACUGGAAAGAGGAAAGCAAAGUAGAGAUGGUUUACCAGGCACAGUCUGGCUGGCCACUAAGGGCACAAGACCCAGCCCACAGGAUGGUAGGCACUGUGUCCUGCUCCCUCCACACCAGCAGCCCUGGCCAGGCUGCACGUGUGAAAGUCCUCCCGUGGAGGGAUGGGCUCCAUGGCAAUCCCAGCAUCUGCUGUGCGCCUCAGGGCCUGGCAUCCUGCUGGAGAGGCUGCGAUCACGUGGGAGUGCUUCCUGGGCCACAGGCAGGAAAGCCAGCCCACAGCCAUGCACCCCUGGCACCAGGACCGGGCUUGCUGGGGUCCCCUGCCAGUGGAGUGCUGCCUUUUUGGGACAACGGCUGGACCUGGAGGCAAAAAAAGUUCCUCUCUGAGCUCAGGGAGGCCAUAGCUCAGGAAGAAGAAGAGAGCCAGAAUAAUUGCCACCUGUGGAUUUCAGGAAGUGCCUCAAAGGGACCAGCAUGCUCCUCUUCCGGCCCUUUCCUCCUUUGCUGGCUGGGGGCAGACAAGAGUGACGGCUGCCACCUUGCACCAUAAGGUGGGAGUCACGUUGGGAGAAUGGCAGAGCAACCAGAUAGCCGUGGUGGCCCCAAUCUCCAGCCCUGGACGUCCCACGGUAAGGAGAGAGGGAAACGUCUUACUGGAGCCACUGUCAUUCUCGAGCAGCAAACCUGAUCCUAACACUCCGCACCACAACCCCGCCUCCUGUACCCUGUGCCCCAUAGGUUCUUAGCCUUGGGCCCUGGGUUUGGCUUUCCCUUCCCUCCCAGUGCCAACGAAGACCUACCAUGCAGAGAGGGUAGAGAAGGGACAUAGAGGUCACUGGAGGUGAUCUGGAAAGGAUGAGGGCAUCCGAGAACAAGGCAAUGAAGGUAACUAGGACAGAGGAGGGAGGACAGAGCCUGGAGAGGACUCAUUAGUGCAGGGUUGAUAGGCAGAGCCUUCCCAGGAGCGGGGCCAACAGAACCUGACAGCCAUGAUUGGGCCUCCCCACGACCCCAGGGCCCCCCCAGCCCAGUCCUCCCUGCCUAUACUCAGCCCAGACCCCACUUCCCUAUGGAGGCCCAACCCCCUUCCUGGACAAGGCAGCUGGUGUUGUGUGGGUGUUGCUCUGUGAGAGAGGGAUUCCUUGGAGACUGAGGCCACAGGGGAGGGAGUGUCUAUCCAGACCUAUAGGUUUGUCCCAAAUUAAGACCCCAGGUGUAGAGGUGAACACAGCCCUGCCUGAUUUCUGAGAAGCCAUGCUAUUUCACAUCUUAGAAGUGGGCUUCCUCUCCAUCCCCAUAGAACUCAGUCAAUGCCUACUGAGCUCCUACAGUGUACACUACAGGCAAGUGGGUUCAGGCGCUAAGGAAAUAAACAAGGCCCCACACUGCAGUCCCCAGGGCAGAGUGCCCCGACAGGCUUCCCCAAACGGUGGUGUGCUGGGGAGUGUUGGACACCCAGCUCUCUGAAGGGGAAACCUGGUUUGUGGCAUCUGUGGGUUGCAGUGAUUUGUGGUCUAAAUUAUCCACCCUGGCCAAUUCCAAGCUGCAAACACAUAGUCCCUGAAGUCAGGAAGGCCCCAGCCUGGAUCCCAGGCCCACCACUGCCAGGGGCUGCUCACCUCCUGUCCCCGGUCCUCACCUCACCACCAGCAGGUAUUGGCCCUGUCCUCGCUAGGUUCCUGGCCUUCCCCUGCUUGGGUCCUGGGUUUGGCCCCUGAGCCGACAGCCCAUGCCUUGAUGGUGCCGGGUAGGCUGUAGCUGCCAGGUCAGGAAGAAUCAGUGGACAGUCGGUCACAAGCACCUUGGCCCUGAAUGUUGAAAUGCCCACUUUCUCCGGCUUCUCCAACCACUACCCCACCCCUCCAGCCUUUUCCUCCUCUCUGACAGCUUCUCUUCACCCCAAGGUCUCCUCCUCCUCCUCCUCAGCAGUGGCCAUUCCCUAGCAUUUGCAGCCCAGGACCCCUCCCAGUCAUGAAGCAUUUGCAUCUCAGGCUCCCCCGAACCUGGCUCCCUUACUGUCACCCCCUGCCUGUCGCGGAGGGGCCUCAUAGACACUUGCUGUGUGCCACUCCAGGGAGGCCGUGUGAUCCUGCCAGCUCUCCAGUGGCUGCCACAACUGCUGUUUUCAGGAAGAGGAGGAAUGGCCCCUCAGCCUCCCUGCCUCUGCUGUCUCAGCCCCAGUGUCCUGGCAUCAUCUGCUCCACCUCCAGGCAAGUCAGAGCCAGGCUUGCCAUCUGCCUGGCAGCCUGGGGCACUGCGCCUUUAUGGCCCCGGGUAGGACGGGGAUCUGGGCCCCCAGCCCCUGGGCACCAAGGUGCCAACCCUGCAGGGGAGUUGCUUAAUGACCUUUGUGAGCAGUAAUUACACCCCAGGGCCAGCUCUUAAUAACCACGUAUUCUCCCUGUCAAUGUGCCUUAAUUGAAAAUGAGUAGGCGAUACAAGUUGCUGUGAAGUUGGCUGGCAAGCCCUUAACGUGAUAUUAAUUGUAGUAAUUAGUAGUCACUUUGUGUUGGAGUCAUCUAUAAAUAGGGGGUCCAUUAGUUUAGCAAAAGAGCAUGAUUUAAAAUGCAAAUAAAAGCCCAAUUAGACAGAUAAAUCGCUUGUCUUUUCCAGCAAAUUAUCAUCUUCCAGAAGGACAGCAGCCACUUUGGGGCUGCAUCAGUCAGUUCAGGGACUCUGAACGCUUUAUACCAACCUGAGUGGUCUGAGCGGCCUGUCUGAUACACCGUCCCUUUAAACAGGUUUGCUCCAGGCUUCCUCAGGGAGCUGUCACUCUUAGGGCAGUCCCUAUAGACUCUUACUUCAUUGGCACAACUGGUGGUCAGGGCCCAAGCAGCUCCUCCCCCUGUAUGCUGAUUGGUCCCCUCUUGUGACAUAGGAGCACAUUUUAAAGGAAUAGUGGUGGGAUCGAUCCAAGAUGGCCGACCACUAACAGCUCAGGAUUGUAGCUCCCAGUGAAAGCCCAGAGAACGAGAUGACGCCACACUUUUAGAUGAAUUUUCGUCACUCACCAAUCAGCCGAUUCCCAGUAGAGGAGCCCCACGGGUCACCAGCGUGACUCUUGUGGCCGCCACAGCGGUUUUGCCAGCCUCUCGGCGCAGCAGCUCUUCAUGCAGAGCCAACGGGACUGCUUCCCCUACUGACCGGAGUUUGGAGCUCCAGGAAGUCAGAGCCGCUUGUUGUGGACUCAAGAGGGAAGCCAGACCAGAGAUUCCCGGGCAGAAGAGAACCAUCAGUCUUAUCGCUGCUAUUUAGGCCGCCACAGUGGGUUGCUCGGAUCCCAGCACUGGGAAUCAAUAAGUCGGACGUCGACUCAGAAACCUAAUUAGAAAGGCGGUUCAUCUACAAUGAAGGGGAAAAAACAGCCUAAGAAGGCUGAGUAUACUCAAGGUCAGAACCCAUCAGCAACAGAACAAGCCCUGAUGGAAAAGGACUCAUCAGCAACGGAACAAGCCCUGAUGGAAAAGGACUGUGUUCCAUUAUCUGAAGUAGGCUUUAAAAGGUGGAUGAUAAGAAACUUCUGGGAGUUAAAGGAACUUGUUCUAACCCAAUGUAAAGAAACUAAGAACUUGGAAAAAAGGUUAGAUGAAAUGUUGAAAAGAAUAGACAAUAUAGAGAGGAAUACAAAUGAACUUAUGGAGUUGAAAAAUACAACACGAGAACUUAGUGAAAUAUGUACAAGAUUAAACAGCCGAAUGGAUCAAGCAGAAGAAAGGGUAUCAGAGGUCGAAGAUCAACUUAAUGAAACAAAACAACAAGACAAGAAUAGAGAAAAAAGGAUAAAAAGGAAUGAGCAAAGUCUCCAAGCAAUAUGGGACUAUGUGAAAAGACCUAAUAUACGCUUGAUUGGUGUACCUGAAUGUGACGGAGAGAAUGAAUUCAAGCUGGAAAAUACUCUCCAGAACAUUAUUCAGGAAAAUUUUCCUAAUUUAGCAAAGCAGGACACUAUUCAACCCCAGGCAAUACAGAGAACACCGCAAAGAUAUUCCUCAAGAAGAACAACCCCAAGACACAUAAUCGUUAGAUUCACCAAGAUCGAAACGAAGGAGAAAAUAUUAAGGGCAGCCAGAGAGAAAGAUCAAGUUACCCAUAAAGGUAAGCCUAUUAGGCUUACAGCAGAUCUCUCAACGGAAACCCUACAAGCUAGAAGAGAGUGGGGGCCAAUAUUCAAUGUACCUUAAUCAACAGAACUUUCAGCCCAGAAUUUCAUAUCCUGCCAAUUUAAGCUUUAAAUUUGAAGGAAAAAUAAAAUCUUUUAGGAACAAGCAAGUACUCAGAGAUUUUAUUACCACCAGGCCUGCUUUACAAGAACUUCUAAAAGAAGCAUUAUACACAGAAAGGAACAACCAGUAUGACCCUUUCUAAAAAUACACCAAAAAGUAAAGAGCAUUAACAUAAAGAAGAAUUUUUAUCAACGAAAGGACAAAAUAGCCAGUUAAUAUCAAACGGCAGCAACCCUAAAUUUAAAUCGACCAAAUCUCCCAAUCAAAAGAUACAGACAAAAUCUAACGGUAUAUCCAAAGAUAUACAUAGACUCAAAAUAAAGGGUUGGAAAAAAAAAACCGUACCAACUAAAUGGAGAGCAAAAAUAAAUAAAUAAAAAGCAGGAGUUGCAAUUUUCACAUUUGACAAAAUAGAUUUCAAAGCUACAAGGAUACAAGGGUAAAAGGAUUAAUGUAAUAAUAAGAGAUCUUAACACCCAGAUACAUAAGACCCAUAAUGAGAUUUAGAUUCAACGAGACAGAAAAUUGAUAACGAUAUCCGGGACUGGAACUAAGAUCCAGAACAAAUAAACUCAAUAGAACUCUCCAUUUUAAACACACAAAAUAUACGUUAUCCACAAAAUCUAACGAUAUAUCUAAAGAUAUACAAAGACUCAAAACAAGGGGAUGGAAAAAAGCUCACCAACCAAAUGGAGAGCAAAAUAAAUAAAUAAAAAGCAGGAGUUGCAAUUUUCACAUUUAAUAAAAUAGAUUUCAAAGCUACAAGGAUACAAGGGUAAAAGGAUUAAUGCAACAAUAAGAGAUCUUAACACCCAGAUACAUAAGACACAUAAUGAGAUUUAGAUUCAACGAGACAACAAAUUGAUAAUGAUAUCCAGGACUUGAACUCAGAGCCAGAACAAAUAAACACAAUAGAGGUCUCCAUUUUAAACACAUAAAAUAUGCAUUAACCACUUUAAACACUCAAAAUAUUGAUCGGCCAUUAUUGAAACCCAUUUUAGGAAUGAAGUAAUAUUCCUUUUUCCCUCUUUUUCUUUUUUUCCCCUUCUUUUUCUCUUUAAAAAAAAAAAAAAAAAGGAAUAGUGGCACAGUGCAUAUCUAGGCACUGGGAGAAUAGGUAGGAAGUAGGAGGGGUUUCCUCUUCGAAUUUGGCUCUGCACAGUCCAGACAGAGUGAACCACCAAUGUUCUGUGUUGUCCGGUGACUCAAAAGAGUCAAAAAUAGACUCACACCAUUGUUGUGGGGUCGGACAACUUACUUCCCGCUAAUUUUUCUCUUCUGCCAUAACUACUUAUGGUGGUUGCAAAGGGUGCAGCUUCAAGGCCAGAGGUGAGAGUUCUAGCUCAGCCUUCCGUUAACUAGAGCUUCACUAGUUACCCAACACUUUCUCCGAGGCCUGUGUUUCGAACCUCACAAUUAACGAGGCUGUCGAGAUAUGCCUGGGGACACGGGUGCGAGCUCUUCCCUCUCUGGCUUGUUCAGCUGCUGGAGACCUGGUAUCCACAGCUCAGCUUGGUGGGACCCUUCCUGUCCCCUCCUUCAGCCUGCCACACCAGCUCCCCACAAGCCCUUCACUCCUUUGUGGCCAACUGAGGCUGGCCCUCAGACAGCAUUUGCGUUUUAAUAAGAGCCAAGGUCAAAAGAUAAAACAGCCAUUCCUAAACACAGGAAACAUAGCAACUGUCUGUUCCAGCAGGAGUUUCACCCUUGUCCAAGAAAUGAAGAGAACACAGGAAAUUUUGAAAGUAUUAUCCUUUUAUGAUUCAAUGUUUGCAGCAGGUGGUAGUACUUGCUAUUUUUAAUGUCCUAUUUGACAAAAUAAAACAUUGGCAACCCUGUGUUGGUCCCAAAAAUAUUUUUUGGAAAUUUUGCCAGCGUAUGAAAUUCAAAUGUCUGGAGCUGCUGAGCUAGAAGACUGAAUCAGAGACUUGAGGCUGGGUGAGUCACAGUUGCCUGUGCGUGGAGGAGUGUGUGUGAGCACACACACGUGGUAUUGGCCGGUGAAAUAGGGACACUCAACAUGGGAGAUUUCCCUGUCUCUGAAAUAGCACAAGAAGACAGGUAGAUCAUGGAGGAAGAACUGGAAGGAGCCUGGGGUGCUGAUCCCUCUAAUCUCUCUAUAUUACAGAUGAGGAAACAGGCCCAGGCCACACAGUGAGCUAGUGGUCUAGGCACAGGCCAUCACACACUGAGGGCACCUCCUGCUAUCCCCAGCUAACCCUAGCCAAUGUGUUAGUCCCUAAAGCAAGCAUUGGAUCAGAUGUCAUAGGAUGGAUGGGGGCUGUCUUGGCCUACUGAAUCUCUAGUUGUUCCACAGCAGAGACCAUCUGUUUACUCGUAGAAUGUGGGAAACAGCCUUGCUGACAAUCAGACCAAGGAGUUCCCAAAGAAACAGAGUGCUCAGGACAGCAUAUUAGACAAGACUGCUCCACAGGUCACAAAAUGACUGACCAACCUCUUUGAGUGACAAAUGCUUCUCCACUAUGACAACUCUGGCCCUAUUUUAAUCCUCCUACCUCCUAGGUAAAAAUUAAUUUCCCUAUCACCAAAUUGCCUCACUUCUUGGAAGCACCCAACCCCAGACUGGCCUCUGUCUCCCUAAAAUCACUCAGCACCAGCCCCAACCCAGGAAGAGGUACCUUUCAUAACUCCCCUUUUGAGAUGCUUGGGAGUCCCCCAGGGUGCAUUUCCCCUUGCUGCAGCAAGCUAAAUAAAUGCCAGCAGUGUUUUCUUGGUGGUUUUUGGUUGUUGGGCUUUGAACAGUCAACAAAUAUUUGAACCACAGUGUUCCAUGAAAUAUGGUGAUGAUGAAGAAAAGCAACAGUGAUUAAAAAAAAUGUGGUUUGGAUCAAUGCAUAGACACAGAGAUCAACAAACUAGAACUGAGAGUCUAGAAAUAAAACCAUGUAUCUGCCGUCAACUGAUUUUCAACAAGGGUGCUAAGACCAUUCCAUGGAGAAUAGUAUUUAACAAAUAGUGCUGGGACAACUGGUUAGCUACAUGCAAAAGAAUGAAGUUGGACCCUUACCUCACACCAUAUACAAAAGUUAACUCAAAAUGAAUCAAAGCCCUAAAUAUAAGAACUAAGACUAUAAAACUCUUAAAACAUAGGGAGAAUCUUCAUGACCUCAGAUUUGUCAAUGAAUCCAUAGAUAUGACACCAGAAUCAUGAACGACAAAAAAAUUAAUUGAACCUUAUGAAAAUUAAAAACUUGUAUGUUUCAAAGGACAUUAUCAAGAAAGUAAAAGUACAAUCCACAGAAUGGGAUAGGCCAGGUGUGGUGGCACACACCUGUAAUCUCAGCACUUUGGGAGGCCGAGGUGGGUGGAUCAGUUGAAGUCAGGAGUCUGAGACCAGCCUGGCCAAACAUGAUGAAAUCCUUACUUUACUAAAAAUACAAAAAUUGGUCGGGCAUGAUGGUGCACACCUGUAAUCCCAGCUACUCAGGAGGCUGAGGCAGGAGAAUUGUUUGUACCCUGGAGGUGGUUCAAACAAUUGCAGUGAGUUGUGAUCAUGCAACUCUGGCCUGGGAGACAGAGUAAGACUCGCUAAAAAAAAAAAGAAAAAAUAUUUGCAAAUUAUAUAUCUGUUAAGGGACUUGUAUCUAAAGAACUCUCACAACUCAAUAAUAAAAAGGCAAAAACCCAAAAAUGGGCAAAAGAUCUGAUUAAACAUUUCUCUGAGGAAGAUAUACAAAUGGCCAAUCAGCACAUGAAAAGGUGCUUGAGGUCACUAGUCAUCAGGGAAAUGCAAAUCCAAACAAGGAGACACCACUUCACACCUGCUAGGAUGGCGGGAAUAAAAAAGUCAUAUAACAAGUAUUGGUGAGGAUGUGGAAGGGUCUGAAUCUCCCUGUAUUGCCUCCUUGGAAAGUAGUCAUAAUUCCUCAAAUGAUUAAAGAUUAGUGUUACCAUAUGACCAAGCAAUUCCACUCAUAGGUAUAUACCCAGGAGAAAUGAAAUGUGUCUACGCAGAAACUUAUACAUGAAUGUUUAUAGCAGCAUUGGUCGUAAUAGCCAAAAGGUGGAAACAACCCCAAUGUCUGAUGAAUGGUUAAAGAAAACAUGGUCAUCCACACAAUGGAACAUGCACAUGCAAGUCUUGUGUGGACGUGUGAUUUCAUUUCCCUUCGAUAAAUUGCUAGGAGUGGAAUUGCUGGGUCAUAUGGUGAAUUUAUGCUUAACUUUGUAAAAAAUGACUGUGCCUCUCUCCAAAGUCUCACUGUUUUACUUUCUCUGGGGAAUUGACAUUUAAGCUGAGACCUAACAGAUGAGAAGGAGCCAGUCAUAAGAUGAAUGGGGAAGAGUUUCCUGGGGCAGACAGGGAGCAACAGCUCGUGUAAAGCCCUCAGGCCCAGAAAGGGAGAAAGCUUUGUUAGCUAGAGGAGCUGGCACUCUUAAAAGAAAUUGGUGAGGUUUUUGUUUGUUUUUGUUUUUUUGAGAUGGAGUUUUGCUCUUGUUGCCCAGGCUGGAGUGCAGUGGCACGAUCUCAGCUCAGUGCAACCUCUGCCUCCCAGAUUCAAGUGAUUCUCCUGCCUCAGCCUCCGGAGCAGCUGGGAUUAUAGGUGCCCUCCACCACACCUGGCUAAUUUUUUGUAUUUUUAGUAGAGGUGGGGUUUCACCAUGUUGGCCAGGCUGGUCUUGACCUCCUGACCUCAGGUGAUCCACCCACCUUGGCCUCCCAAAGUGCUGGGAUUACAGACAUGAGCCACUGUGCUCUGUCUGGUAAGAUUUCUUAUAUUGAGCCACCUGAAAGAAUAUGAAAACGAGUCUGUAGAACAGACUUCAGGGAAGGGCAGUCUGAGCACUGGGCUGUAUGCUGAUGAACAUGAGACAGUAGGAAUGUGCGUGACCUGAGGGAGGUUGACCACGCUGGGCACAGCUGGAGAAGACAGUACCGACUUCCCAGUGAGGCUGCGCUAGGCUUGAAUUCCAGCUCAGCCUCUGGGAUGUUGGGUGAGAUUUUUUUUUUUUUUUGAGCUGGAGUCUCACUCUGACACCCAGGCUGAAGUGCAGUGGCACCAUCUCAGCUCACUGCAACCUCCACCUCCUGGGUUCAAGCAAUUCUCCUGCUUCAGCCUCUUGAGCAGCUGGGAUUAUAGGUGCACACCACCACACCUGGAUAAUUUUUUUCUAUUUUUAGUAGAGACACGGUUUCAUCAUGUUGGUCAGGCUGGUCUCGAACUCCUUACCUCAUGAUCCGCCCACCUCAGCCUCCCAAAGUGCACAGUUGUGAGCCACUAUGCCCGGCCAAUUGGGUGAGAUUCUUAACCUCCUUGAGCUUCAGUCUACUCAGCUGUAAAAUGGGAACCGACUUUACCCUGUCAUAAGAGGGUGAAGAACUGAGGACUUGCAAUAUGCAUGUCAUAUCAAGACUUUCGCCCGAAGGGGCCAGACGCCACAGUCCAGGGCAGCUGGUGUGAGGAGUGAAGGGCAGGUAUGAGCUGGUCUGAGGAGGGCAGUAGGCAGCUCACGGGGACUGCAACUUUACACUGGAGGCAGUGAGAAGCAAGUGGCUGGAGGACUCUUGAGCUAGCCAAGGAGUUAGCCAAGGUCAAGGAGGGAAGUUAGAACUGGGGGUCAGGUCGCUGAUCACACAGCAUUCUCCAAGUGGGUAGAGCGGGAGAUUGAGUUAUCGUCCCUGAUUACAGUAAUCCAGGCCAGGUUACAGCAGCUGCGGAGGCAGAGGGGAGCAAGUGAGAGAUGGAGUGUAGUGUGUCUCCAGAUGUCUGUCUGGGGCUCUGCAAGAGUGGCUGGCCACACCAGAGAGGUUGAGGACUGGGGGCGGCAGGCUUGGAGGAGGGAGAAGCAGGGAAGGAGGUGAAUGCUCUAUUUGGCCAUGCUGGGUUUGAGGCGUCUGUGGAGAAACCCCAUUGGCCCCAUGGCAGAUCAUGAAAAGAGAGGUUCGUCUCUGGGAGGCCCCAGGAUGCCAGACUCAGCUGUCCUCAGGAGCAGCUCCCUGGGGCUUCUUGCCACCACUGACUUUAGGAGGGUCCCCUCUCUUUUCUCAUCUGUCUCGUCCUGAGCAUGGGACAGAUCCUUCCCUGAUUCCCCACCUCCCUGUAUGGUCUUAGCUGUGACUUUAAAAAGGCCUUGAAGGUUUAGGAGUGAUACUAUUGGAAGUAAUGCUUGGUGCCACAAAUAAAAAUCAGCACUGAGACAAAGGAUGUUUUAGCAAUGCAAUUUUUACUUCCUGGACUGCAGGAAAGGUUCCCUUGCUAGCCAUCUUGCCACAAGAGUACAAUGAACAAAGGAAAACACACACAUUUACUUCUUAUGCUUUUGGGGUUGUCCUUACUGCUGUGUCUUAUUUCCAUUGGCUGGAGUCAGACCUCACAAUCUAAACUAAAACCUGAUUGGCUAACCUCAAACCCAGCAUGGCCAAAUAGAACACUCACCUCCUUCCCUGCUUCUCCCUCCUCCAAGCCUGCCGCCCCCAGUCCUCAACCUCUCUGGUGUGGCCAGCCACUCUUGCAGAGCCCCAGACAGACACCUGGAGCACACUACACUCUAUCUCUCACUUGCUCCCCUCCAGCCCUUAAGCUGGCCCCUCUGCCCUUUAGCACUCCUCCCUGUGCUCUGCCCUCUCCCUCUUUUUUAAAUAGGUAAAAGCAAUGGAGAGCUGGGACAUGCCUGUGAGCAGGUCCAGCAUAGAUGUCUUGGUUAAAGUACAAGGACAUAGAAUGUACUACAUGCCUGUAAGCACAGCAUAUCUAACGCUACAUAGAAUAGGGCUUAACACAGUUAUUAGCACACUCAUAAUUUAAUAAGAAAAGAAACUUUAAAAAAGAACUUUUCUACUUCACACAAUACUAUACUGUGAUCAUCCCAAAGGGUCUCUUCUGAGACCAGCUCCCCAUAUCGCUCCCAGCCUCAUCCCCCAAGUCUUUCCACAUAGCUGUGGGUCUCCUACCCUGCCUCUCCAUACUCUGGUGUCUGAGGCUGAUCCCUGAACCUGGAAAGCGAGGGUUCCUCUUCCCAUAGACUCUUCUGGUUGCCCCCAGUAUCCACUCUCCUUUAUGAGCUCCUGAUAUGAAGCUGGGUAGGCACCCGUUCCCAUUCAGAACACCCUAUUCCCCACCCUUGCUUGCAGUCAGAUGUGGUCAUGCGCCCAAGUCUGACUAGUAAGGUAUAAAUGGAUGUGUCAUUUCCAGCAAUUGUCUUUAAAAAAAUGAGGUGUGGCCUUCAUCGUUCCUCCCUCUCGACAGAAAACAGAUGGAAUGGCUGGAGCUCUGACAGUCACCUUGGUUCAUGGAGUAGGGCUGUGCCUUUGGAAUGGAAGCCAUGCACAAUGGAGCAACAAGAUAGAAGCCUGGCGGUGCCCUUCACUCCAGGGGACACCCUUCACUUGGCAUUCUGUGGUGCGUUCCAGAAGGUGCCAGUCACAGAAUACCAUGUGAAGGGCACCCCUGUAGCUUGCAAGGCAUCAGCCUCAGCUGCCUGCCUCUGAACAUCCUGCAGCCUGAGCGAGUAUCCGACUUUGCUGUGAGCAACUGCCCUUUGAGGAUUUUCUGUUAUUUGCAGGUCUGAUCUAACACCUGGUCCCGGGCCUCCUUUCCUUUGCCCAGAUCCAUCUGUACCCAGGGUGAGUGACUGUUGACUAACUUCAGGAGAAACCCCACCCUGUCCCUGGCAGUGGCCGCACAGGGCAACCCACAGAAGUCACAGCCAGGAUUCUCCAAAGUCUGAGCUCUUCUUAAGUCUCACCUGGGCUCUCCUUGCAGUUGAUGAUCUGCCAGCCACCCCAAAACUGAGUGGCUUCACACAGUUCCUCAUGGAUUUCCUGGGCUUGCCCAGCUGUUUCUAAGCUAGGGUCUCCUAUGCAGUUGCAGUCAGGUGGUGGCCUCCCAUAUGAAGGCCCUGCUGGGCUGGACUCCAGGGCAGCACCAUCUCACAGCUGCAAGUGGGACUGGCUGGGAGCUUGGCUAGGGCUGUGGACAGAAGCCCCUACCUGAGCCUCUCACAGCAUGAGGGUCAGAUUCCAACAAAGAGUAGCCCAGGUGUGAGCAUUCCAGGAGAUACAGCUGGGAGUUGACAGGCUUCUCAUGCCCCAGCCUCCAAAGUCACACAGCAUCACUUCUGCCACGGUUCAAAAGUAGGAAACCACACAGGGCAUGGGUAUCAGGAGGCGUGGCUCACUGGGGACCCUGCCGUCACAGAGAUAGGAGGCCACUGGAGCUUGGAGGGCAGCUGGACAAGAGACAAAUUUUGAGUUUUGACUGUUUUUACUCACAAUACUACUGACAUCGAAAAUGUGGGUUUUUCUUCCACUCAACAGCCAGUUCUCUGAUUCUGCAGCCGCUCAACCAGAUGUUUGUAGACUAAAAUUCCUAAGCUCCACACCAACUGAAUGGACCCCCUCUUGGCCAAGGGGACCCCAGGGAAACCUUAAAAAAUGGAGUUCCUGGUCAUGAUGGGAAGGGCAGUUGGACAUGCCUCAUUAUGCCCACUCCCUUUCCAAAUUUAGGCCGAACUGAGCAGCACUGAUGUUCAAAUAGAGAUCACAACACUGACAAAACAUUCUCUGUGGCAAUGAGAUACAAGAUUAUAAAUGGGAUCUAAGGCCAUGCCAGGCAAGGGUUACGUCACACCCACAGGCCAUCAAUCUCACUAUGUGGCAUCCUUAACUGAAAACCUUCCUUUCUGGCCAAGUACUUGGGGAGGCUGAGGCAGGCAGAUUGUGUGAGCUCAGGAGUUUGAGACCAGCCUGGACAACACAGGGAGACCCUGUCUCUACAAAAGAUAAAAAAUUAGCCAGGCGUGCUGGUGCACACCUGUGGUCCCAGCUACUCUGGAGGCUGAGGUGGGAGGAUCACUUGAGCCUGGGAGGUGGAGGCUUCAGUGAACUGAGAUCGCACCACUGCACUCCAGCCUGGGUGACAGAGGGUGACCCAGUCGCAAGCAAACAAACAGAACAUUCCUUUCUGCUUACUCCAAGUUUAGAUAGACAGAGCCUUACCCCUUCAACCAAUUGUAUGUUAAGGAAUCUCCGAAUCUCCCUGUAACCUAUCAGCCCCCGUCAAGAUAUCCAGCCUUUUCAGGCUGAACUAACGUGUGCCUCCCAUGUCUUUUUGUCUUUGCCUGUAACUCCUGCGUCCCUAACAGGUAUGAAAGGAAACUGUGCCCUGACCUCCCAGUGCACGUUUUCAGGACUCCUUGAGACUGCAUCCUCUGGACUUCCGUCACUCACAGAGGCUCAGAAUAAAUCUCUUUAAAAUAUUUAGAGCUUGGUUUUUCAGGUAACUCAUUCUUCAACUCAAUUCAAUUCUUACACUAACUCCAUGGAGUUCAUGCAGACCCCACAGUCCCACAAGACUCCUCCCACUUCUGACAUCAGAGCCAGGGGCCCUCAUCUGCAAGUCCCAGGUUCCCACCUGUAUUUCCUACCCACUGGCUCUACAUCGGGGGUUCUCACAGCCUCUUCGUCCCUUGGAUAAUUUGCUGUAAUGGCUCACAGAACGCAGGAAAGCACUUUUACUUCCAAUACUGGUUUAUUAUACAGGAUAUAACACAGGAACAGCUAUAUGGAAGAGAUGCAUAAGGCAAGGUAAGAGAGAUGCAAAUGUCCAUGCCCUCUCUGGCUGUGUCCCCUCCCAGUACCUGCCUUUGUGUGGCAGCCCAGAAGCUCCCCAAGUCCCAUCACUUAGGAGUCUUUCCAGAGGCUUCAUCCUGGAGGCAUGAUUGAUUAAAUCAUUGGCCACUGGUGACUGAACUCAACCUCCAGCCCUCUCCCCUCCCCAGAGGUUGGUGAGUGGGGCUGAAAGUCCCAAUCCUCUAGUCGUGCCUUGGUCUUUGGUGACUGGCUCCAUCCUGAAGCUACCUAGGGCCACCGCUCAUCUCAUUAGCAUAAAAAGACACCUUCCACUUUGGAGAUUCCAAGCGUUUUAGGAUCUGUGUGCCAAGACAAAGGGACAAAGACCAAAUAUUCAGUUUUUAUUAUUACAAGUAAGUGUUAAAAUUCCAAGAAUAGAGGAGUUCUGUGCACACUUGUUUGCACUUGGGAGUGUGUGGUGUGUGCAGGUGUGUGUAUACGUGUGUGGCAUGUGUGUGGUACAUGCAGUGUGCCUGGGGUGGUAAGGUGCCUGCACACGGGAGGGAGCUGGAGCUUGUCAGAGAAGUGGGAUUCCAGGGCAGGCAUGUCUUUAAAUUAGUUCUUGAGACCUAGAUUCCUUUCUUUGCUGCCUCCCGCUUUUCCUCCUUCAGCGCCUUUGCCACCUUCAGAUCCCAGCCAGACACUGUCAAGCAGGAAAAUUGCUACCAGAGACCACCUCUGAGGAGGAGUCAGGCUCAGCAUCCGGGGGAUGUCCCACCCUGCUCCCGGCUCCCUGACGCCAGCAGGUGCACGGGGAGGCCCCCACCUCAGCAGUGAAGCGGGCAGGGCUUGCUGAGGCCCCUGCCUCACCCGUAGCUCCCUAACAAGAUCAUCUGCCAUUCCUGUUGCACCUGUGCCCCACGCCGUGGCCUCUGUAGAAGGUGUGUGGACACUGUCUGCCUUUUUAGAACUUGGAUCUGAGUGGACCUGGGUUCCACUCUUACUGUCACCAUGUGACAGUAGGUAGGUCACUCGUAUUCUCUGAGCCAAAUGAAAGUACUGAGUUAGAUCCCUCAAGAUGCCAUCCCAGGGUCCAUCCGCCUGCCCAGCUCUCCACCGAACUCUCUGGCAGGCUCUCCCUCUCAUUCCUGCUUUGCUACUUUCACUGGUGAAACCCAAGAGGGCCAGGUGGAGGCUGGAAUGUGCCUAACCUCCAGAGGUCAUCUCAGGCAGCCCCCUGUCUUAAGUUCCAGGAUCUCUAUCUGAGCCCUGGACCCUCAUCUGUCAGGCAGGGCCCAGUGGCUUCAGGGGCAGGAGCAGGGGUGGAGUUAAUCUUCCCUGGAAUGUUAAUGGCCCCAUCAGGAGUGCUGGGGACGAGCCUAGCAGUAAUCUGCCUUUAUUAAUGAGGCGGGCACCAGCUGGAGCACGGGGCUCAGGAGAGAGAAGCUGCUGCAGCGGAGGCAGCUUGGGGGAAACCGCCCUCCUGGCCAGAGCAGCAGGUAGACAACAGAGAGGGUGCCUGGGCCUCAGAAUCGCCCACCUCAGCCACUGCACCACCGGCCCCCUAGCUUGAUCCCCCCACCUCUUCCUCCUCUUCCGCGCUGGGGUGGGAGGGGCUCCUCCUCGUCUGGAUGCAAGUGUGUGGGUGUGCAGAGGUGUGUGCAGGGUGUGUGGGGGGGUGUGCACAUGUGAGCAGGCAUAUGUGUGUGCAGAGCUGUAGGCCUAGGACAAGUGCAUGCCUGCCUGAGCCCACCUGGGUGCCCAGCCACAUACCACCCCAGGUCCCUGAGGGCACCCACGUGCUUGGGAAACAGUGGGCCGACUACACAGGCCACUGGUCCUCUAAGAGGGCAGGGGAGAAGGCAUAGUGUAGGGUGAAUCAGCCUUCACCCUGCUUAAUUAUUUAAGCCACCACCAGCACAGGGUUAUGAAGCUGAGAUUAACCACUGGCCCUAUAGCUGGGAGCAAUACAUAUUUCCCCCUCAUUUUGCCUUUCUGUUCACCAAAUUGAAUCAACAUAUUAGGGUUGCUCCCAAUCGAUUUGUUCUGAUUCCCCAACAGUAUGGAAGAGAAACGUGGCACCAGCCUUCAGGGCCAAACUUGACUCAUUAAAUGAUCCCUCUCCAGGCAGUGUGGACAAGUGCGACCCCCUGUUCACCCAGACUGAGCUGCCCUGCCCCAGAAGAUCAGGACAUACCCACAUCCACUACACCCCUGAAUCCUGGGGCCCCUCUCUCUGACCCCAAAUAUUUCAAAUUGGGAAACUAAAUUCUCACCCACCUGCCUCCCCAUAGCAAGACACUCAUGCUCUGUGAACUGUGCUUUCCAAGGCCAAUGCCAGCAGGAAAGGGGGCAAAGCAGAUGCCUCACUCCCACACCUGCCAUUUUGCCGGUGAUGCCCCUAUUGGAAUCAUUGAUUGCCAGAGUAACAACAAUAAUAGCUAAUGUCGAUUGAGUUUCUGAUAUAUCAGGCAGGGUAUGAACACACCAGGAUUAUCUUAAUUGUCAUUGGAGACACAAGCUGGAGAGGUUACGUGACUUGCCCAAGGUCACACAGGCAGUAAGUGGUUGUGGUACAUAUAGUGGAUGGACUACCCAAAAGCCAUUGUCAAGCCCCCUUUUUCUUUCCUUCCUUUAGUCAGUGGCUAAAAAGCUGAAAUGCUCAUCUUUCCAGCUUCCCUUGCUGCUGCUAGGAAUAGCCCUGUGACACAAUUCACUUCUUGGCCAAGGGGCAAGAAGUGAAAGUUCUUGGAACAGGCAUUCUUUUCCAAAUAAAAAGACAAAGCCUAGCUAGGGGAGGACGCUUUGCCCUUCCUGAUUCUCCCUUCUUCUCCCUUCUGCUUGUUUAAGGGAAACAGAUGUGAGGACCAGAGGUGCAGCAGCCACCAUGUGAGCAUGAGGUGGAUAUGUAUAGUUAUGACGGAGCAGGAAAACAAAGAUCCCAGGUGUCCAGGGACAUCUUUGAGCUACUGUAGCAGCUUAGGACUGCCUUCUCCCAGACUUCUUAUUGGACAAGCCAAAUAAACUCCUCCUUUGUUUAAGUCCCUGCAAGCAUUUCCUGUUACUUACGGCCUAAUGCACUCCUAGCUGAUAAGAUUCAACCACAAGCAGUUUGGCUCCAGAGCCCCUGAUCUUAGCACUCUUGUCCUGCCUGUCACUGAGUUUGUAGAAGACAUAUAUGAAGGUUCUUCAUGACAUAACUUAUUUUUAAGACAUUUUAAAGAGUAGUUUUAGGAGCACAUCAAAAGAAGAAGAUACAGAGACUUCCUACAUACUCCUGCCCGCUACAUGCACAGCCCCCCCUUAUCAACUCCCUGCACCAGAGUGCCACAUGUGCUACAACUGAUGAAUCUACACAGACACAUAAUUAUCACCCAGAGUCAUAGGUUACACGAGGGUCCACUCUUGGUAGUAUACAUUUUAUGGGUUUGGAUGAUUCUACAAUGACAUGUAUCCACCACUGUAGUAUCUAUUUUAGAGUAUUUUUGCUACCCUAAAAAUCUGCUGUGCUCUGCCUAUUCAUCCCUCCCUUUCAUCCCCCAAACCUUUGGCAACCACUGAUCUUUUUAUCGUCGCCAUAGUUUUGCCUCUUCAGGAAUGUCAUUUAGUUGGAGUCAUGCAGUAUGUGGCCCUUUCAGAUUGGCUUACUUCACUUAGUAAUAUGCAUUUAAGGUCCCUCCGUGUCUUUUUAUGGCUUCAUAGCUUUUUUUUUUUUUAGCACAGAACAAUAUUCCACUGUCUGGAUGUACCACAACUAUUUAGCCUUCAUUUACUGAAGGAUAUGUUGGUUGCUUCCAAGUUUUGCAAUUAUGAAUAAUGCUGCACAGGUUUUUGUGUGGACAUAAGUUUUCUACUCCUUUGGGUAAAUACCAUGGUGCACCAUUGCUAGAUUGUGGUAAGAGCAUGUUUAGUUUUGUAAGAAACUGCCAGGCUGUCUUCCCAAGUGGCCAUACCAUUUUGCAUUCCCACUAGCAAGAAUGAGAGUUCCUCUCGCUCUGCAUCCUCGCCACCUUUGAAUAUCCCGUUUUUGGUCCCCUCCCACCCCUAACUGAAGAGCUGUCUGUCUCACAUAACUUGACAGCUGUUUGAGUGCAGCUCAUUGGCUUUAGAGUGGACACUUGAACAAUAGCGGAGCAAAUCAGAUUCUUCCUCAAGAAGAGGAAGCAAGCCUGGGACUUAGUCUCAUGUGGAGGAUGUUUGAUGCACUGCCAAAAUCUCCCUGAGAAAUGCAGGGCAUCUUCCCCCAGCUGCUGAAAGUGCGGGGAGACAAGACACUCCUCAGCUGGAUUAGUCCAUUCUCAUAUUGCUAUAAAGAACUACCCGAGACUGGGUAAUUUAUAAAGAAAAGAGAUUUCAUUGGCUCACAAUUCUGCAUGCUAUACAGGAAGCAUGGCUGAGGAGGCCUCAGGAAACUUAUAAUCAUGGCAGAGAGCAAAGGGAAGGCAGGCACAUCUUACAUGUCUGGGAAAGGAGUAAGAGAGUGAAGGGGGAGGUGCCACACACUUUUAAAUAACCAGAUCUCACAAGAGCUCACUCACUUUGACCCCCAGAAUUCAAUCACCUCCCACCAGACCUCUCCUCCGAUUACAACUGGACGUGAGAUUUUGAUGGGGAUGCAAAUCCAAAGCAUAUCACCAGCUGUCAGGGCUUCAAGGAUGGCCUCAGCUGAAGAAAGCUGCUUUGGCCAUGGCUGUGCUCUCCUUGCUGGGCAGCCCACAUUUGAUGACUAAUUUGAUGACUAAUGUGGAGGGGUGGUUAAAGGCUCAGUUCCCUCACUAUCCCAGGUCCAGGGCUUUCCAUGAGAUGAGAGGACAUCUUGGGGAUGUCAUCACACCUCAAUUUCCCCCUCUGUCCACUCCUGCACCUUCCCUUUCCUCCCACAGGGGUUAAGCCUGAGAACAUUCCCUAGUAAACAUCCUCCACAACAAGCUCCACGUCAGCAUCUGCCCCUCAGCAAACCCAACCCGGGACACACCAGCUGGAAGGACCUGAGACAAGUGGGCUGAAGCGGCCACUGCAUCCAUAAACAGAGAACAGACAGAGACCUGGAGUGCUGCAAGAGGAGCGAGAGGCAGGACCACAUGGCUCCAAAAGAAGGAGCAGGAUGAACAAGGGUCCACACUGAUUCUAGAACGUUUUCCAGCUCCUGUGUCAGCUCUUGCACAGCCCUCAGGUUCCAUGAGACACCCCUGAUUCCUCACAGUACCCUUCCUAUUUUGUUGAGCAAGUAUAGGUGGAUUUCUCUUUCCUGACAUCAAACUAUCCUCAAAUAAUAAAUACUGCUUCCCUGCAUUUUACGAAUAAGAAAACUAAAGCCCAGAGGGGAAGGGCCUUCUCUAAAUUCACAUCAGGUUAGUGAGAGAGCUGGAUUUUUAUCUUUAUUCAUGUAACAAAUAGCUCCUAAGGAUCCACUAUGUGCCAUGCAUGGUGUCACUUGGGGCUGAUAACUGUGAGCAAGGUAGACGUGAUCCUUACAAUUACGGAGCUCCCCAUCUAACAAGAGAGAAGACAACUCAAUAGACAACCACAGCACAGUGAGACAAGCGCUAUGGCAUUACCUAGGAGGGCACCCAUCCCUGGCUUGGAUGCUCACGGAAACCUCCCAGAGGAAGUGACACCUGAGCCAAGGCCUGCAGGGGAACAGAGCUGUCCAGGUAGAGGAAAGAGAAUGUGGAAAGGCUCACCGUUGAAAAGAAAUAGUGUAUGGAAUUCACACACUCGUUUUGUCUGGUCACCAUCUUUUCCUUGGGGGGAACCACAGUUUCCCUGGCCCUGUGUUGGUUCCAUGAGGUGGCGAAUCUCUGGGCCUAUGUCCUUCUCAUAGUAGGGUCAGGUCCAUGGCCCAGUCUAACCCAAUCAGAACCUCCCUCCAGAACCUGAAUUUCUGCUGGAGACACACAGGAUGGAAGGUGGUAAGCACGGAGGCCUCUGGUGGCUGCGCCCUAAAGAGACUGCACAUGCUACUCAAGACUCCAGAGCUGCCCUGGUUCCUGUCGGUCCUGAGAUCUGUUGUCUAGCUCCUCCUUCUAAUCUGUGAGCUGCUUCACUAACUCCUCAACAAAUCCCCUGUUCUUCUUUAACUUUUUCAGAGUCGACUUUUAGUGCUUGCAACCAAAUAACCCUGAUUCAGAAAUGAGUGCCAGGAGUGGGAUUCACGCAAAACCCUUAGGGAUAUGUGAGCUACUUAGAACUGGCUUUCAUAAAUCCAUGGGGGAAAAUCAGGAGGACUCUGGUUCAUAUUACUGGAUAGGAAAGUGGCUGCCAAUGGUACAGAGUGGUGAACAACUAAUCAUGUUAUACCCUCUGGUCACCUGGGACCACACGCCAACCAAAAGCGAAAGACUAUAGCAGCUGCCAUGGACCAAUUUAUAAAGGAUGAGGAGAGCUGGGACCAUAGGCUGGAUGCUUGUUCCCAAUACUGGAUAAUUUAAAGCAAGAAAAUGACAGGCUCAACUCAAAAUGCUUGCCUGGAGGCACUGAAUAAAAUUCAGAGCCAUUAUAUGACCAUGCUGAAAUAAUCUUUUAUUGCAUGUAGCCUUAGAGUUGAAAUUGCUGAAGACUGAACUUGGAUAUUGAUUCUGAAGUUACUGAACUACAGUGUCAGUGAAUUCACAACCUCACCAGGUCACUUCUGCAAAAUGGAGGGAAUUGGCUAGGAAAUAUUAAUUUCCUAUUGGAACAGUGAUAUCUGGGAGGAUUAUAAGGACUCAGAGCACCCUAAGCCUCCAAGUACCUCAGUUCACCACCCUCGGGCUCCCUCAUGACUCACCCCUCACUGUUUCUCCCAAAAUAUUGAGGACCCAGAUUAAACGUGGUCCAGAUGAUAAAAUUCAGAAUCAGGGUGGGAAAGAGUUAUUCUCAGAAAGAACUGCAGAAACUCACUAAUUUACAUUCCUAAGGUAUGAGAAAUAUGUGUGGAAAUGGAUUUCGAGGGGGCAUUUAUCAAGGCGAGAGGGAUAGAAGUGCAGUUUUAGUGCAUUUCUUGGUAUGGGUGCAGUCACCAGAAAUUUUGCAUUCAGGGUAUUCUCUCUGGCAGUUGGUAGAAAUUCUGACACUUUGCAGAAGUCACUAAUGCAAACCUGGACAGUAUGAUGAUCCACACUAAUUGGCAAAAAGGGACCGGAAAAUCCUUGGCAUAAUUAGAGGAACAGAAAUCAAAAUAGCUAGAGAGGAAUGCUGAACUGAUCUCUCAAUUCACAUCAAUUCCAGGAGCCUCUCCCUUCCUCCUUCCCUUAAGGAUGCUCUCAGUGAAAAAUGAAAAUAAUCUUGUCUUUUUAAUAUCAAAAAAAUUAAUAGCAUGUUUCAGAUUUACAAAAGGUUUAAAGAAUAAUGUAACAAACAUCGAUGAACCUCUUAUCCAACUUACAGUAUGAAAUGUGUUAGCUUAGAUCCUCCAGGAUGCAGACACCAAGAUGGGAUUAGAAAACUCCUGCAGAGGAACACAGGGAGAAAGGCAGAGGCGGUAGGCAGUGCCCUCAUGGCACUGCAGGCCUGACCACUGGGAAAGACCAAGGGAAGGAAGGAAGGCCAUGUCAGGAGAGUUUCAGGUGGCUGGGCAGCUCUGAGAAUGUUUCAGCAAGGCUGAUGGGAAGUCCUUGAGCCACAGUCACCUGUAAGAGGAGCCCUGCAUCUCACAGGGUUGGGCAUGCCUGUCAUCCCUGUGGGGCACAGGCAGGCCUGGUGCAGGUUGGGAAAGUGUGGUGCUGGUACAAACACAGUGGAGGACUCAGAGUGCAGCUGCUGGGGCCAGCAGUCAAUUACAGGGACUGCAGAAGGUGAUGUGAGAGGCACACUGUCAUGGCCAUGCAUGAACCAUGGUCAGGACCAAUAAAAGUGCAUAUCAACCCUUCCCAAAUCUGCAAAAUGGGCUCAGCUACCCAUUCUCGAUAGAAAUUAUAGCAGAAGUGCUGCUGUUAAAUGGGAUUUCUAAUCUUAGAGUGGGUGGAAAGAGCUUUAGCGGCCUAGCCCAGAUUAAGUAACUAUGUGAAAAUAGUGGUCAUGGCCAUCCCCUAAAGGAGGCAGGGAGUGGGUGCUAAGGGAAUCACUGGGAAAGCAGUGAUCCCUGGGUAUGGGUAAUUGAUCAAGCCAUCCCUUGAUCAGUGAAGAGAUGAAAUGAGCAAGCAGCCCACUGAGGUCUUACUUGAUUCUAUAACCAAAAUCCUCCAGGUUUGGUAAAUGAAGAGCUUGUUGAGUACCUGUAACUGAGAGGGAGUUCCCAGUCCAGGGUUGGUUCAGACCCAGAGCUUCUCAAAUGCAGGGGCCAACAGGGCCUUUGAGCUAGGAUCUGUUAAAACAGCACACAUGGGACAUGAUAAAUCUGUGAGUUUCCUCCAAAGACAGCUGCCGCCCUUUACCUAGGUUACUGAGCUGAUAUGGUUUGGAUAUUUGUCCCCUCCAAAUCUCAUGUUGAAAUUUCAUCCCCAAUGUUGGAAAUAGGACCUGGUGAGAGGUACUUGGGUCAUGGGAGUGGACCCCUCAUGAGUGUCUUGGCGCCACGUUCACAGUAAUGAGUGCAUUCUUACUCUAUUAGUUCCCAAGAGAACUGAUUAUUGAAAGAGCCUGGCACCUUCCUUCUGUCUCUCUGGCUUCCUGACAUGUGAUCUCUGCAGCCAGCUCCCCUUUGCCUUCUGUCAUAAGCAGAAGCUUCCAGAAGCCCUCACCAGGAGCAGAUGCUGGCGUCAUGCUUCUUCUACAGCCUGUAGAACCAUGAGACAAAUAAAUCUCUUUUCUUUAUAAAUUACCCAGCCUCGGGUACUCCUUUAUAGCAACACAAAUGAACUAAGACAUAAUCACAGGAGGAAUAGGUGAUUAGAGGAUUAUCUGAGCCAGCUCUAAUUCCUGGGGACAGUAACACUGUGGUCUCUAUGGCAGAUGGGCACUUGGGGAACUCAGGGAUAACUGUGUUCCCACCUGAAUCCUCCCUACAGUAGGUCAGUGGGACUUCAGUCCCCUCCAGCAGUUACUUCCCCAGUUCCUGAAAGGAAAUAGAGGUCUUCAUAGGUGAGAAAACCCGCAUCAGCUUCCUGAUCAGAAGACUUAGUGAUAGGAAGGGCCAGGAGGAAGUCACUUGCGUUCCUUCUACCCAUGAAUACAGUAACCAAAAGCAACACUGCAACCCCAGGGGGCUGCGAGGCUGAGUGUCACCACCCGACACCAGAAAGAUGUAAUUGGGACAAUACUGACCACAUCUCCCUGCUAUCCCAGAUUGGCCAGUGUGAAAAAUAGCCAGGUUUAGAAAACGACAGUGGCAUGUUAUACACUUAAUUGGGUGGCCACUUUAUUUGCAGUUGCUGUUCCAGAUGUGGGCUCCUUGGCAGAGCAAAUUAAUUCAGCCCUGUGCUUGGCAUUCAGUUGCUGAUCUGGAAAAUAGAAUGUACUCCUCCUGACAAGCAGAAAACACUUGAAGUGGUUUGCUUGCCCCUGGCAGGGAGAGGAACAGAAUGGUACAGCUCUGCCUCGGGGAACGCUGGCUUUCUAGCUCGUCCCACAGCCUGGACCAGCUCCCCAUCCUGAGGAGCAUCAUCCUGCCAAUGGGCUCGUGCUCUGUAUUGAUCACACAAGACUAAUCGGGUCCGACAGGUUUCCUCGAUGUCUUGGUAAGAUGCACAUGUGACAGAGACUGGGCCGUGAUUCAGGCCCUGGCACCUCAGAGAGGCUCCUGCAGGUCCAGUGGUCUCAGACAUGUUGGAGAGUUCAUUUCAAAUGAAGAACUUAAAAGGAGGCACAAUGCCUCAUGACUUCUUUGGAUUUUUAAGGCAGUCUUAAGAUUAAUUCUUUUGUCCGGGUGUGGUGGCUCACGCCUGUAAUGCCAGCACUUUGGGAGGCCAAGGCGGGUGGAUCACAAGGUCAGGAGAUCAAGACCAUCCUGUCUAGCACGGUGAAACCCCGCCUCUACUAAAAGUACAAAAAAUUAGCUGGGCGUGGUGGCAUGCACCUGUAGUCCCAGCUACUCCCGAAGCUGAGGCAAGAGAAUCGCUUGAACCAGGGAGUCAGAAGUUGCAGUGAGCCAAGAUCACACCACUGCACUUCAACCUGGAAAACAAAGUGAGACUGUCUCAAAAAAAAAAAACAAAAACACAGAUCAAUUCUUUUUACCAACGUAAAAGGGGUUUCUAAACAAUCUGAAAACAUCCAGCUUUGAGUGGGGCCCCAUGCAAAGGCAGGCUCUGCAGGGGGUCUCAGCUGGGGUCCAGGCCUCUUUGUCCUCAGCCCUUGCUAGUGGUGUUUAGUGUGCAGGGCAGGGCACAAUGCUGUGUGGAGUUCACCUGAAACAAGCCUCCAGUCCCAAAUUCCCAGUGUAGUCUCUGGAGCUUCUGAAUAAGUAACUCUUCUUUGAGGAAAUGUGUGCCACCAUGGGCUGUGGGGAGACUGAAUGCCUGACCCUGAGUCACGAAGCAGCCGAUAGCCUGAGAUGUCCAUCAUGAAUCAGAUGCCGUCAUCGAUCAGAAUCCUGUGGGGUGUGGCCACCAGCCCUGUGCCGUCAGUAACCUUGCCUGUUGCCUCUUCUUUAUGAUCCACAUAGGUGUGACAAUACUGGAGCAGAGCAGAGACCAGCAUUGUCAGGAAGGAAUAUUUCAAUUGCAAGUAACAGAAAAUACUGACUUAAACAGAGAGGAUGUAUUGGCUCUCAUGAUUUAGAAAAAAAAAAUGCAAAGUUAAACUGCUCCAGGUGAGGCUCGCUCCAGCAACCCAGUGGUGUCACUGGAGACCCUGCUCCUCUCUCUCUUCUGUCUUCCAUGGCAUCAGCAUUAUCCUAACACUGCCCCCUCCGCCCCUCCGAUGGCUGUCAGCAGUCGUGGAGCUACUGGCACAUGCUCCCUCCUUCCAGUCCAGCAGCAGUGAGCACAACUCUGCCGGUAACUCUCGGAAAAGCAAAGGGGCUCCUUUCCCCGAGUGCCCCAGUACCAAUUUCCUGUGUCUCAUUGGCUUGAAUGGGUCAUGUGCCCAACUCGAAUCUAGUCCUGUGGCAGGGAAGCUUCCUUGAUUGGCUGCAAAUACCCAGGCCCCGCCCCCCGGGCUGAGGGCAGCCAAUCCUAUGCAGACAGCGUGACCAAGUAUGGAAGAGGAGCUUCAUUGCCAUAAAGUGGGGGCCAGGACGCAGGGCCCCCAGAACCGCAGGCUUCCCCUCAGCGCCCUUUCUCCCUGGCUCCAGGUUUGCCCCUCCCCAUGAAAUUACAGCAUCACAGUCCCAUAUCUCAGCUUGAAUCUUAUAAACUCUCAGAGUCCAACCACAUUCAUGGGAUGUCCCCUCUUGAGGGCCUCUGCUAGGGUUGAGGAGACGAAGCAGCCAGGGCUGCUCGGUGCAGGGCAGAGGGGAAACCCAAGUACCUCACCCCCAGCUCUGUUUCUCCUGGAUUCCCAGGGCAAAAACCCUACAAGGCCGUAAGGAUUGACUUACCCACACCCAGGUCUGGUGGGCACCAGGGUGGAUGUCUGUUCCUCCUCCUCAUAGGGCUGGGAAGGAGGUCCUCCAGUCCUGGAAAAACACAGCCCCUCCUUCAGAUUCCCCAGUUGAGGAGUUUUCACCCUAUUGUCUUUCGAAAAGUUAUACCACUUUUCUGACAAUUCCCCCACCCCCGCACCUUCUUUUGUAUUAUAAAAAAAUUUUCAUCCCCAAACCCACUAAUUAAAUAAAUGUAUCUCUUGGAACCCGCAGGGGAUUGGUUCCAAGACACCAGAGGAUUCCAAACUCCAAGGAUACCUAUGUUCCUGAUAAAAAAUGGCAUACAGCAGGGUGCGGUGGCUCAUGCCUGUAAUCCCAGCACUUUUGGAGGCCGAGUUGGUUGGAUCACAUGAGGUUAAGAGUUCGAGACCAGCCUGGCCAACAUGGUGAAACCAUAUCUCUAAUAAAAAUACAAAAAUUAGCUGGAUGUGGUGGUGGGCACCUAUAAUCCCCAGCUACUCAAGAGGCUGAGGCAUGAGAAUCACUUGAACCCAGGAGGCAAAGGUUGCAGUGAGCCAAGAUCAUGCCAUUGUACUCCAGCCUGGGUGACAGAGCAAGACUCGGUCUCAAAAAAAUAAAAAGUAAAAAUAAAAUGGCCUAGUUUUUGCACAUAACCUAUGCACAUCCUCCCAUAUACUUUAAAUCAUCUCUAGAUUACUUAUAAUACCUAAAGCAAUUGUUGUUAUACAUGUUAUGUAGGAAAUAAUGGCAGGGAAACAAAGGCUGCACAUGGUCAGUCCAGACACAAGCAUCCAAGCCUCACUGCACCUUCAGUGGGCAAUCAGCAAACCACAGAUGGAUGCAGGGCCUGCGGGUGAGGAACCUGCAGGUGCAUAUUUCAAUUGCAGGUAACAGAAAACACCACCUUAAACAGUAGAGAGGAUUUAUUGGCCCACAUCAUUUUUAAAAAUACAAAGUAAAACUGCUCCCGGUGAGGCCGCUUCACCUGGAGGCUGGCAUGACUUCCACACAGAGUCAUCAUUGCCACUUGUUUAGUGUGCUCUACAGUGUCGAGGCAGAGAUUAGCACAUGGAAGGCAUCGAAUUGUGUUCCAAGUUGGAUGGGCCAAACUGCUUUGCUUUAUCAGUCACCCAGUGGGAGAGGGAGCAGCGACUUUCAGGACUCCGAAAGCUGCUGCCUGCAUGGCCAUUUCCACCUGUGUGGUGGAAGUGCUCUCUGUUAAGCCUUGAUUUUGCCCUGCAGUGAUGCUUCUCUGUUCUAACUCUGUUUCUCAAUGCAAGAUAACCAUGACCCCCAACAGCUGCUGCCUGGAAGCAGAUCCUGAGACACCGAACCCUUCCCUCCUAUCCCGACAUCAGGCACCUCCCACUCCUUUCCGAGAAAGAGAAACCCUCAUCCCUUUACAUUUUAGUUACAAACCAUGGUGCUUAAUCUCAUAUUGCUAUUUAUUACUUACAUAAACUUGUUUUCCAUGUUCAAUUGCUAUUUUUCUAUCUGUGAGAAAUUAGAUGCUUUGACAUUAGUUAGAAACCACAGUAAUUUUUUCUCUAAAAUCAAUGAAAAUAUUUCUUCAUUUAAUGGCUUUUCAUUUAGAGUCAGGUUUUUAGAAAUCAGUAGAAGUCCUUGAAUGAGGGAUGGGUGUCCUCAUCCUGGACUUACUGAGCUUUACCUCUGCCUGCACCUGAGGCUUGUGACUGAGGGCUCUGAGUUUGCUGAGGCCCCUUGGGAAGGCAGGAGCUGUUCUCAGCAGGGCCCUUGAGGCCGACUUUCCCCUGACGUUGGGCCUCCAGGGUGGACAGGUAAGUGGGGCCCAACGAGGCUCUGUCCAACCUAUUCUACAGCGGGCAGGGUGGGACGAGCUGUCUGGACCCUCUACUCUCAGGGGGUUCCCAAGAUGGAAGCUGGAUUGGCAUCGCUCUCUGCAGGAGACAAGACUGGCGGCCUCUCCUGCUCAGAGGCGGCCACGUGCCAGGCUUUUCCCGUGUUCUCCACCCCCCUAUUUGGGCGUUCUGAGUAUUUUCUCCAGAUCACAGCACCUGCCUGCCUCGGGAUGAGAGAGUCCGUCCCAAACCAGCAUGCAUUUAGGAUGAGGCCCUGGCAGCUGGGCUGUGAGUGGACGGGGAGAGGGCAGGCCUGCAGGUUGGGAGAGACUGUGAGCGCGCUCACACUGAAUGACAGCAGCUCAAGGUGGCGGGAAGUGAAGAACGCAGGACUGCAAGGGGUGCCCCUGAGGGGGCUGGGCUGGGAGGAGGGGGCAGCGGGUUGCAGGGGUGGGGCAGAACGGUUUGGUUUUGGAUGUGGCAGUGGGCUCUGUGUGGGCUCUCCCAGCAGACACGUCCAGCCAGCAGCUGAGCGCAGCAUGUAGCUGCAGGGUCCAGAGGGAGAUAUGGGCAGAGACAGAGGAGGCCAGGAGCCAGGGGAACCAGCUAGGGGAAUGGAGCCGACCGCUCAGGGCUCGCUGGAGGGGCAGGCCUGUUCUCCAUGUUUCCACGCACUCCUCUGACUAGCUUAUUCCCUUGGGGUUUCAGUGUGUCUCCAUCUCAGAGUUCCUUUUAUUUAAAUCCAAUUAUCCACAGAUGGGUGACAUUUUAAGCUCUUGUGUUUAUCAAAUUUUAUAGAAACUAUACUCAAAUUAAAUAAAGAAAAAUAAAAAGGUGGGGGUGGAUGUAUUGACUCAAGUCAAUACAAAGUUGGGAUCUCCAGAUGAGACUGGGUCCCGGUGCUCAAGCCUUGUAAACAGGACCGUCCCAACUCCUCUGUGGGCUGGCUCCACAUACGGGGCAGGGAUGGCCCCUAGCAGCCCCACGUGCUCACUCUACUAGCUAGAAAACUCCCACAAAAAGAGGGCACCUCUUCAAAAUCCUGGCAUUGAUAAACUGUGAGGCUGAGGCCAGGAGUGAGGUCAGCCCCGCUCAAUCCACGUGGAUUCAGAAGAAUAGGGAGAUCCCCCCGUCAAAAGCAGGGAGCUGUGCCCUGAGGUGAGGCCUGGGAUGGAGGCCAUGCAUGGGGCCACUAAGAAAAAAGAGCCUGGCUUGCUGAGGGCUGCCGAGGGCAGAGCUGUGGUGCCAACCCUGGGAGACUUUAUUUGGACUUUUACAGGAGAGAGAAGUCCGCUUUCAUCUUGUUUAACUCAUUGAUAGUUUGCCCUCUGCUACUCCCAGUCCAGCCUAACCCUGUUGAACUCAAGCUCCAUGGGGGCACCAUAAGAAGGCCCUGGGGAAAAUGGGGCACUGGGGCUUUUCUGAGAAGAGGGUAUUGGAGUUCCAAAGCCUGAGGCCAGCCCUAGGGGACACAGCUUCCCCACCUCCCCACCUGCUCCUCACACCUACAUGCAGACCACACCAUCAGGAUCGUGUAACUGGAGGGGACCCAGAGAACAUCACUCAUUUUCUUGGCAAACAGGUACUGUGCACCUGCUCCACACAGGCCUUGGGGACAUGAAGCUAAUGAGACAUGGCCCCUCAGAUGUUCCAUGUAGAGGGGACAAUGAGAGGCAGGGAGAGCUGGAGUGUGCAAGGUGCAAAGGAAAGUCGGAGAGCUGGGUCCUGGAGGCCAAGCGGGAUUUGCCGGAAGAGAGAGAGUGUUCUAGAUGAGGGAAGGGCAACGAUGAGUGUGGGAGAGCAGCUCGUUCAGGGAACAGCAAGGAAUUCCCAUGGCUGGAGUGUGGGGGGCCUGGUGCAGGAAGACAGGGAGCAGGGCCAGGCCCCCAGGGUCUUGCAUCCCUACAGAGGAUGAGCAGCUUCCAGUGGAGGCCACUGGGGGUUCUCCAGGUGGGAGGCUACGAGGUCAGAUUUAGAAUCCCAGUUUGACAGACGAGGAAACUGGAGUCUAAAGGCAGGAAGCCUCAGGUCUGGCCCCUCAUUUAUUGGAGGUUCUCAGUACAUGUGAGCCGGGACGGGCAGGGCGCCCAGCCAGCUGGUCCACGAUGCUCUCCGAGCAGAUGUCUCCCAGGGAGAUGUCCCUCAGCCUCGCCUCUGUCCUACCCACGUGCCUGCCUCAGCCAGCACACAAGUGUGCAGUCAUGUUCCCACUUUGCUGGGGCCACAGGAGGUCACCAGAGGAGCUGGAGCUGAGGAGGGAGAUGGUGGCCUCCAGGAGGCAGGCAGUCUCAUUUGGGGGAAGUGUUGGUUCCCAACCUGCCUGGGCACCAGGUGACAUGGGCGAGCUGUGGAACCUGCUCUGUCAGCUCCUCUUCAGUGCUAGACCCUGGCCCAGGACUUUGGCCCUGGACAUGGGAAUAAACAAAGCUCAGUCCCUGCCCCCAGGAAGCUCACCACCAGGAGGACAAGGCAGGUCUGUUCCGAUGCAGAAGGAGCUCGGCGGCCAUAGCAGUUUCUUGAUACAAAUAUAUAGUCUCAUCGACAGGUGAACCCUCCUGUGGGUACCUGAAAGCCCUCAUCUUCUCAGAGUCCUUCAGCUUCUUACACUCCCUUCACCGCCUGGCCCUAACCUCUCAUCAAGUCCAAACCCAAUCUAAGGCUGAACAGGGAACAGCUCCAUCCUGUAUCCACUGCUGUCCCACCCACCGUCUUUACUGACCCCUCCACACAAAGAAAAACCAACUCAGGCCUUGCAGAAUGAAUGGGAGGCAUCUGGGCCAGUGGAAGCAGCACAGGAGCAGCUGGGGGUGGGGUGGCAAAGGCCCAGCAAGGCUGGCGCUCAGGUGUGUGUUACAGGAGGUGAUGGGAUCACUGGGGACAGUGGAGAGUGGGUGGAGAGGCAGAGCCCACUCGGCUGUGGCAGGGACUUCAGUGAAGACAGGCACUAGUGAUGGGAAGCCACUGGCUCUUGUUCAGGACCCGGGGGCCAGGCCCUCAUACCAGCACCCGGCGGGCCAGCACUUCCCACCACAGCCCCUGCACCUCAGGCUGCACCAGAAGCUCCAACCCUGCCUGUUGCAAGCUCUCCUGGCUGCCCUGACUCCAAGCCCAGCAAUAGCUCCUCUGGUAACUGCCAGAGUGUGGGUGUGUCAGAGCCUCGUGGGGUUGGCGCUUCACCUACAGACAGAGCCAGGGAGCUUCGGGCGCCUUAGCAGAUGGAAUGGGCACUGUGCAGUGUGUUAGGGCUCUUCUCAGGGGUGUAGGUUGCAUAAACAACAGAUCCUCCUCUCAUUCCGCUCCCUGCAUCCUGAAGAGAGUCCUUGCCCCUCUGACCCCACAGCACACUGUAGGCUGCUCUCUCAUUAUCCUCUAGGGUCUGGGUCUCCUGAUGAACUGCAGCUUCCUCGAGGAUCAUUGUCAUAUCCCCAGGGAGCACAGCACCAGGCAUAUAGUGGGUGCUCAAGAAAUGCCUGUUGAGUGAGUGAGUGUGCUCAGGACAGCACAGGAGGUGAGUCUGUGGGUCCAUUUACGUGUGUGUGCGCGCGCGCGCGCAUGCCUGCAAUGCCUGUCAUAGCCUGGCCUUCAUCUUACCUCACCCAGAGAAGUUCCUGGCUGGGCCAGGAGGAGGGGCUGGGUUUUCUUUCCUGCUCAUUUGCAUGACAGGUGUUGGCAGUUUAUCUAACUGUGAUAAUGAAGAGGAUGGGGGGUGCUAAUUCCUUCUCACUUUAUUGAAUCCACCAAUCCUUCACAGCCUCAGGGCCCUGAGAGGGGGUGAUUAAAAGACACUUCAGCACGCUGCUUAUUGCCAAUUAACAGACUCCAAUAUAAACAAUUAAUAAAGCCACAGUGGGAGGUGAGAGGGAGGGAUUCAUCUCCCUGCCUGGGUUAGCUCAGGCAGUUCCUGGGCCCCUGAGCCCAGCCACACACAGAUGGCCCUGCCCAGGGCGGGUGGUUGGGGCUGAUAGAAGCUUGAGAGUGGGUAGGAAGAUGCCAGGGAGGAGAGUGCUGGUGAGGGCCGCUUGGUCUCAGACUGGGGGAGCAGGGCUGCAAGCCCACCCCUGCUGAUGCCAGUGAGGACACACACAGGGCAGGGCAGGAACUUGCUCAAGGCCCCAGGGCCCACUAAAGCCAGUGCUCCUUGGACCACAUGUUCCAUGCUCCUUGGACCACAUGUUCCAUGCUCCUUGGGCCAGGCUGUGGCCCACCCUGAUGGGUCUCCUCACCCACCCAAGGUAAGGGGCUGUCUCCGGUCACUGGCCUCUUAGGAUGAGCCAGGUGACUCUGUUUCCCUUGCCAGGCUGCCCUCCCCACCUGCCAUGGUCCCUGUAACUUGACUUCUCGUACAGGAAAGGUGCCCACCUGCCUGGGGGCAGCGUUGCCUGUUAAGGACAAGUCUCAGGGGUUGCAGUGUGAGCUUCCAAAAGGCACCGCUCUACGCCACUGGUGCCACACAUGGCAAAAGCCAAUCUCGUGAAAUCCUUAAACCCUCAGCAGGAGGCAGGAUGAGAGGCUGGAAAACACUCACGCCUCCAAGGCUUAGGGAAGUCACUUCCACAACCCAAGUCACUCUCUCAGGAGCAGGCAGUGCAGGUGCCACGGGCCGCACGUGAUCUGGGCCAGGAGCCCUCCAGCUUGUGCUGCAAAGGGCCGGAUGGCACGUGCCUGAGCUCUGCCAACUGCACCACCUGCAUCACAGCCACCUAAUCCGCCCAUGUGGUGUGAACGCAGCCAGAGACGAUACGUAACGAAUGUGCGGCUGUGUCCCAAGGAAACUUUAUUUAUGGAUGCUGAAAUUUGAAAUUCAUAGAAUUUCACGUCACUAAAUAUUAUUCUUAUUUUGAUUCAUUUUUCACCCAUUUAAAGAUGUAAACCCAUUCUUAGCUCUCAGACCAUACAAAAAUAGGUGGUGGCCCCGAUUUGACCCAUGGGCCAGAGUUUGCCAAUCUCUGAUCUAGGCCUUAGCACUCUGGGAUGUCUUGGGCAUUCUAAAGGGAACUUCCCUGGCUAUGACUCCUCAAGGGAGGGGGGACUGGGAGCUGAAAGUCCCUCCAUCCAGCUCAAAAAAGGGAGGUGCCAGACCCUGUUCCACCAGAGAACCAAGUGGCCACAAAGCAUGGCCCAUAAGGGACAGAGAGCCAGGCUGAGGGGCAGGUGUGGACAAGCGGAGAGACAGACGAGGGGGGACCACUGGCUGCCCCAUGACCCACUUGUGUUGAAGGCAGGACAAGGAUGACCACCCAAAAUGGUGCUGAGCCUCAGCACCUGGACCUGGGACAGUUCCCUGCUCUUAUAUGGGACCAUGGAUAUGUCUGAUAUUCUGGAACUUCAAAGGAAAUAAAAGAGAAGGGACUCAGAGGGACCUCAGAAAUUGUCUUUCUCUCCUCACCCCUAUUCACCUCAUUCAUUCAAUCAACAAACAUUUUUUGAGAAUCUACUAAAGGCACCUUAUGUUUCAGUUUAAGACAAGCCUCCUGGUCUUGAGCUGUCUUUGGAAAUGUUCCUGGAGGAGAAGUGCUGUGGGUGUUUGGGGUUGCCAAGGACAUUCUCGAGUCACCUGGGAAGUGAGAGUAACUAGAGAACAUCCCAUGUCCACAGAGCAGAUAAGAAAUCUCUCAAGGGAAUUCCUGAGUUUUGACAGAGAAAGUCAUUUAGCAAAGCCAAUACUGUGUCAGAGGCAGCAGAAAGGUUUCCUGGAAGCCUUGGUGUAAAAGACCAUAAUGAUGGAUGUGAAGGAGUGCAGCGGCCUUGACAAGUCAAGCGGUUAGCUUGCAGUCUGCUACCUGUUGGGUGCUCCACAUUCCUCCUCCUGCCUGAGCUUCCACAGGGCGCCUCUUAGGCUGGGGACAGGUAGUGGAACCAGAGCUCAUUGUCACAGUAGGGACCAGCUGCCCAGAGCCAGCUGCUUGUCCAGGGUUGGGGCAGGGCACAUGCCUCUCCUUUUCUCACCCUGCACCUUGAACCCAUCAGAAACCCUUCUGGCUCUAGCUGUAAAAUGUGUCUCACUGUGGUUUUGAUUUACGUUUUCCCCACGAUUAGUGAUGCUGAGCAUUAUUUCAUAUACCUGUUGGUCAUUUGGAUGUUUCCUUUUAAGAACUAUCUAUUCAGGUCUUUUGCCCAUCAAAACCACAGUGAGGUAUCUAUCGCCUUACUCCUGUCAGAAUGGCUAUGAUCAAAAAGACAAGAGAUAACAAGUGUUGGCAAGGAUGUGGAGAAAAGGAAACCCUAGCACGCUGUUGGUGGAAAUGUAAAUCAGCGCAGCCAUUAUGGAAAGCAGUAUGGAGGUUCCUCAAAAUAUUAAAAAUAGAACUACCAUAUGAUGCAGCAAUCUCACUACUGGGAACACAUCCAGAGGAAAUAAAAUCAGUCUGCUGAAAAGAUAUCUGCACUUGAGUACUUUUUGCAGUACUAUUCACAAUAGCCAAGACAUGGAAUCAACCUAAUGCCCUUUGACAGAUGAAUGGAUACCAAAAAUUGGUACAUAUACCCUGUGGAGUACUAUUCAGCCAUAAAAAAUAAGGCAAUCUUGUCGUUGGAACAACAUGGAUGAACCUGGACAACACUAUGUUAAGUGGCAUAAACAGGCACAGAAAGACACGUGAUUCUCACUCAUGAGUAGAAGCUAAAAAGUCAUUCUCAUAGAAUUAGAGAGUGGAGACUGGUUAUCAGAGGCUGGGGUGACUUCGGAGAGAGAGGAUGGGAGAGGUUGGUCAAAGGAUCUAUAAUUACAGUUAGAUAAGAGGGGAGAAGACCUGACUCAGUGGCUCAUGCCUGUAAUCCUAGCACUUGGAGAGGCUGAGGCGGGUAGAUCAUGAGGUCAAGAGAUCGAGACCAUCCUGGCCAAUAUGUCGAAACCCCGUCUCUACUGAAAAUAUAAAAAUUAGCUGGGUGUGGUGGUGCUCACCUGUAGUCCCAGCUACUCGGGAGGCUGAGGCAGGAGAAUCGCUUGAACCUGGGAGGCAGUGGUUGCAGUGAGCCAAGAUCACACCACUGAACUCCAGCAUGGCAACAGAGCGAGACUCCAUCUAAAAAAAUGGGGGGAUGGUGUGGAGCGGUCCAGAAUAGACAAACGUACAAAGACAGAAAGUAUUCAGUGAUCAGUGAUUGCCUGGGGCCGGGGGUGUGAGGGAGGGGAAAGGGUUCAGGGCCAGAGUGAGAGUAGAAAUUGGUAAUGACUGCUGACGGUGAUGGGGUUUCUUGAAAGAUGAAAAUGCGCUAAAGUUGAAUGUGGUGAUGCUUGCACUCUGCAAACAUACUAAAAACCAUUGGAUUAUACACUUAUAAGUGGUGAAUUGUAGGCUAUGUGAAUUAUAUCUCAAUAAAGCCAUUUUUUAAAAAUGCCCAAACCUGACCACUUUGCCAUGCUGCUGCCAUCCUGGCUGGGGCCUGAAGGACACCAAUCACCCCUCACUGGUCCCCUACCUCUAACUCUGCCCCACAGACUGUCCUCUAGAUAGGGACCCUCCAAAGCCAUCAAUCACACCACAUCCUGCUCUGGUCUCCACUGUCCCAAGCCUGUCAUUCCUAGCAUGAAUCCACAAUUUUAGCGUGGCCAGACACUCUGUAAACUCCCAGCCACCAUGCUCUCCCCUUUCACACAUGCCUGCCACGCUGGCCUCCUCACCUCCCUCCACUGGUUCCUCCUCCCUCUCUUCCUGCUCAGAGACUGGCCCCUUCCCUGCCCUCCUCUUUCUCUGUCUUCCCCACAUCUACAUCCCCGGGAGUAGUGGUAGUGGCUGGGGUCUGUGGAUCCCAUACAGAUCCCUGGGUAGAAUUCGGGGAGCCUGGGAAUGUGGACGGGGAAGAAUCACAUCUCUAUUUUCACUCCUCUUUAUUUGAAUGUCGCACCUGUUUCCAUUGUGUGCGUUAGCAGCAAACCACAGAGGUGGUCCCAGAGUCUGGGACUUCGUCACCCAUAGGAAGUGCAGAUGGUUUCAGUGACAUUAUAAUUGCAGCAGAACACCUGAAGUCUCACUCGUGCUCAAGCUUACUUUGAGAGGAUGUGGUUUGAGACAGCCCCACUGCUCAAUCUCAAUCUCAGUGUGUUAAUAAAGAGGCACAUAUAUUGCUCCAGUGCAAUUUUUUCCUAAUAUUUUGAUAGCUUCAUUUUAACAUAAUUGUUUUCCUUUGAAUCUUAGCUAUUUUAUUUUGUGGACUUAAAAAUAUUACUCUGAGAAGGGGUCCAUAGGCUUCCACAGACUCCGGAGGGGAAGAGCCCAUGGCACAGCAGCAGGAAGGGCUCCCUGUUCUACAAUGUAUACUCUGUGCAGAGAGGGCCAGACACAAAUGGGGAGCUCAAUCACAGGCAGUGGGAGGAAGGGCAGGGGAAGGAGCGGGAGGGAGCCGCUCAGAACUCACUCGGCUCAGCAGUGAGGGCAGAGCCUGUGUCCAGCUGGCCUGGGAUUGAAGCUGGCUCCAUCACAUGCUCAAUGUGGAGCUUUGGGUACCUCCUGUAACCUCCCAGAGCCUCAGUUUCCUCAUCUGCAAGAGGGAACACAAUCGCACCUGCUUCAUAUGGUUAUUAUGAAGGUAAGACGGUAUGCUUGGUUCAUGGCCUGGGACACAGUGAGAGAGCAAUAAACACUGCCGAUUUAGUCAAAGUGCUGGGCUUUUGUCCAUGGCUCUGGCCCCUCAGCCAGGAAGGCAAAGGCGACCCCACAUAGCUCUCCCUCUAUACAUGUCUGGGAAGGCUGAGGCAACAGGGCCCCCACUCACUCUCAGCAGGCUGGCCAGGGCUGGACCACAGGAAGGGGAUGCAAAUGGGGAGGGAAGCACUGUCCGUCCAGGCUGGGCUAGGGGACACACCUGCAUGGACAUUCUUUUCUAGGGGGCAGAGGACAUGGGAGGAGAUGUUUCCAAGCCCUUACCUUAUGAGUCCAGAAGCAUUUGUGGGGAUGGCAAUGCCAGGAAGUCAUCUGGGGAUAAAUCGUUAGGGAGAGACCUGAGGGCCUGGGGCAAACCCGGCUCCACUGGCCAAGUUCUGGCCUGCUGCCCUGCAGGCUGAGUUUCCCUGUUUCUUCCCGGAGACCACAUCCCAGGGGCCAGCUUCCUUGCCCUUCCUGCUUGGGGAGUCCUAGGUUAGCCUCUCCAUUCCCCUAGGUGCCUCUUGCCCCAGACCCUACUUUCCAACCUUUUGCCCAACACAGCCCACUCAGAAAACAGAGGACAGCCUCACCAGUGCCCCAGGGCAGAAGACAGCCUCUUGGCAGCCUCCUUGUCCCUGCACAGGUGGCAUGCUCCUGCCUCUGGGCCCUGGCCGGGAAUGCCCUACAUCCAAACGCCCCAGGGCUUGUCACCACCAUGUCCUCUCAUGUGGGCACAACUUCCAGCCUUCUCCAUGUCCUGCCAGGGGACUGAGGUGGUGGAAUGACUUUGAAGUCUGUUUCCUCAUCUGUAAAUAGGACAGUAGCUUGGCUUCCUGGGUUUGGCUGUGAGGGCAGGGGUGCUGUCCGCACAGGUACACUGAGACCGGGGAGCUGGGAUUCCUGCCUGCUGGAAAGAAAUGCCUGUUGUUCUGGGGUGGGGUCUCCAGCCGGCCGGGGCCUACCCUCCUGCCUUGCAGUUUCCCAGUGCCCUGCAGCUCAUCGGCCUCUUCCACUGCCCUUUGAGGGAGGUGAGGUGGAUGUUAUCCCACCCAUUUUAGAGAUGGAGAAUCCACGCUCCGAGAGGUGAGGUGACACGGCACCCAGGUCUUCUCACUGUGUGCCAGGCUGUGGUAACUUCCUGCUGGACUGAGCCAGAUGACAGAGUCUGCUUAAACUGACUUGUGGUGGUCCUGAUGUUCUAUAGGUGCCAUAUUAUUAUGCCCAGUAUAAUCAGGCUGUGUGAAUUCUGGGUAGGGCUCUUCUGGGACACCAGCCUUCAUUUAUUGAGCUUCUACCAAGUGCCAAACACGUGACUCUGUGAUUGAUUAAUCCCCACAAGUCAAGGAGCAGGCACGGUUGUCUCAUGUAGAGGUGGAGAAGCUGAGGUGUAAGGACCAGCACCAGAAGUGCAGGAUGUGGGUCUGUGCUGCACAGCACCACCCCGGAGAAGGGGAGCAGGGAUGAAGAGGAGGCAUAGACUCCAUCUUGGGUGGGGGUGGGAAGAGUAAAGAGAGUGCUAUCUUGAAGAAACUACAAGUGUGGAGAGUCUGCAGACGUUGGAGGGAGAUGAAGGCGGUGCUGAUUCAGAAGACAGAGCUUUAGCCAGGAAAGCAAGCUGGCAGCCAAUUGGGAACCGCCAGUAAGCCAGAGCACUGGGUAAAAAAAUGUUGGUAGAGGAAGAAGGAAGCUGGCAGCCCUGAGUUCAGGUGGCUUCAGUAUGCAGACCUGCAGCCCCAGAGCCCAGCCAGAGUGAGGAGGGGGCUCCUAGGGACACAGGGUUCAUGCUGGACCAGUGGCCUUCCCCAGCCCCCUGACUUAUAGGGGCCCCCACUGGAGUCCAGAGAAAGAACUCAGCAAAAAUUGGAUGCAGUGGGUCCAAGGAAGUCACCACCCAGGCCUAAGACCCUUGAGGCUGUUGAUCAGGGGCUGGGUAGCUGAGGGAGCACCAGGCACGUGGGACAUCUUGUUGCCUUUGGUGGCUGUGUGUUUGUAUGUGCUUAUGCAUGCGUGUGCACGUGUGCACUGUGUAUGCAUGUGCAUGUGAUGUGUGUGAAUGUUCAUUCGUGUGUGUGUGUGUGUGUGUGUGUGUGUGUGUGUGUGCCUGCGCAAAAGAGCUUUGCAGGGAGAGAUCAAGUCCUGGGAGUAGGAGGGUGGAUUCCCUCCCCUCCCAUCACCCCCCACUGAGGCUGGCUGGAUGAGGAGGAGUUCAGGGAACGGAAGGCCUGGGGAUUCUUCUUCUCCCAAAGGUGCCACCACCAGCAGGGGAGGAAGGGAGGGAGGAAGCAGCACCUUAUUUAAAUGCAAAUGACUGAAAUACAACUUUCUUUAUUAAAAUGCAAAUUGCACUUCAGUCUCUGACACCUACUGAGUGCCAAAGCCACAGAACACAACCAGGACUCAAAGCUGAAGGACCCCAAGCCCGUAAUAGUGAGAGGCCCCAUCUGCUUGGGUGUAGGAAGACAUGGGGGAUGGAGGGUGGGCCCCAGGCAGGCUUGGGAUGCUGAGCCAGGUGCUUAUCCUCCCUCCAGGGCUGCUGGGAGACAUCAGCAGCGGCCACCGAGGCAGGCGAUUUGGCCCGUAGGUCUGGACUGUCACCCAGUGGGGGACCAGGCUAGAGCUUCACAGGUGUCUCUCUGCCUGGCUGGGUCAGCACGCUGUGCACUUUCUUAGUGAGCCUGGGGUCUGAUUGCCAGCAUCAUUAAACCAGCUGUCUCUUGGUGAGUCAGAACCUGGCAGAGCACUGGGGUCGACCUACAGUGGCCCCCAGCCCGGAGAUCAGGCCCCGAGGCAGGCUUGUCUUCCUCAGCCACUCGUCCUGCUGGGGCCUCAGGAGCAGGGCUGCAGGGCUGCAAGGCUACCAGGCACAGCAGUGCAGGUCAUGACAAGAAGCAGGGGCGACAGGCAGACCCAUGCCCUGCUCCCCAGGCUCCAUGACUGGGCAUGAGGCCAAGUCCUCCGGGAAAAAGGGCGCCUUUCCUCACACAGAGGCACCACUGACUUAUUCGUGCUUCUAAUUCAUCAGCCUGCAGAGGGCGCCUUUUCCUAAUUUGCACACACAUUGCUGGGGACCCCCCAGACCCCCGGUUCUUCCUUCUGCCCCACUCCUCUCUCUCAGACCUGCCUCCCCUCCUUGCUUAUUGGUCUCCUGGGGUUUCCACGCUGUUUCCUCCGCUCCUUCCUUCCUCCCUGUCUUCCAGCCCUCAUCCCACCCUCUCUGCCCCCUUCCUCUGUGGAUCCCUCUGGCUUGUCCCCUAGAGUCAGCCAGCUCUGGGUCCUUACCUACUGGGUCGGAGGCAGGUACAGGCAGCCCAGAAAGGGUGGGCCAGGCCCCUGCUAGCUCAGGGUGGCACUGGCAUGUGCAGGGAGCCUGGGGCGUGGGGGAAGGUCCUGGCUCCUUCCAUCUGCCAAGCUCCUAAUAUAGGCAGCAGCAGCAGAGAGAGAGCGGGGAGGCAGGAGGCAACUUGGAGCUGGAGGUGACAGGCCUGCUUCCUCCAUAUAAAUAGUUCCGUCUGUCGCCCUGGGGGUGGUGGCUUCCUGGGGCACUUCUGAUGUCAUCCACUUCCCAGGAGAGCGUUGCUGGUACCUGUGGGGGCCUGGGAUGCAGGCUGACGUUUUGGGGUGAGGGGGUACCCUGACAUGCCUAAGGGCUCAAUACCCCCAGGCAGUUCUAGCCUCUCCCAUUUGUCUUCUUGCCGUGGGACACGCAGAGGCCCACCCCCCCAGGCUAUGCAGACCUGGGCUUGAGCCCCCCACGAGGCACCUAGGAAAAGACCCUUCCUGGACGUCAUCCAUAGGCAGCACAGGGGCUGUCUGAGCUAUGCGGAGCCAUCCCAAGGGGAGUUGGGAGCCUCAUUCCAUUCCCCACUCUGUGAGAUGGGCCGUGAUAGGAGCAAGAGAGGGUUCUGGAGAGACACAAUGGCUCCUGGCUCUGGCCACCUGGACACUCCUCAGCCUGGCCGAUGCCCAGACCUAGCUCAUCCCCUGCAGGAGGAGGGCACAGAGCUCUCCCUCACACCCCACCUCAGGUUCCUGGCAUCCGUCUGGUAUUCCUCAGGAUGGGUGUGCACUUGUUCCCCCUCAGCAACCUUGUCAGGAAGGUGGAGAACACAGAGCUGCUCCCAGCUGGCACUGAGCGCAGGGAAGCUCCCUGAGGACCAGGUGGCCCAGCAGACAGGACAUCCUCAAGGGCUCUGCCUCCCUCCUCAGCCUGGAGCCCCUGCAGCCGCCUCCAUUUCCAUCCCUCUUCCCUCCCUGCAUGGAGGGGACUUGGCCAGCUGGUGAUGCCCCUGUGGGGAUCUGUGAGGGAAGCUGCUGGGGGUUUGACCAGCUCCUGAUGAAUACCAGGCAGGGCGAGGUUAGACCAGGUUGCCCGGCUGCACAGCAGACUCGGGAGUGCCUUGCAACGGGAGAAAGGCACGGGGCAGCGACCUGAGACCAGAGCCUCCAUCCCCAAGCUGCUGGGCUGAGUUAAGCUAGGAGGGCCCACGUGGUGCCCCUCACCCCGGAGGUGGUUCUGGUGUCUGCAGAGGAAGGAACUAGAGGGCUGCAGGGCAGGCGGGAGACAGAGGCUGCUCCCUGUAGACCCUUUAGAGCCAGGUGGGUUUUCAAUAGCGUGGCCCUUGCAGAACAAUGGCUAAGAGCACAGCCCUGGUCCACAGCCUCUGUGCUUGCAAGCUCUGCGACGGUGGGAGAGAACCAACCUCCCUCCCCUCAGACGGAACUCAUAACAACCACAGGACAUCAGAUAAUGGCCCCGGGCACCUGGCAAGGUCCGGCCUGAUGACUCAGGCCCCACCUCCACUUCCAGUUUCCCUGCCGGAAGAGCCCCUCGUCCGUGAGCCAAGAACGGGAAGGUGCUUUGUGGUGGAGCAGACCCCAUCAGUGCUGCCCGUGUCUCCUCCACCGUUCUUCCACUCUGUGCCCUGCUGCUCGCCUUCCAGGCGCUCCGACUCACAGAGUGCCAUGUCGGGAGUCUGCACUGCCCCCCCACGCGGCAGCCUCAGCAGCUGGGAGCUGGGAAGCCCUGGGUGCGGUAAGCGUGGGGCAGGUUCUGGCCGCCUCCCAGCGUUCCCAGCCGCAUCGUGCUCCACUUGCCCUGGCAGCUGCCUUCCCUCUUGUCUCCUUCCCCACAUCCACCAAUUAAACUGGAAUCCAGUUGGAUUUGAAUCCUUGUCUCAAGGCCUGCCUCUGGGGAGGCCCAACUUAAGAGUGGAACACAGUUGUGGGCUAGUUCCUGGCAGGACCUAAUGACUAAGAGGCUGGAGGGGAGGGGGCAGUGGCAAGGUCUGACUUCAGCCACUCUGAUGGCUCCAGGGCCGGGGCUUUCGGCAGACACUUUGUUGGCAGGCUCUGCAGAUUCCACUGCCAUUGCUGCUGUGACAGGAGCCAUCUCCUCUCUUGUUCCUGGUCUACGUGUCUUAUCGGCCCUUCUAAAAGGGCUGGCAGCUGGUGGGUGGUAGCAAAGUCGUGCCCCCUCCUGAGGGAAGUGGGAUCAGAAAACUGUGGAAGAUGAUUAACGUGCCUUGGGUGUUUACUGUGUUAUGUUUUGUUUCCUCUCAUUACAACCCUCUAGACAGGGCUGCCAUGUACAGUCAGUCAGGUUGUUCACUGCACAAGGGCACCUGGCCCAGAGGACAGCCUGUGUUCUUUCCACAUAUUGGGAGCCAUCCACUGUCCUGCUUGUGAGCCGUCUCAUUAUCUCCAUUUUAAUGUAGAAACCGAGGCAGAUUACUUAAACAGAGAGUUUAAGUAAUUUGCUCAAGAUUUCUCAGCACGUAGGAGGUUGUGCUGAGCUCUUCAUCUAAGAAUUCUGACUGCAGAGCCUGCAUUCCUAACUACGCAGCCUCAGACUGCCUUGACAGGGCGGGGCCAUCGUGAGAGCUAGAAACCCUGGGAAGGCUCUGACUCCUGGGCACCAGUCAGGCCUGGGACACAGGGACUCCAGAGAACCAGGGGGAGAGGAUCACCUCCCGUGGCUGACCUGAGGUCUGGGGGCCCAAGCCUGAGCUGCCUGCCUGGGUGUCCAUGGAACCCGGGGUGGGCACACAGAAUAACAUCAGUGGCUUAGAGGGCUUUACCCGGUGCCAGACGCUGGGGUUUCCAUUUGUUUACUCACUGGACCUUCCUAAGAACCUGAGGGUGUAUAGCAGAGGCCGCUCUCGGCCAUAGAUGUCCUCUCCCACCCUCUCCCUGGGCACACCACUCGGCCACAUCUCCUGGCCUCCCUUGCAGCUAGAUGUACCAGUGUCACCCCUUGUCACAGCAGGAGCAGGGAGGCUGUCUCUGUGAUCCUGAGCAAGUCACGGGCCUCACUCACGGAGCCUCCACUUCCCCACCUGUAAGAUGGAGUCAACACCCCCACCCUGCCUGCCUCCCUGGCCAGGAUGAAGCCAGCGGUAUGAAGGUUUUUAAAUCGCACCUGGAAUGCCUAAGCCAAAGCUUAACACAUACUUGUCAUCUGCUUAAUACAGCCCCUAACUCCAGUCUGGGUCUGUCUGCAGAGAUUCCUUGCCUUUCACCGCCCAGGCAGUCCUUGUGCGAGCAGCCUGCCUUCCUUCUCAGACACCGAAUAGCGGAGCCCAAAUGCCAGGAACCCCCGAUGAUGACUCAGCCUCCAUAACAAGUCCAAACAUCUGGCUGCCAAAGGGCACAGCUCGCUCCCGAAGCAGCUCCUUCUGCACAAAUAUGUUCUUAAUAUUCAAUUAGUAUUUAUCCACCACGAACAACAAUUACACCAUUGACUCUCAAUGAAGUGCCUGGUUAAUUAAUUAACACAGUCUUUUACAUGCUGGCAGUAUUUCCUGGUGAGCACGAUACUUAAAAUAAUAGCACAAUGACGCCAGGGCGAGCUGGGGGACUAGCGGGGCUGCCCUGGGUUUCCCAGGCUCCAGAUGUGAUUCUGGAGCUGACGUUUACCACACAAAGCAUCUUCUGGAGUUAAAAGGAAAAAACACACCAGGAUUUUUGGCAGGCCACUUAACACCUCCCAGCCAGAUGCCCACCCAGGGUCCCUGAGUCCUAUGGGCAUGGGUUCUCUAAGUGACGUUCACACCUGUACAGACCCCGACUCAGGCGGCCACACCCAGGGACCCUCUAGGCUCCACAGGGCCCAGCCUCUUGGAACAGCUGACUCCAGACACCUCUCUCCCCUCCCUUGGCCUCCCUGGCCCUCACCGACUACAGCACCUCCUCCUCAGACCUCAUUUCUCCUUCCUGCUCCUUCCUGUGGGUGUUUUCCGAGCACAGGUUUGACUUCAGCUUCAAUUUCUGAACUCGCUCUUCUCCGAGUCCCCUCCCUACCUCAUACACAACCCAUAGGUCCUGACUGCCCACCUCUUUGCUUCUGCCUCUAUCAGAGCCUGCAGAGGGUACAGAUCGCCACAGCCACACUGCCUGGGUCACCUGGCAUAGCCACUUACUGGCUGUGUGACCGUGGGCAAGUUACUCAACCCCCACCACUCCUUGCUUUGGGGGACAAUCCUGUGGGAAAUGAUCGCAGCCUCCACCUGCACCAGCCAGGGUGGGCUGAGCUGCAUCUCAGGCCCAUGGCACAUGGACUGCAUUGGCUCGAGCCCAGCUGCAGUGUCUUUCCCACUACCGUUUUGGCACAGGGCAGCCUACACCAGCAGGCAGCUCCCCACCCAGCAGUGACAGAAGGGCCCAGGCUCUUUCUGUCUUGUUGCUCCACCUUCCCCAGGGACCCUCCCAUUGUUGUCCCUGUGGUCCCCGUGGUCCCCAUGGCUAGGGCCCUGCUGGAGCCACAUCGGACGCUUUUCUGAAGGCCUGGCCAGCUGUGCUCACAUCCCUGCCACUCAGCUUCCUUUGGUGACAAGGGUGUUACACAGGUACACCUAGCUGCAAGGGAAGCCAGGAGACAUGGCCCAGUGGUGUGCCCAGGUAGAGGGUGGGAGAGGACAUCGGUGACCGAGAGCAGCCUCUGCCACACACCCUCAGGUCCUUAGGAAGAUCCAAAGAGUCAAUAACUAUAAGCCCUCUCAGCCAUUGCUGUUAUUCUGUGUGCCCACAGCAGGUUUCAUGGACGCUAGGAUCAAUGAGACACAUUCCUUCAUCUAAGGACCCCACUGAGGAAGAUGGCAGAGGAGAGAGACAUAUAACCCACUUACCAGGAUUCAGGAGGCGAACACCCGAGGUUUGGUGAAUUGGGAAAGAGUGGCAGGGAGAGCGGAGCAACGGCUGCACGAGAAUGAAGCGGAGGACAGGAAAGAAAAUGGCAGAAGACUGACACAGGUGGGACCCCAGAGAGCAGGAGGAGCUGAGGACAGAGAGGAUGAGGGAAAGGAGUCAGAGGCAAGAGCCAGAAACGAGACACAGAAAGCAGCCGGGGACACCAGAGAGGGGAAAGAAAACCAUUGAGAUCAUCUAGCCUCAAUCUUCAGGGAGCCAAUGGAGAAUGAGAUGGAAGGAUCCUGGGUCCCCACUCCCACCCACCCACCGUGUUCUAUUACAGCAGAAACAAACAUCUGUCUGAUUUGAGCUGCUCUGUUCCGGGACCUUUUUGUCAUAGCAGCAUAACUAGAAGCCCACUAACACAGGAUCGUGGUGUCCAGCUAUCAGUCUAUCACAUGUGGAAGAAGCAAACUGGCUGGGGAUGGGAUGGAGUCUCACUCUGUCGCCAGGAUGGAGUGCAGUGGCACAAUCUCGGCUCACCGCAACCUCCGCCUUUCGGGUUCAAGUGAUUCUCCUGCCUCAGCCUCUCGAGUAGCUGGGAUUACAGGUGUGUGCCACCAUGCCCAGCUAAUUUUUGUAUUUUUAGUGGAGACAGGGUUUCACCAUGUUGGCCAGGAUGGUCUCGAUUUCUUGACCUCGUGAUCCGCCCACCUCAGCCUCCCAAAGUGCUGGGAUUACAGGUGUGAACCACCAAGCCCGGCCAGAAACACUGUAAAUACGGCAACACGCUGGGCGGAAGGACAGGGCUGGAAUCACUCCAGCAGUGGGGACAGGAUGGGGACAGCAACACUCCCGGAGCAACCUCAGUGUGAGAGGAAGGCUGAGGGGUGUGGGCUGAGACCCCAAGCCCACCCAGUGCUGAUGACAGGCCCUGGUUGCCAGCUUUCAGUUGCCGGAGGCUCAGAUAACAAUUAGCCAGGCAGCGCUAGGCGCCAGCUGACAGCCCCCAUUUGUCGCCCCUUGUCUCCGCACCCACACCCAAUCUGCCUACAAUCAGGCCCCUGAAUUAUUUAUUCUGUUGUUUGUGUAAAGAUAUGUAGCCCACCAGUGACAGAGUGAAAAAUGUCCCUGCUCCACAGGAGUGACACUUCCCCACUCCUCCGGCUCACACCUCCUCGGUCCGGCUAUCCCCAGAAUUAAUCACCUGGCUCCUGCCUGGUGCCUUCAUGGCCCCUGUUGUCACUGAGCUGAGAGACAGUGGGGCACAAGGUGCUGGCCACUGGCCUUCACACAGAAGAUGGGGAGGGGGCUCCCCCUUUCUCUACCAUGGAAGCCCCUAAGACUUUCUGUGGGGAGGAUGCCAAGGCCUGCAGGGGGUCUGGCUGACUACAGACCCCUCAGUCCCUCCCAACCCCAGAGCAGCUGGAAGUGAGGCCUGUGGGGGCCGCCCACAGCGUGGAGGCCCCCAAGCUCCUCCUGGGCAGGAAGCAGGGGUCUGGGGAUACAGGGUCUCCCUCCUCAGGCCUCCAUACUCCUCCUUCUCUGGUAGGAGUGGGUAGUUGUCCUGUGUUCCCAGGUGACUGGCUGGAGCAAGAGCAGAAGGCAGGGCCAGUGCUGAGCCGUCAGAGCUCUCUGUGAGGGCCCCACCCUUUAUGGGGCCCCCUGGCCUGUCACAGCACCCACAGUGUCAGCCUUUGGGGUCAGAUGUCACCUCUGGGAGGAGCUCUCAGGCACACUGGGGGAAAUCCCAUGUGACAGACCUGCUUCUGCACAUGGCAGAGAGGGUGCCUUGAGGGAAUGCGACCUGAGAGCCGAGAAGGGAAGUCUCCAUGGGAAGGAGGAAAACUGGGGUGGGGGUGGGGUCCCCACUCAGGCAGAAAGGCCUGAUCAGGGCAUCAUCUGGGGUUUCUGGACAUCCAGGAAUACAUGAAAGGCCAAGUGUGGGAGUCCCAUGGGCCCCUCUGCCCCUUCCCAGCUGUGUAUGGGGACCAGCAUGGCACCCAAAGGGAGCCCCAGGGUCAUAGGUGGGGCUGGGGGGAGGAGGAGGUCUGGAAAGAACCAGAGGUCACAAGGGAGGGAAAGGGGGACACACAGGCAUCGGGUGUUGAUCAGAGACAGGGAGGGUGUCAGAGCCAGCAUACUCUCCACAACAGAGGAGCACAGGCUGGCUCCCGGAGGAAGAGAGGAGUUGGCAAAGAUGGUGGCACUGCCCUGUAACCAGCCCUGGAGGGACCUGUCCUGGCCAGCCCCAGACCACAGGCCUGCCCCUCAGCCGCCACAGUCCUGCCUGGUGCCCUCCCCCACCACAAAGCCUGACCUCCUGCCAGGUCUCCUCGGACAAUCCCUGGACAGGCAGCCACCUCAGCGCCACAGUAGGCAGUUCUGCGGGCCCCUCUGCCUCACCCUGCCCCUCACCCACCAGUCCUGGCCAGCCCAUGUCCCGGGUCCCCAUCACUCAGGUGCCUGCUAGGAGGUGGCUAGACAAAGCCAGGCUGGGUGCUACAGCUCCCCUGGGCCCAGGGCCACUCCCACCCCACCGGGCUACCAAAGGGCCAGUGUGCAGGGCCCCUAGGACGACCCCUUCUCCCAGAGGAGCUGAAAGGGCACAGGCAAAGACCUGGGCCCCAGAACGGAGAAAGCCAGGGAUUCCCGCUCACCCUCAGGGGCCAGGCGCCCCCUGGUGGCCUGGCUUGGAGUGGGGCACAGAUCGCUAGAAGGGCGCUGCUAGGGCACCGGCUGGGGAACCUUGAGGUUCUCUCCAGGCCACCAGGAGGGGCAGGACAGAACGGGCUCUGAUGUGGUGCUUCGGGGCUCUCCCUGAGAGGGUGGUCCCCACCUGUAGCCUCAGGGUUCCCCCGGUGUCCCCCGCCGCCUCCCCAGGAUGGGGCAUGGGGCGGGGCGGGGCGGGAACUCAGUUGACCUGCUGCAAAAGGAGCCGGCCGGGGCCCGGAGGGAACCGAAUGGGGCUGGCAGCUCACC